UUUUUUUUUGUCCAUUGUGUAAAAAAAAGAAGUAAAAAAGAAGAAGAAAAAAAAAGUUAAUGGCCCAUACAGGUCUCGAACCUGUGACCUUCGCGUUAUUAGCACGACGCUCUAACCAGCUGAGCUAAUAGGCCCUUUGAUGCUUGAAAUAUUUUCUAAUUUAUAUAUUUGUAUAAGUGAAUAAACCCCACCAUCAUGUCAAUCUUUGGUUUGCGACGUUUAUAGCCAUGGACGUAUGCAUGGGUAUAAAAGUUGUAUAUCGAUUUUAUGAUGAGAAGAGAAUUAUUAAGAAGAGGAUGAAUUAGAAGAAAAAUCGUCGCAGGGGGCAAGUAGGAAAAUUAUAUCUGCUUGGGAGCCAUCUACAAAAUACAACAAUACAUCUUGGUCCUUGUCUAGUUUCCCAUUUCAUUGUCCAUGCUUGUAAAUAUUUUUGCCUUUGAAGGAAAAAAUUGUCACUGCUUUCGACUUUAAUGUGACGCGAUGUGUCCGCAAAUCAUCACGCGAUAGUUACAUAAUAAUAAAGCCAUAUUGUACAAAAGGAAAAAAAAUACUCAAGAUUCCUUUUUUGUUUCAUUUUUGUUUCUCUGGCGAAAGAUGGAUGCCGGUGAUGAGCCAGCAUGCCAUGUACUCCCUCCGUUCCCAAAUACUUGUCUUUCUAGACAUUUCAAAUGGACUCAAUAUAUGGAUGUAUGUAGACAUAUUUUAAAGUGUAGAUUCAUUCACUUUGCGCCGUAUGUAGUCACUUGUUGAAAUCUUUAGAAAGACGAGUAUUUAGGAACGGAGGGAGUACCACUAGAAUUUUUACAAAAUUUCUUCCCUACGUUGAUUUUUUAUCAUGCACUAAUGUUUAAUGGAGUGGACUGCUUUACGAAAAGACUUCAACUUGGUUCUCAAGACCAGAGGCCUGCCUGAGGGGGGUGCAGGUGUUGUCUUGCCAGCUUCAGUUCGCAAGGAAAAGACUUGUCCUGCUACAAAAAUGAUGAUACUUGUUGAGUAAGUAGGAACAAAAUAUAGAAAGAACAGGGGCUGGGUUUCUGGGGAGAAAUUUGUGCAGUUACACACGAACAAAACACCGCACCCGACCUGCUACAGGUUUAGAAAAUUCAGCGAGUGGAAUUUUUUAAUUCCAGAAGAAAGGAUGAUUGCAGGAAAAGAUUUUAAAAAAAUCCCCAAAAAAGGGACAUUUGAAAAAGAUAGGUGAAGUGGAAUUUUUUUUAUAUUCCAAAAGAACAGGAAAUAUUUAAAAAAAACUCGAAAAAGGGGAAAAUUCAAAAAAAAGAAUGGGGCGAGAGAGGCUCGAACUCUCGACCUCAGGAUCACUCGCAUAAUUUAGCUAUGAACUAGGAGCCAAAAGGGAAAUAAUUUAAAGCCAUAAAGCAAAAAAAAAUGAACUAGGAGCCAAAAAGGAAAUAAUUUAAAGCGCAAAAGAAAUGGGCAUAAUAUAUCUACAUAUUAAAUAAAUUAAAAAAUGAUUUGCAGAACAAAAAAUCAACAUGAACAAGGGGCAUAUGCCCCCCCUCCUUAGGGCACUUCACCACGUUCUAUUUAUUUAAUAGUUAUUUAUAGUUGAGUUCUUUAACAGGAGGUUGAUCACGAGCGCGUGCGCUUAGUGUGGCCGGUGCAACGGUGUUCUUUGUCUUGGUUCGUGCCACGUCACUAAAACCACUGUCAGAAACACUUACAGUGCCUUGGGGGUGUUUUGUCUGGUAUUUGAAAGUUUGGGGGAUUAAGUACCCGGUUUUUGAAUUGAGGGGGUGAUGUGGUGGAAAUUUGAACGUCUAGGGGGUUAUAUAUAUUUAACUCGACAGCAAAACACAAGAACUUAAGAAGGCACCAAGGACUGGAUUUGGUACAAGAACCGUGGGAGCAUGGCCUGAAUUUUUUCCUUUCUAGGUGUUGUUCUAUUAUCUUUUUUUAAUCUUUAGUUUUGCUAUCCCGUUAUCUCUUAGUUGCAGUACCGCCUGUCUAAUCCAUCAUACAGAAAAAUGAAAAAAGAUGGCAAGAAGUUUCGUUGUUGCAUACGAGCUAAGCAACAGGAUAGUCUAAACAAGUUGACAUAUUACAUUUUAACUAGGAGCCAAAAGGGAAAUAAUUUAAAGCCAUAAAGCAAAAAAAAUUAACUAGGAGCCAAAAGGGAAAUAAUUUAAAGCCAUAAAGCAAAAAAAAAUAACUAGGAGCCAAAAGGGAAAUAAUNNNNNNNNNNNNNNNNNNNNNNNNNNNNNNNNNNNNNNNNNNNNNNNNNNNNNNNNNNNNNNNNNNNNNNNNNNNNNNNNNNNNNNNNNNNNNNNNNNNNNNNNNNNNNNNNNNNNNNNNNNNNNNNNNNNNNNNNNNNNNNNNNNNNNNNNNNNNNNNNNNNNNNNNNNNNNNNNNNNNNNNNNNNNNNNNNNNNNNNNNNNNNNNNNNNNNNNNNNNNNNNNNNNNNNNNNNNNNNNNNNNNNNNNNNNNNNNNNNNNNNNNNNNNNNNNNNNNNNNNNNNNNNNNNNNNNNNNNNNNNNNNNNNNNNNNNNNNNNNNNNNNNNNNNNNNNNNNNNNNNNNNNNNNNNNNNNNNNNNNNNNNNNNNNNNNNNNNNNNNNNNNNNNNNNNNNNNNNNNNNNNNNNNNNNNNNNNNNNNNNNNNNNNNNNNNNNNNNNNNNNNNNNNNNNNNNNNNNNNNNNNNNNNNNNNNNNNNNNNNNNNNNNNNNNNNNNNNNNNNNNNNNNNNNNNNNNNNNNNNNNNNNNNNNNNNNNNNNNNNNNNNNNNNNNNNNNNNNNNNNNNNNNNNNNNNNNNNNNNNNNNNNNNNNNNNNNNNNNNNNNNNNNNNNNNNNNNNNNNNNNNNNNNNNNNNNNNNNNNNNNNNNNNNNNNNNNNNNNNNNNNNNNNNNNNNNNNNNNNNNNNNNNNNNNNNNNNNNNNNNNNNNNGUAAAAUUAAUUAAGACUUGUCUCCCUCCUGGAGAGAGAAGAAGAGUAAGAUCACCGGAGCCAUUUUUAGUUCCUCGCUUAUACUGAUCUUGUGAAUCACAAGAAAAAACCAUCUUUGCUCAAUGGAGCGAUCGGCAAAAUGCUACAAGCCUACAGCAGAUCUUGGUCCUUGGCUAUCUAGAUUCCCAUUUUACUGUCCUUGUUUGUAAGUGUCUGUCGCUCUUUGGGCCUUUUUGUCAUUGUUUCGAUGAUUUGAUGCGUUACACAAAUCAUCCCUUUGUCGUUGUUGAAGAAUUAUGCACUGUAUGUUGUCGUUGUUGCACUUGGGUUAGUUCUUAAGAAAAGGGAUACCCCAUAUGUAACAAGAUUGGCUGCUCUAACCCUUUCUGUCAUCCCUUUGUCCCCUCUAAUGAUGUCUUUGUGAUUGAAAACUAAGAGAAUUUUUCCAUGCGAAAGAAGCGAUAUCGGCAGCCGUGUUGUAUAUGUUUAUAUCAUGUGACAUGUUACUAGAGCGGAGUGGGGUGCUUUAAGGAAAGAAGGGGAGGAUUUGCGAGGAAAGAAAGGAACAUAUGAGCGCGUUGAGAAAAGAAGGAGCCCGAGGUUUGGACUUGAUCCAUGGCACCUGAGGGAUGAACACACAGUGACUGCAGCCGUUUGGAACAGUGGGAGGACGGCCUGAAGCUAUUUCUGCUCCAGGUGCUGUCCGUUAUCUUCUUUUUGUUUUGUUGUUCUUCUCUUGAAUUGCAGUACCGCCGGCCUAAUCCAUCGUAUGGAAAAAAUGAAAAGGAAAAAGUUGGCAUGAUGUUUCGUGGUUUCAUACGAGCUAAGCACCAGGAAAGUGGAAACAAGUGCAGAUCUAUUACAGUUUAAACAGGAGCCAAAACUGAAAUAAAUUAAAUCCAUGACAGCAAAAAAAUGGGGCGAGAGAGGCUCAAACUCUCGACCUCAGGAUCACUCGCUUUAGCUAUGAGACCUACGCGCCCCCUUAUGCUCACUUCUCAAAUCUACCUUUAUUGUACCUUUGUAAGUUUCUUAUCUGUGUUGGAACCAUUGGGCAAUUCUUGACAAAAUGGUCAAUCAGUUCACGGAGGCAUGAAGCUUACUUCGAUACAGAUCAGGUGUGCCCAUCAAGGUGUACCAUGCAUGUGAUCAAGCCCUUGCACUUUUUUUCGUUAGUUUCACGUCCCAGCAAAUUAAACCAAGCUCAGUCUUUCGGAGGUGCUCAUAGGGAUAGGGUGUGUGCGUUCAUAUGGGUGAGUGUAUGCGUGUGUAUAUGAACGCUUGCGUCUGCACUGUGUCCAAACAAAUAAACCAAGCACCAGGAAUGAAAACAGAUAGUGUCCGACAGGCUGCAAUAACAAAAUAUUUGUUCAUAACAUGAUCCAUGUAUGGAUACAUCGACCCCAUCUCACCUCACCGCAUCAAGAUAAUAAACAUUAAGCAACGAUACAAUACUCACCUUGAAGCGGCAGGGUGCUCCGAUUUAGGGUUGUUCUGACAAUUUAGAGGAGGAGCUUCGACAAUCAUUUGUUUUAUUCGUCUGGGAACUCCGCUAUGCGUGAGACUCUGAAUUUUUAUUGUUUUAUGCUUAUGUUCAGAGUGCAGGUGUCAAUGCUCUGGAGCACCUGGACAUCCAGCAUCAACUUGAGAUUGAAGAGGGGAGAGGUGUGGCUGAUCUCGGGAGUAGAAAAUCCAGUCUCGGAUUACAAUCCACUCAAACUUCUUUUUCAAAUUCCUGUGACUUCCCUAUGGUGCAUCAAACAUCAUUUGCUAAUUCCUACAAGCUUCUAAGAAUAAACAUGUCAUGACACUCCAAUCCUACCAUUUUCCUAUUCAAAUGUCAAUAAAAUCCUAUGAAUCAAAGAGGCCUUAAUUCAGUAUGUCUCUGUUCGGCAAGAGCAGAUAGUAUAAAUUGUCACACAAUGAUUAAUUAUUAUGUUGAUGUUAAUAUAUAGACAUGCGAACACAUCAAGCAAGCAAGAGAAUGAACCCAAUAAGAUGCCUGAAGAAUAGGCCUACGCCUAGAGAAAGAGAUGCCUGAAAAUAGUAAGUACUCCCUCCAUCCGGAUAAACUUGUCCCAAGCUUGUUUCUCAAAUGGAUGUAUCUAGCACUAACUUGAUGCUAGAUACAUCUAUUCGAGGGACAAGCUUUUUCGGACGGAGGGAAUACAAAAACACUGCACGUGCGCAUAGCUAUCCAGCAGAAAAUUUCCCACUCAUAUCAAAUCCAGCAGCAAGAUACACACGACUAUUUGGCUGAAAACUAGCUUUGAAGCAAAACUUACAUGUUGUUGUCAUGUGGCGCUCAAAAUCUUACCAUGUGUGUGUAUGUAUUUUGGAAAAAUUAUGCAAUGUACUCCCACCGUUCCUAAAUAUAAGUCUUUGUAAAGAUUCCACUAGAUAGACUACAUACGGAGCAAAAUGGAUGAAUCUACACUUAAAAUACAUCUAUAUACAUCCGUAUGUGGUUUAUAGUAAAAUCUCUACAAAGACUUAUAUUUAGAAACGGAGGGAGUAUGUUGCUGUGCUUGGUUUGAUUCUGGGAAUCUUCUUAUUCCAGAAGAAAUGAUGGUUGUAGGAAAAAAAAUAGAAUGAAAAAUCUCAAGAAAAAAAGGAACAAGUAGGAUUUUUUAUAUUCCAGAAGAAAGGAUGGUUGCAGGAAAUACUUUUUUAAAAAAUUCUCGAAAAAAGGGAAAAUUCAAAAAAAAAAGAAAAGAAUGGGGCGAGAGAGGCUCGAACUCUCGACCUCAGGAUCACUCGCAUAAUUUAGCUAUGAGACCUACGCGCUAGCCAACUGCGCCACCGCCCCCUUGUGUUCUGCCUCUCAAAUCAAAUAUUAUUGUCCGUUGACGUCUCUUAUCUGUGGUGCAACCUACAGUCAAUUCUGGACACAGUAAAGGACAAUCAGUUUGUGGAGCCUACUUGGGUAAUAGAUAGGAUGUGCCCGUCAAAGUGUACUUUCGGGGCACAAACAAGGCCAGGAGCCCUUGCACUUGUCUUGUUCAGUUUCAUGUCCCAGCAAAUUAAACCAUGCGCCAGGAAUGAAAACAGAUAGUGGCCGGCAGGCUGCCAUAACAAUUUUUUUCUUUCAUAACAUGAUCCAUGCAUUGAUACAUACAUCGAUCACCUCUCACCUCUCACCGCAUCAAGAUAAACAUUAAUCAACGAUGCAAUACUCACCUUGGAGGAGAGAAGAUCACGGAAGAACGUUGUUGAGUAACAUACAUACACAACAUCAAAACUAAGCAGGUGACUUCAUUAGUUUACUGCUAAGGCAAUGAUUUUUUGUUCUUCGGGCUUCAGGAUUCAGGAGCAGCAGAGUUAUUGGAAACAAAGUAGUAUGAAGCGUCCAAGUAAGUAGUGGGGCCCCGCUGUAAGUUGGAGACGCCGUUUCACCCUUGCCAUUUGCCAACGUAGAAAAAAAUCAGCCCGACGUGGACAGCAACAGAUCCUCUCCCCUUCUCGUCUCUUCUCCAAUGUGGCGGCGCGCGGCAGCGAGGUCGGUGCUCGUGGGACGAGAGCUCUGACUCGAGCCUCCACUACAAAUCACCCGGCAGCAGGAAGCUCUGAUUUCAUUGGUAGGGGGCUCUGCUAUGCGUGAGGUUCUGAAUUCUUAUUGUUUUAUGCUUAUGUUCAUUGUGCAGGUAUCAAUGCUUCUGGAGCAGCAAUCAGCAAUUUUAUGACAUGUUCUUAAGAUGCUAAAUAUGUCAGGUGCCCACAGAGGACACGUGUCGCCGUUGGCGCAGGCGGCUAAAUUUUGUGAUACAUUCUUAAGGGGGGAUUAAAUCUAUCAAAACAGACUUGAAAGGAGCUAAUUAUGCCCAAAAAAAAUAUCCAAAGCAACCAUGCUAGCCGAUGCAAAGCAACAAUCAGCAAGAUACCCCUAUUGCAAAGGAAGUGUAGCAAGAUACACAUGACAGUUGGCAAGUCGUGGCAUCAGACCUCAGUAAGGCCCAAAGAAAUAUAAGACCAGCACUCUAGAGUUAUGCUGGAACCACUAGCAGAGUAAACAAACAGAGUACAUGGAAAAUCUUCAAGUAAGAUGAGCUAAACAUUCUUUCUGCUAUAAUUAUUCUUGUAAGAAAGAAAACGCAGUCCGGAAAAUUAAGGUGAUUCAAGUGCUUGUGCUUCAACUAGGCCCUCAUCCCACCGUCCAUAAACCCACCUGAAAUUAAAAGUUAUGAACAGAGUGAGAUAAACAGCUGGGCAAGUGACAAAAAGUAAGUAUCGCCCAGAAACAGAAAGCUCCAUUAUGUUUGCAACCAUAGUGAAAACACAUUUAACAAGCCAAGCUUGUGUAUGUAUUUCAUAAGCAUCGACAACAAUCUCACUCAUUUAUGGCCAUACAUACAUCUCAAUUGCAUUAUCAUUCUAACCAAGAUAAGAUGUCAUAGCACAAAUGCUUAACAGGCUUGGCACAGAUUGUGGGUCAGCCUUAGUCUACAGUUUGACACAUCAUACACAGUUUACAAAGAGAUGUAGCUCACUAUUCACAACUCAAUUGAACGGGAAGGAGAAUUCACUUUAACCCAACCCCAAUAAGAGAAGUAAAAUAUGGGAUACUGAUCACAAAUAUUGAACAUCACAGUCACCUGCCUUAACCAUGUGACAAAGAUUUGCCGGCGAAGAUGAAACCUGACGUGCGGCACUAGAACCUGAGAAUUAUAAUUAUAAGGUACAGCUCCUUAAAACACUUGUCAAACUAAAAUUAAAUAAAAGACACGCUCCUAUGAUUUGACACGUCACCUCUCUUAUAAUAUAAGUUCACUUCAGGAUUUUGUAUCAGUUAUCUAUACACACAAAUCUCAACUUUACUAUUAUCAAGAAAAUUUAAUUCAAUCAUGCCCAAAGGUUGAAAUUGUGCUACAAGAUAAAUGGGCUACAGUGAAGAAAAACAGAGUAAUGCACAGGAGAGCAGGUUGAAGUCAGACUGCCCUAACUUCUGAUCUACCCAACCAAUCUUCGCAUACUUCUGAUCUUUUUGGUAUGGUAAUGAAAGUACAUACUCCCUCCAUAAAGAAAUAUAAGAGUGUUUAGAUCACUACUUUAGUGAUCUAAACACUCUUAUAUUUCUUCAGAGAGGGAGUACAAUCUAAUAGGAAUAUAGUUUGGAAUCUACAAUCUACCAAGACAUCCAUUUUCAAAAUGUAGAUUGGAAAUUGACCACAACAUACUAAUAGCUAAAAGAUAGCCACACGAAGAUCUAUGAGGAUAGCAAAGGCAUGAUGUGGUCAACGUGGGUUAUUUUUGUCCUGUGUUCCAUCAUUUAUCACAAGUUAGGCUGGAAGCUAAAUACAAGCAACACAGAUUGUUCUGCCACAACGCCCAAGUUAGCACCAACCGAAUGUUUUUAUUAUUUCCACCCGCCGCAACUAAAGAAAAUUUCAUUUCAGGAUAACAAAAGAGCCUUGCUACAAUGCAGCAAGGGUAAACUUUGUGCAGUAUCAGCUGCUGAUAUCCAAAUCCAUUUCUAAUAACAAUAUCGUAACCUCACCUUUGACGCACGCACAUUCCCAUUUCUUACUUCUUCUUCCCCUUUCCUUGACCGCCCUUCGCCAAAAUGGCCCGAUGGGGCCUCCGUCUGCGCGUAAAAGCAAACUCCCCAAGCUUAUGGCCGACCUUCCCCUCGGUGAUCUUGCAGCGGACGUGAGUCUUGCCGUUGUAAAUGAGCACGGUGGAACCGACGAACUCCGGCAGGAUGGAAGACCUGCGAGACCAGAUCUUCUUGCCGUUGAGGUUCUCCCUCUUGUUCUUUAUCCUUUGCAGGAACGCGUCGACGAACGCUCCCUUCCAUAGAGGCCUUGAGCUGCACACACACACAUACAGGACAGCAGGGUAGGGCAUACAUUCGAUUCAAUUUCAAUGUUGAGCGGAUCAGCUAGUUAUCUGUGCACGUACGUAGUGAGUUGAGCUGGUGAUGGUGGUUACCUGAAGGCGCGAGUGAGUGGUCCGAAGCCGGAGAGCAGCGGAGAUGCGGCGUGCUGGGCCCUGGGCGCCUGACCACCACCAGAUCGCGCGCGCGGUGGAACAAACCAGCAUAUCAGAUCAACAUCGGCGGAGGAACAACCAAGAUUUGCAUUUUGAGCAAGGGGCAAGAGUUGGAGGGGGAGGCGGCACCUGAGAGAUGGCCGCGGCGGCGGCGGGGAGGGCGUGCCCGUGGCCGGACCUGGCGAACCUGGAGGCGAUGAGAGAAGCAAUCGCCAUGGCUGCUGCGCUCAGGCGCGGGAUCGGCUCCCCGUAGGAGCGGGCGGCGGCGGCGUGGAGACCGGAGAGACGGAGAGGAGGAGGAGCAAAUCUUCCUUACCGGAACCACACUGUGAGCGGGCCGUGGCCUUUGGCCCAACCCAUGAAGAUGGCCCAGGCUUAUUUUCUUGUGUAGAAAAAAAAGGAGCUAAUCUUUGCGAUAAAGCCCCUGGACUUCUCAUGAAUUACGGAAAGGUCCGACCAGCGUGAAACCCCUUGUCGGAAAUUGCAGUCAAAUGUGAAGUUUUACAUUUUAGUCCUUGUAAUUAACUUUAAUUUUCUAUUAUUAAAUGCUUUCUAGUGCCUCUUAAUAUAAUUGUUAUUGUAGCUUUUAUUAUGCAAGUAAUCUGAAAUUGCUUUAAUCAUGAAUUAUUGCUAGUAAUCCUAUUAUACGCAUGAAAAACUAGAACCGGAUUCAUCAUGGGCACAACUAUCUCGCCUGGAGAUUGGAUGUUGAAAUCAUACUCGAAGGAAGAGGUUUAGGAAACACCGUCGCCGAAGAUUCAGUCGAGGGUGCAGCCCGACAAGGAUUGAGAACUUUGAGGUUCUGCAUUUUCCACGACGUCAUCUCUGGACUAUUCUCAAGAAUGAGUACCUGGCGGAGAGGGACCCCAAGACUCUCUGAAUUUCCCUGAAGAAUAGAUUUCAGAAACUCACGUACACCAUUCAACCUCCCGCAGAGCAUGACUGGAUGAACUUGAGAUUCCUGGACUUCAAAACCGUCGUUGAGUAUAAUUCGGCAGUGCGUAGGGUUUGCACGUAAUUUGGCAAAUGGUUUAUGUUUCUUGACCAUAAUUUUGCUAUGUUUCUGGUGGUACACUUUGUUCUCAAAUCUGAGCAAACCAAACUCAUGUUUGCACCAAGUUUGGGCAAAGCACCCCCUAACUUUGUCCUAUGCACAACUUUCACAUCAUUUGUCCAAUCCCAUGUAUUUUAUAUGCAUUCGGGCCUUCUCAAACCUUGCAUUCUAGAAAUGCAAAUGGUUUUCUAACUUGUUGCUCCCAACAUCAUUUCAUUCCUGGUUACACUUGUAGCCUUCCGAUUCUUGUUUCGACCAUAUCUAGAGUUACACGGGCCUCCUCCUGGAAACAUGUGACCGAGGAGGAAGGAAGGAUAAGUGGCAUCCGUAUUUGCCAAGCGGCACCAAGUGUUUCACAUAUGUUUUUUGUAGAUGAUUCGAUGGUCAUAUUAAAGGCAAUACAGGAGGAGGCCAGUACCCUUCGAGGAAUCCUUGACCUAUAUGAAAAUUGCUCCAGUCAAUUCAUAAAUGUUGAGAAGUCUGCGGUCAUGUUUUGGGCCAAUACUAGUGAACUGGCAAGGAAUCAGAUGAAGAGUGCGCUAGCAGUCCAGAGUGAGAAUUGGAAUGAUCAUUAUCUCAGCUUACCUGUCCAUGUCGGUAGUUAUAAAAAGAAGGUCUUUCGGUACAUAAAAACAACAUGUGCAGCCAAGUGCAUGGGUGGCAGGAGAUGCUUUUAGCUAAGGCAGCGAAGGUAGUUCUAAAAAGAAGGUCUUUGGGUAAAUAAAUUGCAGAAAGGUAUUUUUGGGUUUUUUGGUAUAUGAUGGAAAAUAGACCCGAGGGUCAUAGGUUUCACUAGAGGCUUCUCUCUUGAAGGAAAAUAACACGGUGGGUGAACAAAUUACUGUCAAGCAGUUGAUAGAAAAGCGCAAAGUUAUGACGAUAUCCAAGGCAAUGAUUAUGCAUAUAGGCAUCACGUCCGUGUCAAGUAGACCGGAACGAUUAUAUAUGCAUCUACUACUAUUACUCCACACAUCGACCGACUCCUGCCUGCAUCUAGAGUAUUAAGUUCAUAAGAACAGAGUAACGCAUUAAGUAAGAUGACAUGAUGUAGCGGGAUUAACUCAAGCAAUAUGAUGAAAACCCCAUCUUGUUAUCCUCGAUGGCAAUAAUGCAAUACGUGUCUCGCUACCCCUACUUUGUCACUGGGUGAAAUCAUGCAAGAUUGAACCCAAAGCUAAGCACCUCUCCCAUUGCAAGAAAUACCAAUCUAGUUGGCCAAACUAAACUGAUAAUUCGAAGAGAAAUACAAAGAUAUCAAAUCAUGCAUAUAAGAAUUCAGAGAAGAUUCAAAUAAUAUUCAUAGAUAAGCUGAUCAUAAAUCCAUAAUUCAUCGGAUCUCGACAAACACACCGCAAAAGAAGAUUACAUCGGGUAGAUCUCCAAGAACAUCGAGGAGAACAUUGUAUUGAAGAUCGAAGAGAGAGAAGAAGCCAUCUAGCUACUAGCUAUGGACCCGUAGGUUUGUGGUAAACUACUCACACUUCAUCGGAAGGGCAAUAAACUUGAUGUAGAUGCCCUCCGUGAUCGAUUCCCCCUCCGGCAGAUCGCUGAAAAAGGCCCCAAGAUGGGAUCUCAUGGGAACAGAGGCUUGCGGCAGUGGAAAAGUAUUUUCAUGGACUCCUCUAAUAGUUUGGGAAUAUUUUAGGAUUUAUAUAACUGAGAGGGAGGUCGGUGGACUCCCGGGUGGGGGCCACAAGCCAGGGAGGCGUGCCCUGGAGGCUUGUCACCUCCUCGGGACUCUUCUGACUUGGACUCCAAGUUCCAUGGGUGUCUUCUGGUCCAAGAAAAAUCAUCGCGAAAGUUUUAUUCCGUUUGGACUCCGUUUGGUAUUCCUUUUCUGUAAAAUUCAAAAACAAGGAAAAAACAGAAACUGACACUUGGCUCUGGGUUAAUAGGUUAGUCCCAAAAAUAAUAUAAAAUAGCAUAUUAAUGCAUAUAAAACAUCCAAAACAGAUAAUAUAAUAGCAUGGAACAAUAAAAAAUUAUAGAUACGUUGGAGACGUAUCAAGCAUCCCCAAGCUUAAUACAUGCUCGUCCUCGAGUAGGUAAAUGAUAAAAACAGAAUUUUUGAUGUGGAAUGCUACCUAACAUAUUUAUCCAUGUAAUUUUCUUUAUUGUGGCAUGAAUAUUCAGAUCCAUAAGAUUCAAAAAAAAUAUUGACAUAAAAACAAUAAUACUUCAAGCAUACUAAUAAAGCAAUCAUGUCUUCUCAAAAUAACAUGGCCAAAGAAAGUUAUCCCUGCAAAAUCAUAUAGUCUGGCUAUGCUCCAUCUUCAUCACACAAAGUAUUAAAUCAUGCACAACCCCGAUGACAAGCCAAGAAAUUGUUUCAUACUUUUGAUGUCAAACUUUUUCAACUUUCAUGCAAUACAUGAGCGUGAGCCAUGGAUAUAGCACUAUAGGUGGAAUAGAAUAUGGUCGUUGCGGAGAAGACAAAAAGAAGGAGAUAGUCUCACAUCAACCAGGCGUAUCAACGGGCUAUGGAGAUGCCCAUCAAUAGAUAUCAAUGUGAGUGGGUAGGGAUUGUCAUGCAACCGAUGCACUGGAGCUAUAAGUGUAUGAAAGCUCAAAAAGAAACUAAGUGGGUGUACAUCCAACUCGCUUGCUCACGAAGACCUAGGGCAAUUCCAAGAAGCCCAUCAUUGGAAUAUACAAGUCAAGUUCUAUAAUGAAAAAUUCCCACUAGUAUAUGAAAGUGACAAAAUAGGAGACUCUCUAUCAUGAAUAUCAUGGUGCUACUUUGAAGCACAAGUGUGGAAAAAGGAUAGAGCAUUGCCCCUUCUCUCUUUUCUAUCAUUUUUUAUUUUGGACUCUUUGGCCUCUCUUUUUUUUUCUCUUUUUUUUCUCGUCCGGAGUCUCAUGCUGACUUGUGGGGGAAUCAUAGUCUCCAUUAUCCUUUCCUCACAUGGGACAAUGCUCUAAUAAUGAUGAUCAUCACACUUUUAUUUACUUACAACUCAAGAAUUACAACUCGAUACUAGAACAAAAUAUGACUCUAUAUGAAUGCCUCCGGCGGUGUACCGGGAUGUGCAAUGACUCAAGAGUGACAUGUAUAAAAAAUAUGAAUGGUGGCUUUGCCACAGAUACGAUGUCAACUACAUGACCAUGCAAAGCAAUAUGACAAUGAUGAAGCGUGUCAUAAUAAACGGAACGGUGGAAGUUGCAUGGCAAUAUAUCUCGGAAUGGCUAUGGAAAUGCCAUAAUAGAUAGGUAUGGUGGCUACUAUGAGGAAGGUAUAUGCUGGGUGUAAUGCACUAGCGAGAGUUGCUCGGUACUAGAGAGCGAGGCUAGCAAUGGUGGAAGUGUGAGAGUGUGUAUAAUCCAUGGACUAAACAUUAGUCAUAAAGAACUCACAUAAUUAUUGAAAAAUUCUAUUAGCUAUCGAAAAAAGUACUACGUGCAUGCUCCUAGGGGGGAUAGAUUGGUAGGAAAAGACCAUCGCUCAUCCCUGACCGCCACUCAUAAGGAAGAGAGUCAGUAAAUAAAUCAUGCUCCGACUUCGUCACAUAACGAUUCACCAUACGUGCAUGCUACGGGAAUCACAAAAUUUAACACAAGUAUUUCUACCAAUUCACAAUUACUUACUAGCAUGAUUCUAAUAUCACCAUCUUUAUAUCUCAAAACAAUCAUAAAGAAUCAAACUUCUCAUAUAGCAUUCAAUGCACUUUAUAUGAAAGCUUUUAUUAUCCCUCUUGGAUGCCCAUCAUAUUAGGACUAAAUUCAUAACCUAAGAAAAUUACGAUGCUGUAGAGACUCUCAAAAUAAUAUAAGUGAACCAAGAGAGUUUGUCAAUUUAUAUAAAAUAAAACCACUGACGUGCUCUAAAAAGAUAUAAGUGAAUCACUAGAGCAGAUUGCCUAGCUCAAAAGAUAUAAGUGAAGCACAUAGAGUAUUCUAAUAAAUUCACGGUUAAUGCGUGUCCCUAUCAAAAGGUGUGUACAGCAAGGAUGAUUGUGGUAAACUAAAAAUCAAAGACUCAUAUCAUACAAGACGCUCCAAGCAAAACACAUAUCAUGUGGUGAAUAAAAAUAUAGCCUCAAGUAAAUUUACCGAUCGAUUGAAGACGAAAUAGGGGAUGCCUUCCGGGGCAUCACAAGCUUAGGCGCUUGGUUGUCCUUGAAUAUUACCUUGGGUGCCUUGAGCAUCCCCAAGAUUAGGCUCUUGCCACUCCUUAUUCCAUAGUCCAUCAAAUCUUUAACCAAAACUUGAAAACUUCACAACACAAAACUCAACAGAAAACUCAUGAGAUCCAUUAGUAUAAGAAAACAAAUAACCACUUUUGGUACUGUUGUGAACUCGUUAUUCAUUUAUAUUGGUGUAAUAUCUAAUGUAUUCCACCUUCUCCAUGGUUCGUACCCAACGAUACUACCCAUAGAUUCAUCAAAAUAAGCAAACAACACAUAGAAAACAGAAUCUAUCAAAAACAGAAUAGUCUGUAGCAAUCUGGAAACUUCUAAUACUUAUGUAACUACAAAAAUUGUAAAAAUUUAGGAAAACCUGGGAAAUUUGUAUAUAAAUCUGGUGUAAAAAAUUCAGAUCAAAAUAACGUUUCUAUGAAUUAAUAAAAUUAUUUUACUGGGCGUAAAAGUUUCUGUUUUUCAGCAAGAUCAAAUCAACUAUCACCGUAAGUCAUCCCAAAGGUCUUAGUUGGUUCAAACACUAAUUAAAACACCAAAACACAUCUAACCAGAGGCUAGAUGAUAAAUUUAUUAAAAAACAGAAACAAAAACCAAGAACAAAAAUAAAAAUAAAAUUGGGUUGCCUCCUAAUAAGCGCCAUUGUUCAACGCCCUUAGCUAGGCAGAAAACACACAUCUAGGUAUUGUCAUCUUUGGUAUGCAAUCCGUAAGUAGCUCUCAUAAUAGAUUCAUAAGGUAACUUAAUUUUGUUUCUUGUAAAAUCUUCCAUGCCCUUCCUUAACGGAAAUUUAAUCUAAUGUUUCCUUCUUUCAUAUCAAUAAUUGCACCAAUCGUUCUAAGGAAAGGUCUACCAAGAAUAAUAGGGCAUGUAGGAUUGCAAUCUAUAUCAAGAACAACGAAAUCUACGGGCACAUAAUUCCUAUUUGCAACAGUAAGAACAUCAUUAAUUCUUCCCAUAGGUUUCUUUAUAGUGGAAUCCACUAGAUGCAAAUUUAAUUCUUCCCAUAGGCUAUGGAGGUGGGUUGCUCUCAAACGACAAAAGUCGUGCACUAACUCUGAGCAGCCACCAAUUUAUGGUGUAGGGGGGGUGGGCUAUUUAUAGCCAGGAGGCAACCCGACAUGCUUUGUCCGAAAUGACCCUGGGACACUAAGGAACCGACACGUUUCCAACAACCGGAUUUCAAACACACGCGGCAGCUAUUGGGGAACAUAGUAAUUUUAAAAAAAUCCUACGCACACGCAAGAUCAUGGUGAUGCAUAGCAACGAGAGGGGAGAGUGUUGUCCACAUACCCUCGUAGACCGAAAGCGGAAGCGUAAGCACAACGCGGUUGAUGUAGUCGUACGUCUUCACGAUCCGACCGAUCAAGUACCGAACGUACGGCACCUCCGAGUUCAGCACACGUUCAGCUCGAUGACGUACCACGAACUCCGAUCUAACAGAGCUUUUCGGGAGAGUUCCGUCAGCAUGAUGGCGUGAUGACGGUGUUGAUGAUGCUAUCGACGCAGGGCUUUGCCUAAGCACCGCUACGAUAUUACCGAUGUGGAAUAUGGUGGAGGGGGGCACCGCACACGGCUAAGAGAUCAAGAGAUCAAUUGUUGUGCCUAGAGGUGCCCCCUGCCCCCGUAUAUAAAGGACCAAGGGGGAGGGGGCGGCCGGCCAAGGGAGGGCGCGCCAGGGAGGAGUCCUACUCUCACCCGUAGUAGGACUCCCUCCUUUCCUAGUCCAAGUAGGAGAGAGGAAGGUGUAGGGGAACGCAGCAGAAAACAAAAAAUUUCCGACCUACGCACCAACACAGGACCACUAUGGAGACUGCAUACAUGGUUUGAUCUUUUUCGUUACCGACUCGUAGCGCAGCGGGAAGUAGAGUCGAUGACGAACGGCGGUGCAGAUCCCCGCAGCUAGUAUUUACAACCUCCCAACUGCGAGGAUGUAUACCCUCAUCUGCUCCUCAGACAGCCCUCUGAGAGACGGUCGAACAGCCCCCCGGACGGUGUCGCGGACAGCCCUUCGGGAGGACCUUCGAAACUCGAACGGUCACUCGGACAGCCCUUCGGGAGGACCUUUGAAACUCGGACGGUCACACGGACAGCCCUUCGGGAGGCACUCACGAACUAAGACCGAAACUACGAUCUCUCUACAGAGUUGCACACAUACGGUGUCAUCUAUCCGGCAGGGCUUCGCCGUCCAGAACUAGUUCCUGCCGGAACCCAGACAGCCUUUUGGCUCUACGAAACUGUUUCGCUGGGAGGGAGAGAGAAGCCAGAUCAUGCAUGGCACUUGUAUGUGAGAAAGACUGAGUGUGUAGGGCUGCCCCUCCACCUCUAUUUGUAGGAAAUCCCAAGGGGUAGGGUAGUUUAACACAAAAACCCAAAAUGCACAUGAAUGAAGUCCUUCCUCAAGGGCAUAGGAGUGAAACCAAGGAACAAGAGGGGCUCCAAGGUGGAGCCCCAAGUGUGGCCGGCCACACCCCUUGGGGGGCCCCAUGAGGGCCUCCCAAUACAUCCAUGUCAUCCCUAGAUCUUUUGAGUAAAGCCCCAAAAGGUGGCUUUCCAUAAAAUAUCCCAAAAAGCACUUUCACUAUUCACGACGACAUUUUUUAGCGUCCGUUCGAACUGAAAAUAUUUAUGUGGGCUUAGAACAUUUCCAAUACCCACCAUAAUAAUUUUCAACGCGUUCUGGAACAAUUCCAUUUUAGUGAUUUUCAUCUACGAAACGCAUCUGAAGGGGCUCCGGCAGCUCCGGAACAUUUCCGGUUUUUAUCUCAGAAAAUUCCAAAAAGCUUCUAGAAUGAUUCUGGCACCCUCCAAGAAUUAUGAGGCAUGUGUCGAAACCAAUUUGACUUAAUGGUAUAUCCCGAAACAAAUUUUCGGUAUCAUCGAAACUUAUCCGAUGACCUCUCUCUGCGGUACAAUUCCGCUGUCCGAAACCAUUCCGGUGUCCAAAACUUUUUUCGGUGAUUUUCUCUCAGACUCCCUGUCUAGUAUUCAGCAGAUAGAUGACCCUUAAGCGUGUGACCCUAUAGGUUCGGUGAAGUAUAUACAUGACCCGGAACCUCUUCCGAUCAAUGAUCAACAUCGGAGCCGUGGACACCCAUAUUGACCCCUAUACCCACACGAAUGAAUAUUCGAGUGAACCUCCAGUUGCCCUGUGCCAUUCCUGUUGCUUCGCGAUAUGUUACAAAGACCCGAGGUGAGAUUUACUUGCAUCCCCAUGGAUCAACAACUUGUCCACUAUGCUAGUUACCUCGUUACUGGUUUUGUUCUCUUUUCUCGUUUCCGUGUUCCGGCAUCCCUGUGAUCAAAUCACACUGUGUCUGGCCAGACGAUGAUGGAUACCGUAACACUGAGAGGGCCCGAGAAUAUCUCUCCAUCGUCGGAGGAGCAAAUCCCAAUCUUGAGCUAUCAAGUUACUUGACACACUUUUCCAUGAACCCGUAAGCCGCCGUAAUAGCCACCCAUUUACGGAUGACGUUUAACAAACCCCAAAUUUCAUGAAGCAAGUAUGAAGAAACUCGAUACUCUCAUGGUCUAAGGAAUUAUGCAAACAUUAACCAUCUCUGUGUUAUCAACCAUAAACUUGUGACGAAUGAAUCUCAUAGCAUAACAUCAAUACGGGUCGAUUCAACACAAAUGUUCUCUUAACAUUGUGCCCUCAAAGUUGUUGGCAUAGACAUGCCCAUGACCAGGAAAACAGAAUCAUCAUGCAACACUUGAGCUAGUCUUAGAGGCCAGACUAGGAAUACUUGUUACCGUUUAUUAUUCCACACGUGCAUAUGAGUCUUCCUCCGAGCCUCGUGUUAUUGCAGACUCGAGAACCAUAGCAAUUAUAGCAUGGAACAUAAACAUAAUUAUGAACAUGGAGAUAAGUAAUAGCAUUUAUUAUUGCCUCUAGGGCAUAUCUCCUACAGAAGGAAGGGGAGAAGAAGAGGAAGGAAAGGGGGGGCCGGCCCCCUAGUCCAAUUCGGUUUGGGCUAGGGGGGGCCUAGCUGGCUGCCUCUCCUCUUCCUCCUCAUGGGCCCAUGAGGCCCAAUAACCCCCCGAGGGGUUCCGGUAACCUCCCGAUACUCCGGUACACGUCCGAAACUCCCCGAAACACUUCCGGUGUUCGAACAUAGUCAUCCAAUAUAUCGAUAUUUACGUCUCGACCAUUUCGAGACUCCUCGUCAUGUCCGUGAUCAUAUCUAGGACUCCGAACUACCUUCGGUACAUCAAAACACAAAAACUCAUAAUACCGAUCGUCACCAAACUUUAAGCGUGCGGAUCCUACGGGUUUGAGAACUAUGUAGACAUGACCGAUACAUGUCUCUGGUCAAUAACCAAUAGCAGAACCUAGAUGCUCAUAUUGGCUCCUACAUAUUCUACAAAGAUCUUUAUCAGUCAAACUGCAUAACAACAUACGUUGUUCCCUUUGUCAUCGGUAUGUUACUUGCUCGAGAUUCGAUCGUCGGUAUCUCAAUACCUAGUUCAAUCUCGUUACUGGCAAGUCUGUUUACUAGUUAUGUAAUGCAUCAUCCCACAACUAACUCAUUAGCUACAUUGCUUGCAAGGCUUAUAGUGAUGUGCAUUAUCGAGAGGGCCCAGAGAUACGUCUCCGACAAUCGGAGUGACAAAUCCUAAUCUCGAAAUACGCCAACUCAACAUGUAACUUCGGAGACACCUGUAGAGCUCCUUUAUAAUCACCCAGUUACAUUGUGAAGUUUGGUAGCACACAAAGUGUUACUCCGGUAAACGGGAGUUGCAUAAUCUCAUAAUAGGAACAUGUAUAAGUCAUGAAGAAAGCAAUAGCAACAUACUAAAUGAUCAAGUGCUAAGCUAACGGAAUGGGUCAAGUCAAUCACAUCAUUCUCCUAAUGACGUGAUCCCGUUAAUCAAAUGACAACUCAUGUCUAUGGCUAGGAAACACAACCAUCGUUGAUCAACGAGCUAGUCAAGUAGAGCCAUACUAGUGACACUAUGUUCCUAUGUAUUCACACAUGUAUUAUGUUUCCGGUUAAUACAAUUCUAGCAUGAAUAAUAAACAUUUAUCAUGAUAUAAGGAAAUAAAUAAUAACUUUAUUAUUGCCUCUAGGGCAUAUUUCCUUCAGUCUCCCACUUGCACUAGAGUCAAUAAUCUAGAUUACACGGUAAUGAUUCUAACACGCAUGGAGUCUUGGUGCUGAUCAUGUUUUGCUCGUGGAAGAGGAUUAGUCAACGGGUCUGCGACAUUCAGAUCCGUAUGUAUCUUGCAAAUUUCUAUGUCUCCCACCUGGACUUGGUCCCGGAUGGAAUUGAAGCAUCUCUUGAUGUGCUUGGUUCUCUUGUGAAAUCUGGAUUCCUUUGCCAAGGCAAUUGCACUAGUAUUGUCACAAAAGAUUUUCAUUGGACCCGAUGCACUAAGUAUGACACCUAGAUCGGAUAUGAACUCUUUCUUCCAAACUCCUUCAUUUGCUGCUUCCAAAGCAGCUAUGUACUCCGCUUCACAUGUAGAUCCCGCCACGACGCUUUGUUUAGAACUGCACCAACUGAUAGCUCCACCGUUCAAUAUAAACACGUAUCCGGUUUGCGAUUUAGAAUCGUCCGGAUCAGUGUCAAAGCUUGCAUCGUCGUAACCAUUUACGACUAGCUCUUUUUCAUCUCCAUAAAUGAGAAACAUAUCCUUAGUCCUUUUUAGGUAUUUCAGGAUAUUGUUUACCGCUGUCCGGUGAUCCACUCCUGGAUUACUUUGGUACCUCCCUGCUAAACUUAUUGCUAAGCAUACAUCAGGUCUGGUACACAGCAUUGCAUACAUGAUAGAGCCUAUGGCUGAAGCAUAGAGAACAUCUUUCAUUUUCUCUCUAUCUUCUACGGUGGUCAGGCAUUGAGUCUGACUCAACUUCACACCUUAUAAUACAGGCAAGAACCCUUUCUUUGCUUGAUCCAUUUUGAACUUUUUCAAAACUUUAUCAAGGUAUGUGCUUUAUGAAAGUCCAAUUAAGCGUCUUGAUCUAUCUCUAUAGAUCUUGAUGCCCAAUAUAUAAGCAGUUUCACCGAGGUCUUUCAUUGAAAAACUUUUAUUCAAGUAUCCUUUUAUGCUAUCCAGAAAUUCUAUAUCAUUUUCAAUCAGCAAUAUGUCGUCUACAUAUAAUAUCAGAAAUGCAACAGAGCUCCCACUCACUUUGUUGUAAAUACAGGCUUCUCCAAAAGUAUGUAUAAAACCAUAUGCUUUGAUCACACUAUCAAAGCAUUUAUUCCAACUCUGAGAGGCUUGCACCAGUCCAUAAAUGGAUCGCUGGAGCUUGCACACUUUGUUAGCACUUUUUGGAUCGACAAAACCUUCAGGUUGCAUCAUAUACAACUCUUCUUCUAGAAAUCCAUUCAUGAAUGCAGUUUUGACAUCCAUUUGCCAUAUUUCAUAAUCAUAAAAUGCGGCAAUUGCUAACAUGAUUCAGACAGACUUAAGCAUCGCUACGGGUGAGAAAGUCUCAUCGUAGUCAACCCCUUGAACUUGUCGAAAACCUUUCGCAACAAGUCGAGCUUUGUAGACAGUAACAUUACCAUCAGCGUCAGUAUUAUUCUUGAAGAUCCAUUUAUUUUCGAUGGCUUGACGAUCAUCGGGCAAGUCAACCAAAGUCCAUACUUUGUUCUCAUACAUGGAUCCCAUCUCAGAUUUCAUGGCCUCAAGCCAUUUUGCGGAAUCUGGGCUCAUCAUCGCUUCCUCAUAGUUCGUAGGUUCGCCAUGGUCAAGUAGCAUGACCUCUAGAAUAGGAUUACCGUACCACUCUAGUGCGGAUCUUACUCUGGUUGACCUACGAGGUUCGGUAGUAACUUGAUCUCAAGUUCCAUGAUCAAUAUCAUUAGCUUCCUCACUAAUUGGUGCAGUCGUCACAGGAACCGGUUUCUAUGAUGAACUAAUUUCCAAUAAGGGAGCAGGUACAGUUACCUCAUCAAGUUCUACUUUCCUCCCACUCACUUCUUUCAAGAGAAACUCCUUCUCUAGAAAAGAUCCAAAUUUAGCAACAAAAGUCUUGCCUUCAGAUCUGUGAUAGAAGGUGUACCCAAUAGUCUCCUUUGGGUAUCCUAUGAAGACACAUUUCUCUGAUUUGGGUUCGAGCUUAUCAGGUUGAAGUUUUUUCACAUAAGCAUUGCAGCCCCAAACUUUAAGAAAUGACAACUUUGGUUUCUUGCCAAACCACAGUUCAUAAGGCAUCAUCUCAACGGAUUUUGAUGGUGCCCUAUUUAACGUGAAUGCAGCCGUCUCUAAAGCAUAACCCCAAAACGAUAGCGGUAAAUCAGUAAGAGACAUCAUAGAUCGCACCAUAUCUAGUAAAGUACGAUUACGACGUUCGGACACACCAUUACGUUGUGGUGUUCCGGGUGGCGUGAGUUGCGAAACUAUUCCGCAUUGUUUCAAAUGUAAACCAAACUCGUAACUCAAAUAUCCUCCUCUACGAUUAGAUUGUAGAAACUUUAUUUUCUUAUUACGAUGAUUUUCCACUUCACUCUGAAAUUCUUUGAACUUUUCAAAUGUUUCAGACUUGUGUUUCAUUAAGUAGAUAUACCCAUAUCUGCUCAAAUCAUCAGUGAAGGUGAGAAAAUAACGAUACCCGCCGCGAGCUUCAAUAUUCAUUGGACCACAUACAUCAGUAUGUAUGAUUUCCAAUAAAUCUGUUGCUCGCUCCAUAGUUUCGGAGAACGGCGUUUUAGUCAUCUUGCCCAUGAGGCAUGGUUCGCAAGUACCAAGUGAUUCAUAAUCAAGUGAUUCCAAAAGUCCAUCAGUAUGGAGUUUCUUCGUGUGCUUUACACCAAUAUGACCCAAACGGGAGUGCCACAAAUAAGUUGCACUAUCAUUAUCAACUCUGCAUCUUUUGGCUUCAAGAUUAUGAAUAUGUGUAUCACUACUAUCGAGAUUCAACAAAAAUAGACCACUCUUCAAGGGUGCAUGACCAUAAAAGAUAUUACUCAUAUAAAUAGAACAACCAUUAUUCUCUGAUUUAAAUGAAUAACCGUCUCACAUCAAACAAGAUCCAGUUAUAAUGUUCAUGCUUAACGCUGGCACCAAAUAACAAUUAUUUAGGUCUAAAACUAAUCCCGAAGGUAGAUGUAGAGGUAGCGUGCCGACUGCAAUUAGAUCGACUUUGGAACCAUUUCCCACGUGCAUCGUCACCUCGUCACCUCGUCGUUAGCCAAUCUUCGCUUAAUUUGUAGUCCCUGUUUCGAGUUGCAAAUAUUAGCAACAGAACCGGUAUCAAAUACUCAGGUGCUACUGCGAGCAUUAGUAAGGUACACAUCAAUAACAUGUAUAUCACAUAUACCUUUGUUCACCUUGCCAUCCUUCUUAUCCGCCAAAUACUUGGGGCAGUUCCGCUUCCAGUGACCAGUCUGCUUGCAGUAGAAGCACUCAGUCUCAGGCUUAGGUCCAGACUUGGGUUUCUUCUCUUGAGCAGCAACUUGUUUGCCGUUCUUCUUGAAGUUCCCCUUCUUCUUCCCUUUACUCUUUUUCUUGAAACUCGUGGUGUUGUUGACCAUCAACACUUGAUGCUCCUUUUUGAUUUCUACCUCCGCAGCUUUUAGCAUUGCGAAGAGCUCGGGAAUAGUCUUUUUCAUCCCUUGCAUAUUAUAGUUCAUCACGAAGCUCUUGUAGCUUGGUGGCAGUGAUUGAAGAAUUCUGUCAAUGACACUAUCAUCAGGAAGAUUAACUCCCAGUUGAAUCAAGUGAUUAUUAUACCCAAACAUUUUGAGUAUAUGUUCACUAACAGAACUAUUCUCUUCCAUCUUGUAGCUAUAGAACUUAUUGGAGACUUCAUAUCUCUCAAUCCGGGCAUUUGCUUGAAAUAUUACCUUCAACUCCUGGAACAUCUCAUAUGCUCCAUGACGUUCAAAACGUCGUUGAAGUCCCGGUUCUAAGCUGUAAAGCAUGGCACACUGAACUAUCGAGUAGUCAUCAGCUUUGCUCUGCUAGACGUUCUUAACGUCGUCAGUUGCAUCUGCAGCAGGCCUGACACCAGGGGUGCUUCCAGGACGUAAUUCUUCUGUGCAGCAAUGAGGAUAAUCCUCAAGUUAUGGACCCAGUCCAUGUAAUUGCUACCAUCAUUCUCAACUUAGCUUUCUCAAGGAAUGCAUUAAAAUUCAACGGAACAACAGCACGAGCCAUCUAUCUACAACAAACAUAGACAAGCAAAAUACUAUCAGGUACUAAGUUCAUGAUAAAUUAAAGUUUAAUUAAUCAUAUUACUUAAGAACUCCCACUUAGAUAGACAUCCCUCUAAUCAUCUAAGUGAUCAUGUGAUCCAAAUCAACUAAACCAUGUCCGAUCAUCACGUGAGAUGGAGUAGUUUUCAAUUGUGAACAUCACUAUGUUGAUCAUAUCUACUAUAUGAUUCAUGCUCGACCUUUCGGUCUCGGUGUUCCGAGGCCAUAUCUGUAUAUGCUAGGCUCGUCAAGUUUAACCUGAGUAUUCUGCUGUGCAACUGUUUUGCACCCGUUGUAUUUAAACGUAGAGCCUAUCACACCCGAUCAUCACGUGGUGUCUCAGCACGAAGAACUUUUGCAAUGGUGCAUACUCAGGGAGAACACGUAUACCUUGAAAUUUAGUGAGAGAUCAUCUUAUAAUGCUACCGUCAAUCAAAGCAAAAUAAGAUGCAUAAAGGAUAAAUAUCACAUGCAAUCAAUAUAAGUGAUAUGAUAUGGCCAUUCAUCAUCUUGUGCUUGUGAUCUCCAUCUCCGAAGCACCGUCAUGAUCACCAUCGUCACCUGCGCGACACCUUGGUCUCCAUCGUAGCAUCGUUGUCAUUUCGCCACCUAUUGCUUCUAUGACUAUCGCUACCGCUUAGUGAUAAAGUAAAGCAAUUACAGGGCGAUUACAUUGCAUACAAUAAAGCGACAACUAUAUGGCUCCUGCCAGUUGCCAAUAACUUGGUUACAAAACAUGAUCAUCUCAUACAAUAAAAUAUAGCAUCACGUCUUGACCAUAUCACAUCACAACAUGCCCUGCAAAAACAAGUUAGACGUCCUCUACUUUGUUGUUGCAAGUCUUACGUGGCUGCUACGGGCUGAGCAAGAACCGUUCUUACCUACGCAUCAAAACCACAACGAUAGUUCGUCAAGUUAGUGCUGUUUUAACCUUCUCAAGGACCGGGCGUAGCCAUACUCGGUUCAACUAAAGUUGGAGAAACUGACACCCGCCAACCACCUAUGUGCAAAGCACGUCAGUAGAACCAGUCUCGCGUAAGCGUACGCGUCAUGUCGGUCCAGGCCACUUCAUCCGACAAUACCGCCGAACCAAAGUAUGACUUGCUGGUAAGCAGUAUGACUUGUAUCGCCCACAACUCACUUGUGUUCUACUCGUGCAUAUAACAUCUACGCAUAAAACCUGGCUCGGAUGCCACUGUUGGGGAACGUAGUAAUUUCAAAAAAAACUUCCUACGCACACGCAAGAUCAUGGUGAUGCAUAGCAACGAGAGGGGAGAGUGUUGUCCACGUACCCUCGUAGACCGAAAGCGGAAGCGUAAGCACAACGCGGUUGAUGUAGUCGUAUGUCUUCACGAUCCGAUUGAUCAAGUACCGAACGUAUGGCACCUCCGAGUACAACACACGUUCAGCUCGAUGACGUCCCACGAACUCCGAUCCAGCAGAGCUUUGCGGGAGAGUUCUGUCAGCACGACGGCGUGAUGACGGUGUUGAUGAUGCUACCGACGCAGGGCUUCGCCUAAGCACCGCUACGAUAUUACCGAGGUGGAAUAUGGUGGAGGGGGCACCGCACACGGCUAAGAGAGAGAUCAAUUGUUGUGCCUAGAGGUGCCCCCCUGCCCCUGUAUAUAAAGGACCAAGGGGGAGGGGGCGGCCGGCCAAGGGAGGGCGCGCCAGGGAGCUCCUACUCCCACCAGGAGUAGGACUCCCUCCUUUCCUAGUCCAAGUAGGAGAGGGGAAGGAAGGGGAGGAGAAGAGGAAGGAAAGGGGGGCCGACCCCCUAGUCCAAUUCGGUUUGGGCUAGGGGGGCCGCGCGCCCCUAGCUGGCCGCCUCUCCUCUUCCUCCUCAUGGGCCCAUGAAGCGCAAUAACCCCCCGAGGGGUUCCGGUAACCUCCCGGUACUCCAGUAUACGUCCGAAACUCCCUGAAACACUUCCGGUGUCCGAACAUAGUCAUCCAAUAUAUCGAUCUUUACGUCUCGACCAUUUCGAGACUCCUCGUCAUGUCCGUGAUCAUAUCCGGGACUCCGAACUACCCUCGGUACAUCAAAACACAAAAACUCAUAAUACCAAUCGUCACCAAACUUUAAGCGUGCGGACCCUACGGGUUCGAGAACUAUGUAGACAUGACCGAGACACGUCUCUGGUCAAUAACCAAUAGCGGAACCUGGAUGCUCAUAUUGGCUCCUACAUAUUCUACGAAGAUCUUUAUCGGUCAAACCACAUAACAACAUAUGUUGUUCCCUUUGUCAUCAGUAUGUUACUUGCCCGAGAUUCGAUCGUCGGUAUAUCAAUACCUAGUUCAAUCUCAUUACCGACAAGUCUCUUUACUCAUUAUGUAAUGCGUCAUCCCGCAACUAACUCAUUAACUACAUUGCUUGCAAGGCUUGUAGUGAUGUGCAUUAUCGAGAGGGCCCAGAGAUACCUCUCUGACAAUCGGAGUGACAAAUCCUAAUCUCGAAAUACGCCAACUCAACAUGUACCUUCGGAGACACCUGUAGAGCUCCUUUAUAAUCACCCAGUUACGUUGUGACAUUUGGUAGCACACAAAGUGUUCCUCCGGUAAACAGGAGUUGCAUAAUCUCAUAGUCAUAGGAACAUGUAUAAGUCAUGAAGAAAGCAAUAGCAACAUACUAAAUGAUCAAGUGCUAAGCUAACGGAAUGGGUCAAGUCAAUCACAUCAUUCUCCUAAUGAUGUGAUCCUGUUAAUCAAAUGACAACUCAUGUCUAUGGCUAGGAAACACAACCAUCUUUGAUCAAUGAGCUAGUCAAGUAGAGCCAUACUAGUGACACUAUGUUUGUCUAUGUAUUCACACAUGUAUUAUGUUUCCGGUUAAUACAAUUCUAGCAUGAAUAAUAAACAUUUAUCAUGAUAUAAGGAAAUAAAUAAUAACUUUAUUAUUGCGUCUAGGGCAUAUUUCCUUCACAGCUUCACUUGGGCUACAAGCAAAGCUGACUCAUCCAACUCUGCAUUAGAUUUCCUCUCAUUGUUUUCACUCGAAGACAUAGGAUUUUUGGUAAGCAUCACGUUAGUUUUCUAACUUUGUUCACUUGGACCCUGCUACUUCUUGAGCUUGCGUUGGUUUUUCCCUUGAAGAGGAAAGGGUGAUGCAGCAAAGUAGACUAAGUAUUUCCCUCAGUUUUGAGAACCAAGGUAUCAAUCCAGUAGGAGACAACGCACAAAUCACCGAAUACCUGCACAAACAAUCAAAGAAACUUGCACCCAACGUGAUAAAGGGGUUGUAAAUCCCUUCACGGUUACUUGCAAAAUUGAGAUAUGAUAGAGAUAGAUAAACGAUAAAGUAAAUAUUUUUGGUAUUUUUGUUUAUAGAUUGGAAAGUAAAAGCUUGCAAGAAUAGUAGAUCGGAAGCUUGUAUGAUGGAAAAGAGACUUUAUAUGAUGGAAAAGAGACCCAGGGGCCAUAGGUUUCACUAGAGGCUUCUCUCAAGAUAGAAAAUAAUACGGUGGGUGAACAAAUUACUAUCGAGCAAUUGAUAGAAAAGCGCAAAGUUAUGAUGAUAUCUAAGGCAAUGAUCAUGAACAUAAGCAUCACGUCCGUGUCAAGUAGACCGAAACGAUUCUCCAUCUACUACUAUUAUUCCACACAUUGACACUACAAAAAAAUAAACUUCCGUGAUGAUACGUGUUUGUCACAGUAGGUUGCGUUUUUUGUCAUGCAUGUACAUCCAUGACAAAUUUAUGACAGAAUCAAGAUAGUCAUACAUGUGCUGUCGUAGAAGUGUUCCAUGACAUUACCAAAAUUAUCAUCAUGGAAGUGUCCACUUCCAUGACGAUAAAUCGCGCGCCGCAGAAGUGCUUUCGUCAAGGGUGACCGACACGCGGCAUCCACCGUAACGGAACGCCGUUAAGCUAUCGGGUCGGGUUUUGGUUCCGAUAACCCGUUAACAGCCCCAACCAAUGGGGAUUUUCCACGUGUAAAAUCAUUAUUGGCUAGAGGAAACAUGUGUCGGCUCAUCGUUGGGACAGAUGUCAUCCACUCAUUGGACAGAAGGCGCCUAUGAUACAUCAACACGUGGCACGGCCAAUCAAGUUUAAAUGGGCCGGCCCAACUAAAGGCCCACAAGAUUUUGCAGCCCAUAAUGGGCCGACCCAGUUAAAGGCCCACGAGAUUUUGUGGACUAUAAUGGGCUGGCCCAGCUAAAGGCCCACAAGAUUUUGUGGGCCAUAAUAGGCCGGCCCAGGUAAAGGCCCACAAGAUUUUUGUGUGCCAUAAUGGGCCGGCCCAGGUAAAGGCCCACAAAAUUCUUGCGGAUCAUAAUGGGCCGGCCCAGCUAAAGGCCCGCGAGAUUUCGCCGACAUUAAUGGGCCGGCCCAGCUGUAGGCCCACAAGAUUUUGAGGACCCUAGUAGGCCGGCCCAUUAACUGGCUGCCAUGUUUUGGGCCAAAUGCCGGCCCAUAAUUGAUCCGGUCCAUUAAUGGCCUGCCACAUUCCGGGCCUAAUAAUGGCCCAUAUAAGAUCCGGCCCAUUAAAAGCCUCCCACUUUCUGGGCCAAAUUACGGCCCAGAUCAGGUCCGGCCCUUUAAGAGGCUUUGGGCUCAAUUAUGGCCCAUAUCAGAUUCGGCCCGUUGACUGGACGCUAUGGUUUUGGGCCCACUUGCUAAAGGCCUAUUUAGUAAUUCGGCCUGAUAUUAGUUUCAGCCUUUUAAGGGCCCAUUUAACAUUUCGGCCCUAUAUUAAUUUCGGCCUGUUAAAAGCCCGUCAUAUAGUUGGGCCUAACUACGGCCCGGUUUGCAUCCGGCCUGCUCGCAGCCGAUAUCUGAUUGGGCCAAACAAGGACCGAGACAACUUUGGCUUGUUAAAAGCCCGUGAAAUUGAUUCGCACAAUCAUGGGCCGGGGUCCAUUUCGGGCCGCCGUCGGCCUGUGAGCUAUUCGGCACGUUUCAGGCCCAGCCUACUUCUCAGCCUCCUAAAAGCCCAUUGAGUUUUCUUGCGAAAAGAGGGUCGGGGGUUACUCGGCCUAUUAAAGGCCCGAAUCUACUAGUGGGCCAGUUUAACGGGGCCCAUGAUGCGGAUCAUACAUCGUGAUUGCAUGACGGCCCGAUUAUGUACCGUAAUUUUACGGUUUGGUCGGUUUACUGCGAAGACAAGAUAUAUAUAGAGUAAAAUAACUGCAACAUCGUGAAUAAGAAAAAACCUAGACUAUACAAUAAAGAAAUUACGACAUAUUACAACCACUGGGCAUCAAAGUUCGCCACUAUGAUAAUAAAGCACCAGCAGACAGCAGAUUACAUACACUGGGCAUCAAAGAUCGCCACCAGUGCAAAUAAACACACCGACAAAAUAAUAUACAAAACCGACAGCACUUCAAUAGAGUUCAAGAAAGGUUAGCCCUGCUGGGGAGCUGCAGCGCAAGCAGCUGAGCAAGAUGAUGAGACUGCGCUUGUUCAACACUUAUAUCUUCCUCACUCUGAAAGAUAAACAAGCAGACAGAUGACAUGUUUUGCACAUAAAAGUAUCAGUGCUGACAAUUCAUCACAUUUCUUACUGACGAAUAAAGUGACACAGUUUAAAAUUGCAUUAACACAAUAUGGUAUUGUUCAGGUCAAGACAUGACAGGAAAUGACAUUGUGAAGGAGUUGGCAGCUUCACGACACCACUGGAUUACAGAUCAAGAACUCAUAAGUAUCAAUGGUUAGUGUGUUGUCAAUUUAUCCCAUUUCAGAUUGGCAAAUAAAGAGACGGUUUAAAUAAUAGUAGAAUGAUAUGACAUUGUUCAUAGUUAAGACAUUGCAGAAUAUGACAUUGUGAUGUAGUGGGUAGGUUCACCACACCACUGGAUUACGGAUGAAGAACAGAAGCAUACAUGCAGUGCAAAAGAAGAUCACUUGCUCUGUAUAGUUUAAUUUACAUGGUAUGAAGAAGGAACUUGGUUGUACAACUGAAAACUUAAAUUGAGAAGGACAAACUUUUGUUUAUGAACUACAUAAUAAACUUUAAACAUGCAAUUUGAUGCAAACACCAAAAAUAAACAGUUGUUGUAGUCAUGCCUAACCAAAUAUACACAACAAAGUUUGAAGGCUUGAGAAGGACAAACUUACAUUACUGGUGAAGACAGGCUCUAUAAAGCCCUUGUCCAUGCUAAUGGGGGGGGGGGCAAUUCAAGAAGUUUAGCACAAAAUCUUCUUCAUAAGCAUUGCCUUUAUUCUACAUUUUGUUAAGAGUAAAUAUAGAUGUGAUAAUAUACGAAAAAAUGGAGAAUAUUUAAGAUAAGAUGAAGAGUGAUGCUACAUAACCAAGUAGCUAUAAAUGUAUGUCCAGCGAUACAGGCAAAAGGCACAGCCAAGAGCAAUGCACAGCUAAACUUCUUCAGUAUCAACCUUAUGGUAAGAGUAAAUAUAGAUCUGAUGUGUAGAAAAUGGAGGGGAAAGGAAAAUAAGCUGCAGAGUGAUGGUACAUGAACAACUACCUGUCAAUAUAAGUACACUAAUAAAGGACAGCAUGUACUUACAAGAACAAUGCAGAGCUAAAAAAAUUCAUUGGCAUUGGAUAUAUUCUACACUAAUGUAACCAUUCAUACAGAUCAAAUAAUUUGGAGCGAACAAUUGAUAAGCAAGCUAUCAUGCAUACUGCUGUCACAUAAUGAACCAGGUAUGUAUGCAAGUACAGUGAUACAGGACAACAGGUAUGAACAAGAGCAAAGCAGCAGGCAGCAUAUUUGCGAUAUCCCGUCGUUCUUUUCAAACCGGAAUUCUUCUUCGAGCUAAUUUCCUGCAAAAAAGAUCCGUAAGGCACAUGCGGAAAAGUAGAAGUUCAAAUUGUCAUGUGAUUUCAUAGACAAUACCUCAUCCUGGGAACGAGACCAGUGCAUAGCAAGGUUUUUCCAUUCAAUGUCUUCUAAAUUUAGCACAGGAGACUUCACCAGAAAUUCGUUUAUAGACUUGCCAUCAAAGUGUGAUUUCCUCAGGUAACACCGAUACUGCUGCAAUGCUUCCUUGAAAAGCACAAGCAAGCUUUGCUCGUCAUGACUAUCCAGAUUGACCCUCACCUAGUUACAACAAUGUAAUGUAAAUCAUUGAUGUGUUCGAUCAGCAGAAAACAGGAAAAUAAUAACCAUGAAUAAUAGCACUUACACGUAAGUUGGACAGGAAGAUGUGAAAAUGGUGUUUGUCUUCACUAUAAUCUUCCCAUGAUGGGAAUAUAUGCACGUAGUCCCUAACAACAUUGAAAGCAUUGUCUUUUAAACUGGGAAUAAAUGGAAUGGGGUUCCAAUCUGCAAGAAUUGGCCGUCUCUGCAGUUGGGAUAGGUCUUUGGCCGGUGGACUUGCUGCACCUUUUGCUGGAGUGGGAUUUUUCUGUGGUACGGCUGGUGCUAUGGCAAAUGAAAUCGGUAUACCUUUUGCUGGAGUGCAGGUCCUGUGUGGUGGGGCUAGUGGUGUGGCCAGUGAAGUAUGGGUACAGUCUGCUGGAGUCGGUCCUAUGUUUUGUGUCACUGGUUGUACAGCCAAUAUAAGUGGGGCGCUGUCUGAUUUCUCUGGCACCACCACGUUUUUCAAGGACUUUGCUGGUGCUCCUUCAGGUUCGGCAAUCACCCUCUUCCUUUUUGAUGUCUGAUGCAUAAGAAUAGCAUUUGAGUGGAAAAACAUGGUAUGAUGACAGAUGGAAUAUGUAUUGAUAAUGGAUGGGCAUGGCAUCUCGAGUUAUAUGAUGAGUAAACUAAGCAGAUGGUGGUGCAACAAAGUAGAAGAAAUGCAAGACAACAUAUGCAAGAUACGCGCAAUCAAUAAACCUUGCCAAAUUAGAACAGGCACCUUGAUGGGUGAACAGGACAGGCCAUCUGCCUUUGACUCCUCGAGGUUAGAAUAGUCAUUAGGAUGAUAUUCUGAACAAGAAUCAACAGGUGGGGAGCGUACGAGUUUCAUUGCUUCCAGAAUGGCACUCAAUGCCUUGGUGCCAAUUUUGUAAGUCAUUGCAGUGUUCCACAAUAUUCUUCUGAUGCGCGGAUUCUGAUAUUCAUUGUAAUUGCGUAUAAUAUCUGAGAACCAUGAAAACAUAAAUAGUUGUGAGAUUAUCUUUGUAACGCAGAUGAUAUUCUAAUAUAGGGGCGCCCCUAUAACACUUAUGUGCUAUCACUGGAUUCUGAUGAGAGAGCUCAUGUGUGCUGUAAUAUCGUGCGUGCAUUUACUGGCACAAGUACACAAAAAAUAGGCUCCAGAAGUAAGGAUAGCUGGCAGAUGAUAGGUUCAUAAUAUACUGUAUAGAGAGUUUAUUGCCAAACCAUGAUAACAAGAGCACACAACAACUAGGCAGAUCAUAGUGUACAUAACAGGGGUACACCAUAACAACAAUAUAUAAAUCAGGAAAGUGGAACUGGCUUGAAAAUACGGUGUUGUAUUGCCGCUAGUAAUUGAAAGCCUAUCGAUCAUGUAUACGCCAGCACUAUCGAACAUGGUAAAAAAAGAGCAAGCAGAUUUUGGAUAAUAAAAUGUUGGUUGCGAAGUGCCCACACAUGAUGAACCAGAGCACAUUAAGAAUGCAACUCCCAGCUGUCUCUCGACCAUUUCAGGCGGUUGGAUGAAGAUCCUACAUCUCCUAACCCUUCUUCUUCCUCGUCUCUAAUUCUUCCCAUACAGAACAACGCACGGGCCGCCGACCGGACCACCGGCCCCCACCGCCUGUGUUCCUCCGCCACCCCCACCCCCACCCGCGUCAAGUUUUCUACGUUCGGCGAGGCCCCACAACCACCCGAGCCCCUUGGAUCGCACCGGCGAACUCCGACGAGCUCUGAAAAAUUGACUGGCCCAAUUUUGAAAUUUAGUCUACUGUGAUUUAACUAGUGUGGAAUAUAAAAGGGGAAAACCAUAAGCAUUGGGAGUAUAGUGUUGAGCGUGCCAUGGCGGAUCUGAAGGUGCAAACCGGCCAAAGGCAACUUCGCAACCAAGACAAGAAAUCAGAGUAAAGCAGUGGCGAUCUAUUUUCUUACUGCAAUAAAUAAGUUGAGCAGAUACGAAAGAGUACCGCCUCUGGUGCGGCGUCGUGUACGCAUCUGCUAAGAAUGUGAUGGUGCUGCGGUAGCGAUGGCUGUCGACAGCGUGGAAGAAGAUCUAGAAGGAUAGACGAUGGCGGCGGGGCGCGGUGGACGAGACGGUCGUAGGAGCGGCGCCGGCAAGGUGGACGACGGCGGGGAUGAAGCAAGAGGACGGGAUGCAAGGAUCCCGGUCCGAAGGCAUGGAUGAGAGAGGUUGAUCUCUUGUAAUGGACGGCGGCGUCGGGGUAUCAACUCCGGCAUGGUGGAGGAGGACGGCGGUGGAUGGGGUGGCGGACGGCGGCGGACGGAGGAGGGUGGGGUGGAGAGGGUGUUUUGGCGCCCACGGAGUACGAAUGGGGAAAAGAGAGGUAGAGAGGAAGGGGAACCAUGUAUUCAAGGCGCUCUUGUCUCAAAUGCGAGGAAAUUUACAAACUUAGCCCCCGUUUCAAAUUUCUACUACAUCACAACAACAUUAGUCGGUUGGGGAUAGGACGGUAAUCUCGCAUACACCGAAUAUUUGCCGACGAGAGUUUGUUUUUGGCACCCACCGUGUAUGAAUAUGAAUCGGGGAGGGUGUCAAUUUCGGCCGAGGGCACACUGUGUUUUGGCGCCCACCGUGUAUGAAUCCGGGUGAGAGGCGGUUACGUCACGUUUGGGUGAAAUUACAAACCUACCCCUAUUGAAACCUAUAGAAAUCCAGCAGAUAGGCUUUGCGUGGGAGGGAUAGGCAGUAGUGAUUUCCAUCUCGCAGAUUUUGGUUUCGGGCGGUUACUGCGACUUUCCCCGCUUUGUUCAAAUUUUGCACAAUGCAUGUUUACCGUGCCAACUCAAUUCGAAUCCCGUUUGUAUUCUACUAUUUUUUCGGGCGGGAUCCAUUUUCAAUUGGAAUUACAUUCUAUAUACAUCAUUUUUUAUAUAUACUUUUGAAAGCACAACACCAUUUAUACAUAAAUAUGGUUUACAAAUGGCAUGAUCUCAGAUUCAUAAGGUUGUAUCCAUCAAUUUGGAUUUUCAAAUAUUUGAAACCACUUUAUGUUGAAAUCCAAUGUAUGCAUUCCUCGCUAACUGUCUCCAAUUAAUGUGUGUUUCAUGCGGGUUUUUUAACUUCUCAAACAUGUAUAAUGUGUUUCACACACGCAACAUAUAGUGUAAUCCCGUUUAGACAUUAAUUUCAUAUAAACCAUGCAUUGUUUGUAAUUGAAGAAUCUAUGGAUCACCAAUAUUGAUAAACUAUAUAACAUUACACGUGUGCCCAAAUUCAAAUGAAUAUGCAUGUUUGAUACACCAAUUUGCGUUAUGAUAUUAUCGAUGUCGUGAUCUCCAGUUUAAAUAUUUGAAUCCCCUUUAAUCCAGAUAUUUGUCUCAUAUAGCUAUCACUCAUGUUUAUAUAGGCUAUCUCUUUGGACCUAUACGUGUUCAUUGUCUCUCAGGCAUCUCUCGUGCUACCUGUAUGUCGACAAUGAUCUUUUAUCUUCGUAACACACUGACGACACUCUCUCCCUCGACCUUCAUCACUCUAUCUCUCUCUAAGUAUAUCUCGCUCCCUUCUAUGUGUCUCUAGCUAUGAUUCUCCACGUGGAAUCUCUUUCUCUCACACAAACACAAAACUUUGUCUCCCAGGGUCUCAUUUCUCUCAACUAUUCCCAUGUGUGCCACUCGCACACCCUUCAUACAGAGAUGUCUUUCGCUCCUUAGAUAUGAGAACCUACGACUCUUCCUCUUCAAUAUCUCUUUCUCACACACAAACACAAACUCUGUCUCCCAGGGUCUCAUAUUUCUCCAUUGUUCUCUUGUAUGUCGCUCAAACACACCCUCUCUCCCUAGAGAUAUCUUGCGUUCCCUCAUAUGUCUCUCUAGCUAUCACUCUCGUUGUGAAAUAUCUUUCUCUUUCACGGACACAAAACUCCGUCUCUCUGGAUCACAUUUCUCUUUGAUAUCUAUUUGUAUGUGACUCACAUGCACCCUCUCUCUAUCUCUCUCACACCCACACACAUAACCCAGCCUUCUGAUCCACUCGACUCCUAUCUCUAGCGCACACUAGCUAGCAUCUUUAUCUUUCUAUUUAUAUGUUUCUCCAUCAACCUUCUUUCUCGCCCUCACUCUUGAUUCCUAUCACGCACACUACAUAUGUUUCUCUCUACAUGCAGUCAAGUGCCCUCUCACACACAUAUAUAACUUCACCCUUUGAACCACCCGACGGUCAUCUCCGACACCCAAACUAACGGAUGUCUCUCUAGCUAGCAUCUCCAUCGCUGUAUCUAUCUGUAGUUUCUCCGUCAACAUUUCUUUCUCGCACGGAGUCUUGCUUCCUAUCACCCACACUAUAUAUGUCUAUCCAUACAUAUGCAUUUAUAAGUUGAUCUCUUUUGCACAAUCGUUGCGCCUCACCCCCUCUGCUCGCCAUAGAUGCAUGCUCUAGCCCACGCCACUAUCUCUUAAAGACAAAAACACAUGCUCAAUUGUCGGGCCUUCUUCCCUGCAUUCUCACAUGCAUGCAUAUUGUCAUACCGAUCCGUCUCUCCCAUGUCGUUGAUCUUAGGACUUAUGUCUUCUUUCUUUUAUCUCGAUCAUGCGCGCGCGCACACACACACACACAUCCCACGUAUACAUGUAUACCUCUCACACAUGCACGUUCAAGGUCUCUAUGUCUCCAUACGUAGUUAAUUAACCUCAAUCCUAACGCCACAUCGAAUCGUUCUCCUCUUUUGUGCACAUAACUUCCGCCUGGAUGGGCAAAACACACACUCACACUUAACAAUCUCCUUCUAGCUACCCCCCCCCCCCGCGCGCCUUUCACUCUUCCCCUAUAUCCCCGAAACCAAUAAGACCAUCCCUUUGUUUAAUUCCCGCCUACAUGCACCAUCGAUAUAUAGUAGUCUUCCUUGGUGGCUCUUGAACAAACACGUUCUCUCGAUGCUCACGCGCACACACCUUCUCUUCCCUCCCUACGGGCAUUUUCUCUCUCNNNNNNNNNNNNNNNNNNNNNNNNNNNNNNNNNNNNNNNNNNNNNNNNNNNNNNNNNNNNNNNNNNNNNNNNNNNNNNNNNNNNNNNNNNNNNNNNNNNNNNNNNNNNNNNNNNNNNNNNNNNNNNNNNNNNNNNNNNNNNNNNNNNNNNNNNNNNNNNNNNNNNNNNNNNNNNNNNNNNNNNNNNNNNNNNNNNNNNNNNNNNNNNNNNNNNNNNNNNNNNNNNNNNNNNNNNNNNNNNNNNNNNNNNNNNNNNNNNNNNNNNNNNNNNNNNNNNNNNNNNNNNNNNNNNNNNNNNNNNNNNNNNNNNNNNNNNNNNNNNNNNNNNNNNNNNNNNNNNNNNNNNNNNNNNNNNNNNNNNNNNNNNNNNNNNNNNNNNNNNNNNNNNNNNNNNNNNNNNNNNNNNNNNNNNNNNNNNNNNNNNNNNNNNNNNNNNNNNNNNNNNNNNNNNNNNNNNNNNNNNNNNNNNNNNNNNNNNNNNNNNNNNNNNNNNNNNNNNNNNNNNNNNNNNNNNNNNNNNNNNNNNNNNNNNNNNNNNNNNNNNNNNNNNNNNNNNNNNNNNNNNNNNNNNNNNNNNNNNNNNNNNNNNNNNNNNNNNNNNNNNNNNNNNNNNACUCCAUCUCUCUCUCUCUCAUCUCUCUCUCCCUCUCUCCCUCUCUCUCUCACACACACACACACACCACACACACUAAGACUCCAUCUCACACACACAUGCUCUAGGCGGAGCAUUUGUUCCUACCACCCUUCAUCCAACCUUACCCGUAUGAUAAACAAUCAACUUUAUUUACUUGCAUAACAUGGACAGAUUCCACUUUACUUUAGUAGUCAGCAAACUUAUCAUCUGUACCCUUAUAAAAAACGAGUUGGCGAUGAUGGUGUGCCUGCCAUCUUGUAAUACAGACCGUAUGAUAUAUAUCUGACGGACAGGAAGCAAACUAUGAUAAUUUUACAAAAGAUACCCGCACCUCUCUCCACAUCAUUAUCUCCCGCAACCUCAUUGCUCAGCAACUAAAAAAGGAAUAAGUCUCUGGAACAAUCUAGCAUGCAUGGUGGCCGCUGCCGCCUGCCGGCGCCGUCCAUCCCCAUGCCUCCGCCCAUUCUGACCACCAGUCACCACCACGCUCCACUCCUCCUCGCCUUAUCUCUCAUCUUUCAUUUUUUUUCGAUGACAUUCUCAAGAUACCAGUUUUCCGAUAAAAUUCUCGAGAUAUCAUUAGUUUUUACACAUGGGAUUACUCCUGCAUGGGUCAAUCACAACAGGUGUUUUGUAAAAAAAUGCAUAUUGACGUUCCGUGCAAUGCAUGAGAAUCUUGCUUGUAAUUAUAUAACGCAAAUCACGAGCAGGAAGUGACAUUUUUUUGACACAACCACGUUAACAUGGCCACGUAAAUCACGAGAAGGAAGGAGAAGGGAAGCGGGCUGUGGAGUAACGUUUUUUACCACAAUUUCUUAGGAAACUGAGUGCAAUAAUUGAGUAAUUUUGCAAACUACCAUUACUACUACACCUGAAAUGGUUCAAAACCUAUACUCCCUUGCCAGCGCGUGCUUCCCGCAUGAAAUGGUCAGCGUCGCCCUGGAGCGUCAGUGCCGCAUUAAUGCCCGGCCAGAGCGGAGGUGACCUCUCACUGGCGCCGGCUUUGAAGUGGCGCGACGGCCGAGAGAGCGCCGCUUCCCGGUGCACGCGACUACUCCACGUCGAGACUGGCCAUAGGCCCUGUUUGGAUCCAUGGGUUAGAGUUAGUUUGAGCUAGUUGGGGCUCAAAUAGCCCUAAAGUAUCCAAGCAUGAGGGUUUAAAUUGGAGCAAGUUGCACCGAACCCACCAAAAAAACUAUCCCACCCAAGAGGUGCUAACUGGAGAUAGUUCUCAUUGGGACCACUGAAAAAUCACUUUUCUCUCUCCAUGAAGUGCAUUUAUUGUCAAUCUAACCCUAUCACCCAAACACCUCUUUGGCUACAGUUAGUUUAGGGUUAGUCAUGAGUUAGUCUAACCUCUAGCUAAAUUAGAGUAUCAAACAGGAGCAGUAUAGGACAUGCAAGUUGCUCAAAGCAUACAUGCAAAUUCGUACGUGAAAGGAUUUUUUUCUUUUUGAAAACGGAACAUGAAAGGAUUUUUUUAGAAUGCUCUUGGCAUGUCGCUAACAUGUGAUAGUUAACCGACCUCAAUAGACGGCAGAAACGCCAGCCCGCCGCACUUUGAUAGAGACGAGGAGGGAGAAGCGAUACAGGCUGCUGGAUUACUAGAGAUAGGUGUCGCACGGAAGCCAAGAAAUAUGGUGAUAGCGUGGGUUAGCCAUGUACUAGUAUGAUGUAACUACACUGGGCUGCCGUGUUUCGUACUCUUCCAGUCCACUGUGGAGAUGAUUGGUUAAUUUUAUAUCGCUGAAUAAUAUUAAAUAUUAUGAGUGCAGACGCUCCACCACGAGGUUCCUUGCUCCUUCUCGGUCGUCCGGAAUCUAUGUUCUUCCACUCUAUUUUUUUACGUGAGCUUUGUUCAUCCUUUUGCCAACACGCGAGACAUCUAGCAUCAAGGCGCACGUGUUAUGCAAUGAUCGUUCCAUCUAUAUGAAGAACACAUGGCACUGGAACUACGAGACGGACAUGUACCCAAGAGUGGACGUACAAACCUGAGUAAUGUAGAGCAGUAAGUGAAGUAGAAAGGCACAAAUGGUAUGAACAUGUGUGGCAUACAUGGUGUGUUUGGUUGCGUUCUCGUCUCAGCAUAGUUGUUCCCUCUUCAUGCAUGCUCAACUCAACACCCCUCUUCAUGCAUGCUCUCUUCAUGCAUGCUUCUAGUGUAUUUGUGCUAAACUAGUGUGGACUCAUGCACCCUCCAUACACUCUACCAAACACCCAAAAGUAGGUCCAGAAGGGAACUCUUGGGCGGCAUUUGUCUCUUACUACGUACUACCACUAAAUGUUGUACGUGCAAUGCACGGUGAUGUUAUGGAGUACGUGCCUAAGUACUCUACUACUACUAUAUUAGUUGGAGGCACAUAUUAACUUUUAUAUUUGUUUACGUGUAUGCCCCGAGACCUUCCAACUAGACGUGUCUUUCUCUUCAGGUCGCACUUUGUAUCGUUCAUACCACUAAGUACUACUACGUGUGGUCUCCGAACCAGAAGUGGAAGAAGUGGAGACGCUCUACCACGCUGUUUUUUUACGCCGGGCUCUACCACGCUGUUUUUUUACGCUGGGCUCUACCACGCUGUUCAUGUCCCACUCCUUUCGCUGAUGUGUGAGACAUCCAGCACGUGUCGUGUUUGGCACCCUUCGUCGUAAGAGUUGAAACACUAGCAUUCAUCAGAAAUAAAAAAUAAUUAUAAAUCGGCAGUGAUACUAUUUUUUUGCGAACCAAUCAGCAGUGAUACUAUACCACGCGGUUUCCUUGCUCCUCGAUAUCGGAAAGAAUACUCCCUCCGUCUAGGUGAGUAAGUCAUCUUAUGAAAACCAAAUAGUCACAAAACACAUAGGCGCGGUGCAUUAACUCUCACGUUGUUUCUUAUUUUUUUGACAUAAAUAAAGGAAUCAACAAAUAAGAGAUGUGGGGCAUGUAUGCUUUUAAUGACUUGAGACUAUCAAACAUGACAUGCAGUGGUCAGUUUAUUGCAUGCAAUGAUAUUAAUUAGCAAAUAAACAUUAAGUUCUCUCGUUUUCCUCUCCACCUUGGUCAUGGUGCACAAUCUAAGAUGACUUAUUCACCUAGACGGAGGGAGUACUUCCGUUCGCCAACAUGUGGGACGUCGACCAUCCUGGUCCACUUGCCAUGCACGCAGAACUCCAAGGGAGAGUCACCCAGGUCGUCGCGCCGCAGUAACAAUGACUAAUGAGCCGUCAAAUCACAGGCCCACUUCCCACUUUGAAGUUGCUCGGACGAAGGAACCAUCAUGACUUCAUUGAAUUCCGCUUCUUGAAGAAAACUACUGUACCAGCAGUACUGCUAGCUACAGUAUUUACUCCAACAGAGGCCUCCUUUCAUUCAUAGGAUAGGAAUAUGAAAAUCAUAGGAAGUGAGAUGACAUGCAUCUCAAUUCCUAUAGAGAAAGAGAUGCCAUUUGAUGCAUAGGAUAGGAAUUUUUCCAUUUAGUCUAGGAUAAUGUACUGGUAAUUUGCUCUAAAAACUACAGUAGUAACUAGUAGUACUGGUACAUGCUCGUACUCAGACACAGACACACACACUAACUACUAGUACUACUGCUUCUCACAUGCUGGCCAGACGCCGUCGUUCUCCUUCCCGGCUUUGUUGGCGACACCCCACCGUGCUUGGAUCUCCGCCGACCUCUCCACAGUAGCGCGUGCGUCCUUUUCUUUCUUGCAGUGGUGGGCCUCUCUUUUCUUGAGUGCUUUCUGACUUUUCCGCUCCCUCUGUGCGGCUUUGGCCGCCUCUUGCUCUACCGCCCAUUCGGCCUUGGCAUCUUCAAAUUCCUCCCACAUAGUUGUGAGGUCGCGAGCGGCGAUGAACUCGGCACGGCGGGAUGCCAUCGCUUCCCUACCAUUUUGUGUGCGUUCGUGGGCGGCGAGGAACUCGACGUGGUGGGAUGCCAUCGCUGCCUUACUGGUUAGUGUGUGGCGCAGUGGCAUGAACGACGCUUGGUGAGAGCUCUGGGGUGGAGUGGCCGGACAACCGUAUAGUGCAUUGGUUUGUCAAGAGCUCAAGGACAGAAGACGAAGCAAAUUAGGAUUCCCCUUCAAUCCUGGUCAUUUAUUACCGAGUAAAAUGCAUAGGUGGUCAUCGAAAUUGUCUUGAUAGCUCACUUUGAUUAUUGUAUACGAGAUAUGGUGAUUAUAUGGUCGCUGGCUCAGUGUAUAGCUCCGUAUUUGUAUGGUUGACCAGUCAAACAGUCCGCAUGCGCCUCAUCAGCUCGUGUUCUUUAUCUAUCUACGUGGGCCUACCUAUGAAUGGAGAAAGAAUGUGGGGAAUCAAACCACGGACUCGUCGCUGCAACGCACCCUCGUCAGCCAAAUGAAAAUGAAAUACUUCGCGUCAGACACUCACGCUCACGCUGUCAAAGCAUGCUAAUGCAUGCACGUCGCCCUCUAAAUCAAAGUCCUGCUCAUGGCACAACGCAAACGGCGAGCCCAUCACCUGCGCGCCCCGGCGGUGCCUGACAUUACUGUUUAGACGUUUGAUGGAGGCCUAUGCGAACGCCGAGCAUGUAUUCACCUGGCUCAACACCAACAGUCAUACUCGGACCGCCUUGCUCAUGUAUAUCGUCCAUCACAACGACAAUCUAUAAAACAGCCUAAGCUAGAGAGGGUACUAUGGUAGUAUGGUACGGAGUAUGUACUAUCGCGAGCGACCGAUCUUAGUGCCACUGCACACCGAAACCCCUUCCAUCGCUAGCACGCGCUUCCCACCUAAAACGGUCACCGUCUCUCCAGAAUGUCAAUGCCGCAUUCACCGGACUUAAUUGCAGGUGCAAUUGGUGUGUCACUGACAUGCGAGCAGGACGCUCGUUGGGCCCACAUGUUAGUAACCCAAAUGCAUCUGCAGUUAAGUCACUGAAGCAGCGUCCGCAUUCACGCCCGACGAACCUACUCCGGCGCCAGUUGUCCAUCCGUCUGCCGCGGCUCAUUGCCAUUCGCCUGCUAUAUUAACUUGAGCCCUAGCUCCCAGCCAUAGCCAAAGACCCACACGUAUUCUCCUCCGGUCCCUUCCUUCUGUCGGCACCACUUCAACCAUGGCCUCCUGGCGCUCUGAAGCUCUCUUGGACAUAUUGUCGCAAGAGCAGACAUGAGACAUCUGCAGCUCCGCUCUGGGCGCGCUCCAAAGCUCUCUUUGACGUACUGUCGCAGGAGCAAACGAAGGAGAUUGCCGGCACCCCCCGGGCCGCCCUCCGCUGCCACCACCAUGAAGCCGGCGCGCGUGCGCGGGCACAGCCGACAGCGAGGAAGAGUAGUACACGGUAGGUCACUGCCGCUCUGGUCCCGGGAAGGCCACCACUACUCCACUCAGUCGACGCCAAGCUUGGUGGGGUAAACAUCGGCGGCCGAUUAGCCACUUGAUGGCAACAUGGAGGCGGAAAUCUUCAUAACCUUGUGCUCCGACCGGAGGAGGUGGUUAUCGAGGCGGAUAAGGAGGAGGCAAAGGCAAUGGCCGGCUUUCUCGGGUUCAUGGCCGGACAUGGUGGUUGGGCGCCAUCGAUCGUUUAGAUUAGGUUUACAGUAGGUUUAGUACGGUUUGUGCGAAAUAUGUAAUGAAUUUCGUCCAGUUUGUAGGAAAAGUUUUCAAAAUGUAAUGAAUUUCAUCCGGUUAAUUUCAUCCGGUUAAUUUGAAAUUUGCUUUGUUUGCACGAAUUUCGUCCGGUUAGUUCAUAUAGUUGUCGAAGGGUAUGCGGGCAGCAUCGGAUGGCAUCCAUCAGUGUCCUCGGACAGAUGCCGGUGUAAAUUUGUGGGCCAGCGCUGGAGAUGCCCUAACUAUCAUGCUAUAAUCGCUAACAAUCAUCCAUUAUUUGGCAGGGAACAGUUAUCCCUCGAUCAAAAUCAGAUCCGCAGUGUUUCGCACUCCUCCCGUGUAAGAGUGUAAACUCUUGCUUACAUAAAAAUGGAGCAAGUGGACGGCACUGUAGCAUGUCAUAUCGCUCGAACUAGCCUGCCUACCGAGCAGGAAAGCACCACCCUUGUCAUUUUGUUCUGGAUUUCUAUCGAUCGAUCGCCCGAAAAUGUUACGCUUUGCAAGUUCUAAAGGAAAAGGUGGCACACUUACGACUCGUACGCGUCGCAACCCCGACAGUCCGGCUCGCACGCCGCUCACCAGAGGGGAUGCGUGUUGUCUUGCAAUUUCACUGACAUGUGGGACCGUAAUUGAAUAAACCGUCGAUAGCCGAAAUCUAAUCGCUUGGUGGGCGUCGGCUGAGAAGAGAGAAACAGGGGAGGGAGAAGAGAUCGCCCGCCAGCCGCGCACAGACUCCAAGAAAUAUAUGGUGAUAACGUGAGGUGGGCCAUGCUGGAGUCCGGACCGCUUUCGGAGCCCGCUCUCACCGCCCUGGCCCCUCAAGACGCCAGCUACCCGCUGCAUGCAUAGCAAGUAGUCCCCGCUUAUGUGGAGGAGAGAGAGGCAUUGACAAAGUCAAGGAGUAACAGUGGAGACAAUAGCUUUCAUCAAAAAUAAACAAUGAAUACUCGUUGCUCGUCCUCUAUAUCGGAAAGAAUACUUUCAUUCGCCGACAUGUGGGACGUCGACCAUCCUGGUCCACCUGCCAUGCACAAAAUUAUCCUGGUCUACACCGGUCGUAUCGCAGGCCCAACCAUUCCCACUGUAAGUUGUUCGGACGAAGGAACCAUCAUGACUUCGUUGAAUUCCUCUUCUUCAAGAAAACUUACUGUACCUACAAUACUGCUACCACACGCGAAGACUGGAUGGCACUGUACCACGUCAUAUCACUAAAACCCACUAGGCCAAAUUAGCCCGCCUAGGUCAUCUAUUUUGGAACGGAGGGAGUACGUCUCUGCACUGCUAUGAUUUUGUGUUGCACGUUCUCUAUACUUUUGCUACAAUUUUCCUACCAUAUGAACCAAAUGAGGCCUGAAUGUAUGUCGACUAUUGUCUGAUCGAUCGCUAAGCCUACAAUUUUAGGAGCUAGGGCUAUUGGUUGAUCAACGAGGGAUAAGUAUAAGCGUACCACGAGCUCAUCAGCCCCAACGUUUCUCUUCGGUGAGUGUUUUGUAACUACUAUAGCUCGCACAGUAGCUAGCCUACUAACACCAAGAAUCAUCAAACAAGCCCUACUGAUAUGAUAAACAGUUCAAACUUACAUCUAAGCAUGCCAUAUAUUACAUCAAAAGCUGGUGAGGAUACAUCUAUUUCCAUAACUCGGAGAGGGUUCGCAUGAUUCAUCGCAUGAUUCACUAUCAAACAAAAGUAGCAAGAUCCGCCCACACAAGACAGUGCACUAGCCCUAAGAUGGUUUGAUAACACGCAUCAUUCUGGUAAUUAAACACAGGGUAAUGCAAACUACCUGAAGGAUUAGCGCGACCAACUAUUUCUUGUCAUCGAUCUCUCGGGCAAUGACCACAGCACGGACAGUGGCAUGGGAAUCAAUUUCUGGGGCGAUGUCCACAGGACUGACCGCGACAUCGAAAUCGAUCUCUGGGGCGAUGUCCACAGGAUGGACAGCAGCAUCGAAAUCGAUCUCCAGGGCGAUGCCAACAGGACGGCCCACGACAUCGGAAUCAUCAAGGACAACCACCGGCACCUGCACAACCCUAACAUAUUAGCAAGCACAUUGCAAAUAAUCAAAAAGCAAGCACAUUGCAAAUAAUCAAAAACCACAACUAUGGUAAUAAGCCAUUAUUUUUUACCUUGUGCAGCUCACCAAGGGAUCUCAUCCCUCCGGGGGCCAUCUCCUCGUCCUCGAUGGGGGCCAUCACCUUGCCAGGGGAAUACUGCUUCUCAACGGCGACUAUCUCCUCAAACUCAGUCUUGAGCCUCACAUAGGUGGCAAUCGGAGUUCCUGGGGUAGGCAUGGUGGGGCCCUUGCUGUUCUUCCAACUUUCUUUGAGGAGUUCGUCCGCCAAUGUCCUCAACUCUUUGGCCAGUGCUUGUUUCUUGGAGUUCUUCGUCUCCAUGGGUUGGCCCGCCAACAUGGUCAACUCGUUGGUCGGUGCUCGCUUCCUGGAGAUCGCUAUCUCCAGUGGGUUGUCCACCGGCAACUCUUUGCCUAGUGCUCCAGGAUCCAUCAAUGAACUGACAAACAAAAAGCAAUCGAAAGGAAACCACAAUCGCAAUGAAAACGGGAAAAGAAUAGGAUGUGAGAAUCGGUCAGUGCUUCACAAAAAGAAGAUUAUUUGAAUGAAAAUAUAGCAGCAUAACCGAUUCGCCCACCUUUCCUUCGUCGGUAGAGAAGAAAAAUGGCAGAAGUGAGUAGCCUGGAGUGAGGUUUUCUUCAAGAAAGGGAAGAAAGGGCUUGAACGAGUGUUCCAAUGAAAUGAUGGUUGCUUCGUCCAGUCCAACUUGGAGGCCACCUUACCAUUGCUGGUAAAGGUGUGGGUUUUGUGAUAUGACGGGUCAUGACAGCCACACUGGGGUGACAGGUGAGUCUCGACUGUAGCACCUCGCUGUGAUUUGGUGGAUGGCACGCGGGCCUGGAUGCUUUGAAAUGUCAUUAACUUGAUUUUAGUCUCUUUAGUAUUUGGAUCCAAGCAUGGAUGAGGCUAACAAGUUUUAGUCCCACUACUUUUAGUCAUGAGACUAAAACGUAUCCAAGCACUCUCUAAUAUUGUGCACCGCGACCAAGGCGGAGAGGAAAAUGAGAGAACUACGUAAUUAAUGCAUGAGUUUAAUUAGGGUAGUUUUGUGAAGUACGAGAUACAUUCCUCCAAUCACAAAAUGCCUUGGUUCAUGAGAUUUGAGAUUUGAGCCCUAUAAACCAGAAGGGAGGGGGUACUGCACACGGUGUAGUCUAGUCACUUGUUUUUUUUUGAGCCGAAGUCUAGUCACUUGUUGAAAUCUCUAGAAAGGCAAAUACUCCUUUCCGGUUUACAGGUCUAUACUACUCCCUCCGUCUAGGUGUGUAAGUCAUCUUACGAAAACCAAAUAGUCCCAAAACACUUCGGCGUGGUGCAUUAACUUCUACCUUGUUUCUUGUUUCUUGACAUACGUAUCAACCAAUAAGAGAUGAGAGGUGUGCAUGCUUUUAGUGACUUGCAAUGGCUAGUUCAUUGCAUGGAAUGCUAUUAAUUAGCAAAUAAACAUUGGUGACCCCAGGAGGAAACGGUGCUAAGCGCGUGGACCUAUGCAGAAUGAGUAUCAAGCAAUGGAUAAUGGAGUUUAAUUGUUAAAUAGAAAUUUUGUCUCAUGCAAGAGCCUGGCUAGUACUCCAAGGAACCGCACCAUGCGAGCGUUUGCAACUGCCACGUUCGGUUUGCGCUUGGUUCUUCGCCUCUUCGAGAAGACGAACAAUGAUGUUACUCCUACUUCUACAGCAUCGAAUCCACUGUUGCAUGUCCGUCCACCUCGUGCGGGAGGGAUAGCGUGUAGCGAAAGCUUCUACUUACUGCUCCUGCCUUUGUGUCCAUGAUAGGUGGGCCCAACAGGUGGUUGGCCCACCUAUCAUGCAGCCAAAGGAAGGUGCAGUUAAGGCACCGGAGCUCAGUCCGCGAGGGAGAGGGCGUCGUAGUAAUCAAAUUUCUCGGUCUUGUACGAGUUGACGCGACACAUCAAAGCACUGCACUCGAUAAAAGUCUUUUUACACAUUUCAAAUGGGCUACUUCGUAUGUAGGAGUAGACAUAUUCUGCUUCGUAUGUACUCCCUCCGUUCCAAAAUGUAAGUUUUUUUUAGAGAUUUCACUAUGAACUACAUACGAAACAAAAUGAGUGAAUCUACACUCUAAAAUAUGUCUAUAUACAUCCGUAUGUAGUUUGUAGUGGAAUCCCUAAAAAGACUUACAUUUAGGAACGGAGGGAGUAGUCACUUGUUGCAAUCUCUAAAAAGACUUAUAUUUGGAAACAGAGGGAGUACAACGCAUGCAUGCAUGCCGUGACUUUCCUUUUGAUACUUGCAUGUGUCGAUUUGAUGCACCUUGCCAAAUUUUGACUAUAAAUUUAACUAACCAAAUUUUCAUGCAUGUCACAAAAAAUCACGGGGCUGUUUGGAUUGUGACUAUGUUUGUCUUAUGUUGCCACAUUAUUUUUCCCACACUUGCCACACUUGCCUAACCUGAGUUGCUCAAAUUGUUAGACACACUUUGUGUCUAUGACAUGUGGGGUUCACUACUAAUAAAAAAAAUCUUGUCUUAGGUGUGGCUAAUAAAAAAGACUUAUAUUUAGGAACGGAGGGAGUAGAAAAUAUAAAUAAUAAUGCAUGUUGGGGCAACCCACGUUUCCGCUAAUUUUAGCCAUGGGCUUGUUCACAAUUUUUAUGAGGGGGUGGUUGUUCAUUUAAUGGAGGGACUUGUAGUACCAGACUUGAACGAUACAAAGUGCGACCUGGCACACCAUAACACCACUUGGAACAAGCGGGUAGCUAUCUCAAAAAACAAUCAACAACUAAAAAAACCGCGACCUGGCAUGUAGUAGUACACAAUUUUAAACGAUUGUUUUGAUGGAGUAAAAAAGGAAAACUACCCCACUACUUAUAUAUAGGCCGGAGCCUCUGCGCUUGCUUGCUAGGGCUGCUCUAUUCACACACUCUCAUCCUCUCCAGAUCUAAACAAGAUAGGGGUAGUAACACUGUCUUUCUCCCUUCAAAAAACACUGGCUUUCUAUCCUCACCCCUGGUUACAGAUCCGGAUGUAUCCCCCUCCGCCGGUGAAGGGGAGGAGGGGCAGCGUUUAGGCCAUCAUCGACAGCGAGGGAGGAGACCCACUGCCAGCGGCACCGUUAUCUCUGGCCGAGCGCCGGCGCGGGAGGUCCUCUGAUCCCUUCGUCGUUGCCUGUGGGCAGAUCCAGCCUCCCUCCGCCCACCUAUCCACAUCCCGACGACCUUCAGGUAUAUCUUCGUUCGAAACCGCCUUAGCUCUACUUCCCCAGCUCGCUACGUCGCUGCAUGUGCAUCACUUUCUACCUCUCAGCCCCUCUCGAUCGGAUGGUCCAACUCACCUAUUUUUUUUCUAUUGUUAGAGGUAAAGCUACUUCAUGGAGUCAAAUCUUGUACUCCCUCCGUCCGAAAAUACUUGUCAUUGAAAUAAAGUGGGGGUGGGGGAAUUUAGUAUGUACAUCGGACUUGGUACAAACAGGAAGGAAAGGGGAUGAAAGUAGUACAGACUGGUCAUCCAACCGGUCUCUUGGUCGAAAAGGGAAAUAUAGGGGUAACGCUGUACACAGUGGUAUGACUAGGACUAGAUUUGCUAUCCACACAUAGGAGUAGGUGGCUAGAGUGAACAAAAAUGGGACCAACCCAGGUAUGUUUCUUGGAUGUUUGUUUCUCGGGGCAACAAACUAUGAAUCACCAAUUUAUGCCCCUGUUUACGUACAUGGUGUUGUACUGCUGGUGCACCCACUGUCUCAUGCCCUUAUACCAAAUAUUUAGGCUCCGGUCGGAAUAAAGGGGCAGAAAACAUAGGUCUUGAUGAAAAUAGAGGAAUAGGAAAUGAAUGUAGGUAUAAAACUAUGGAACAGCGAACCGGAGGAAACUCUCAAGAGAAUGUGUUCGGAUGGACUACGAAUAUACAGAUUUGUUUUUUUAGAGUAGCAUGCUUGGUAGUAUGAGAUGCUACUUGUUUAUUCAGCUGCACAGUGACUACUCUUGUCCUCACCUCAUGUACCACACAUAGGUUGAUUUUUUUAUUCCAGUAAACACAUCACAGCAACCUGUCUAACGCAUGGCAGCGAGCGCCUGCCUAGGGCUUCCGCCCAAAAAAUGAGCAGCGCGUGGAUGUUUCUAAUCCGAUGGAAUCAGUACUACUAGACCAGCUUUCCUAUGAAACACUAUUCACAUUUCCCGUGUUCCGAACGGUUGGAAGGGAAAGAAUACCGUAGGAAUUGUGUUCCUACGAAAAUCCUACACCAAACCUGUGAACCGAACGCAGCCUUAGCUAUUCUUAAUAUAAUGUCCCUGGUAUAAAUGAAGCCAUGCCACUGUUUUUGCCUGUAAUUGUUUUAGACUCUGACAAGUUUAACCAAAUGUUUUUGCCUGUAAUUUUUUGAGACACUGACUAUUUCCUCUGUGCCUUUUUGUGCAAACAUGGAUAUCCAAUUCACCUGGUUGCUGUUGUGACCUUUUGGUGCACUGCACAAAACUCUUCUUAAAAGAAGUGACUUUUGUGCUGUUUAACUGGAAUGUCAGAUGGAACAGUUGGUUCAUUUUGGUGGAACUGCACAAAGGGAGAUCUGUGUUCCAAUCCUCAUCAUCCAUAUUGGCGCCAUAACCUUCCUUUAGGUAGGAAUGAUAUUUAAUGCAUGUGUUCAUCUCUAUUUUCCGACUGCCAUGAGAAAAUAAUGCUGUUUUUUACUAGUACACUUGUACUCCCUCACUGACAAAACCAAUUCUGAAUUAGAAGGCCAAUCAUGUACUUGGUUUCACAAACUGGUGAGGAGAAAGAGAAACAGAGCAUGAAGAGGAAGAAGAAGAAGAAUAACCAGUGCCAAGGCGAUCUUGCUGAAGCCAGAGGCCUCAGUCGAGGCUAUUCAAGGGCUCCGGCAAUGACUACCUUACAUGUGAGACGAUCCUCCAGGGAGCCCUUCCACUUCUGUUGUCUCACUUAAUUAAUUAGGAGUACUUAAGUACCACUAAUUUAUUACUGCCUAAUUUUCCUGUUGGAGUUAAACAAAUCUUCAGUAGGACCCUAUGUUGAAUCAUGUACGUGUGAAUGUUUGUCUAUGGAGGUGAAUCAUGUGGUGGAGCAGGGAGGGAAUAUUAUUAGUGUCAUGACAUAAUAGUGCUAUUGUUUUGCAUAUCAAUUUAUUGCCAUUGGUUUAAUGAGGCAAUGUUUUGCGUAUUGUCCAUCAUGAAUUUGAUGCUACUGUUUGAGUAAUAUGCUAAUGUCUUCCUAUCCUUUCUCACUAAGCUAAUGAAGGUUUCACCUUGUUCCUACUUGUGCAAAUAGGGAUCAUGUUGUGCCAAUCAUACAUUUUUGUGGAACUACACAAGACAAUACAAUGAACUGUAUCCUAGCCAGUGCUUUAACUCUGCUGGAAGUUCUUGAUAAUCUUUCGAUAUAAUCUCAGCACUGGUAAACAAGAGUGAUUUCAACCAUACAUUUGAAGUGCACAAAACUAUAUACUAUUGUGUGAUUCCAGUGAGUUCUUUAUCAUCUCUUAUGGGACUACAUGAAUAAGCUUUUUUUCUCAGUUUGGUACGGGCCUAAGGCCUUCAUCCAUAUUAGUUUGCUGUCAUCUCUAUUUGUAUCGUGCUACUGUCAUGAGAAACUCCUUUAUCUUUGCACUUUUAAGUUUUGCAACCUAUGAUAAAUGGCAAUGCUUUGAGUGUUGAGUUGAGCUAAUUGGCACUGAUUAAAUAAACUAAUACCUCUCUUUAAGCAAGACUACUAUGUUGCUAACUUUACCCAUUAAGAUAAUGAGGGUGCUUCUAUUUGUUAGUGUAUGUUUCAUCAACUAGUCCCACUAUUACAGUAAUCUCACUCUCUCAAUAUAUUUGCCAACAGGGAUGCUCGAGUUUGGUGGAACUGCACAAAAACUUUGGGUGCUUCAUUGCCUCGACAGCUUCCGUCCUUUCCUGUCAGUCGCUAAUCUCCGCUUGCUUUCUUCCUUUGCUGUCAGUCGCUUGGCUUAUCUCGGCUUCCAGUCAAAGGAAAUAGUAAUUGAUAUGCUACCUCACACAGGUUGGUACUGGUCUUUAUCCUGAUUACUGUGCCUGUCAUAUGUAUUGGUAAUUUGGUAUUGUGCUACUGUUUGCCGAUUUCAUAGAGUAAUUUGGAGCCUGAACUCGCAGGCAAAUCAUUACAUCGGGUGAUUUCAGUAGAACUGCACAAAAUGAUCAGAUGGACAGGUACUUAUGUUGCUGCUAUGUACUCCAAAGUUCACUCAGACAAGCAUCAAUGUUGACAAGAAGUGCCUAUAUUCAUUCGAGUAUCAACCAACGUCAACCAAUUAUCAAACUCCAAGUAUUAGGAGAGUGAACGCCAAAAAUAUUGCUUGGUGCAUAGCCCAGAAAAAUGCAGUCUAGUCUUUGGUCCCAACUUGUGCCUUUUGGUUAUCGGCACAUAUGGUAGCGAACUAUAUGGCAUGGAGUCUAAAGAUUCCAGACAAGUUGGUUGACACGUAUAUUCAUCUGGCACUUAAUCAGUCUGCAUGCCAAGGAUGCUCCAUUUCAGUUGAACCGCACAAAAAAUUUGGGUGGUUCAUUUUCUCAACCGCCUCCUUUCUCAUCUGCAAUGUAGAAUUUUGGCGAGAUACAGGACCAAGAUGAGCCAGUAAACUAGCUGGAUUAAAGUAGUGGCCAAGUUGCUCAAACCUCCCUCGGCACGAGGCCACUAUUUGAGGAUAAACCUACAAGCAAAGUUCAGAUUGUCUGUGUUGUCUCUUAUGUACUCGAAAGUUUACUCGUACAAGAACUAAUUUUAGCAAGAAGUACCUCUGAUUGAACACCAUUUACCAGUCCGUACCCUAGGUAAUUAAAGUUCGUCCAUGGAUCAUAUUGGUUGUGAUCUCAAUCAUUUGGAUGCAUAAACAUACUGAACAUGUGUAUAUCUGAAUCUUUUUGUGAAUUAUGUAUGAAUAUUGUCGUGUGAUCUAUCAAUCAUUUGGAUGCAUAGAUAUGUUGAGCUUGUGUAUAUAUGAAUCUUUUGAGUUGUUGAUAGUGAAUGUUGGCUAUGAAUAUGAACGUGUCCUGUGAACCUGAGUUUGAUAUGAAUUGCAACAGAACCAGUUAUAACCCUUCUCCUCCUCUCAAUCUACGACUCCACUGCCGCGUUUUCCCAUCACCGAGUCGUUCCCGUCCGGGGCCUCGCCGUCGUCCAGCGCCUCGCUGUGUUCGGUGCAGCGUGGUCAACAAACGAGAGUCAUCGGAAGAGGACUAUACGUGGAGAGCCUGACGGCUGGGACCCACGAGGUCCAUGGUCGCACGCAAGGAAAGUUCCUCCUUAUUAAGCUGGAAAAAAUGUUUCCUCCACCUGACAGCUGGGACCCACCGGUUGUAUCUUCGCAUGGAAGGAAGUGCCUCCUUGUUUUGCGAAAAAAAUUAUUCAUCUCGUUGACAGCUGGGACCCGUCAGAUUUGGUGACUGACUUGUGGGCCUGCUAAGCGGACGUGUACGCACGGCUUUGUCAACUUAAUCAACAAAUGAUUCUAGCAGCUGGACCGUUGGAUGUUAAUCCAACAACCGUGCUCCUUCAUCAACCUCUGUUCUUGCUCCUGUCUCCCGUGGGCGGCACCGCGGCUGUGCUGUCGCGCACCCGAACCAGUGAAGUUUCCCGCUCCUCUCCAUCUGCGACUCCACUGCCCCGUCUUCCCCAUCUCCGGGUCGUUCCAGUCUGGGUGCGCUCGGCACGGUGUGGUCAAUGUGGUCAACAACCGAGAGUCAUCGGAAGAUGACUGUACGUGAGAGGCUGACAGUGGGGACGCACCACGCCCAUGGACGCAUGCAUGCAACGGAACGCGGCGAGGUCAGCAUGGUCAAGGAAUGACUUCCAUCGGAAAUAUACUGUACGUGGAGAGUCUCAGUUGGGUCCACGGCUGCAGCAAGUAAGUGCCUCCUUAUUACGCGGAAAAUAAUGAUUCCUCCAACUAACAGCAGGGACCCACUGGACGGGCCACAGUAUUUUGUGAAAAAAAUGUUUGCCCCCUGACUGCUGGGACCCACCUGACGGGCCANNNNNNNNNNNNNNNNNNNNNNNNNNNNNNNNNNNNNNNNNNNNNNNNNNNNNNNNNNNNNNNNNNNNNNNNNNNNNNNNNNNNNNNNNNNNNNNNNNNNNNNNNNNNNNNNNNNNNNNNNNNNNNNNNNNNNNNNNNNNNNNNNNNNNNNNNNNNNNNNNNNNNNNNNNNNNNNNNNNNNNNNNNNNNNNNNNNNNNNNNNNNNNNNNNNNNNNNNNNNNNNNNACCCACCGGAAGUGCCUCCUUAUUACGCACGAAAAAAUGAAUACUCCCCCUGCUAGCUAGGACCCACCUUGGUGGGAGGCUGACUUGUGGGCCUACUAAGUUGACGGGGACUUAGGGCUUUGUCAACUUAGUCAAUAUGAACGAUUCUAGCUCCAGUGACCGUACGAUGUCCAUCCAACGGUCGUAGUGCUUCUUCAACCUCUGGUCUUCUUGCUCCAGCCGCCCAAACCAGCGCCGGUCGUGCCUCAUGCUCCUGCCUCCUGUGGCCGGCUGUGCUGCCGCGGAGGGAGUCGAAAUUUCGGGAUUAAAAACAGUUCGGAUUUCGGGAUUUUAUAUUGAUAUACAUUUAUUUUUAAAAUCAGUUUGAAUGUGAGUCGAAAUUUCGGGAUUAAAAACAGUUCGGACCGCACCAAAAUAUGCAAAUCGUAUAAUUUUUUAACCGUGGCCAUAGUAUGGGUUGUAAUGCUAACAAAAAGAAUAUGGGCUCCAAAAAAACCUUAAGAAUUAGCAAAUGGGCUGUAAAUUAUUAGAAAUAAUGGCAGAUGGGUUGUAUGUUGUUUUCCAAGAUAUGAGGCUUUCCUAAAAAAAGGAUGACGCACAAGCAGUGACUGUUGGAUUGCCAUCCAACGGCCGUCGUACUUCUUCAAUCUCUGCUCUUCCUGCUCCAGCCGCUCAAACAAGCGCCGGCGGGACUGCCUGCUCCCUCCUCCCCGCGGCCGGCUCUGCUGCCGCGCAGGCCCCACCGCCCCACUGUACUCCCAUCACUGGCCUAGCCAUCCAUCUACUCACCCACACCUGCUAUUCUCCGGCGAUGGCAGACGAACCAAACCCUUGUACAGUCGUACUCCCCUCCGCUUGGGAAACAACUGCCGAGUCUUCCCUGCCUCCGUGUCGUUCCUUUCCUAGGCCUCGUCGUCGUCCACCGCCCUGGUGCUCUCGGCGCGGCCUGGUCAACGUGGUCAAUGACCGACAUGCAUCUGAAGUGGACUGUACGUGGAGAGGCCGACAGCUGGGUCCAUGGCCGCACGCAAGGAAAUGCCUCCACCUGACAUCAGGGACCCACCGAAAGGGCCUCUGUAUUUCGCGAAAAAAAUGUUAACACCGCUGACAGCUCGGACCCACCAGUUAUAUCUUCGCAUGCAAGGAAGUGCCUCCUUAUUACGCACAAAAAAAUGAAUACUCCGCCUGUUAGCUAGGACCCAGUAUAGUGGCAGCCUGGCUUGUGGGCCUACUAAGUUGACGCGGGCGGAGGGCUUUGUCAACUUAGUCAAUAAUAUGCACGAUUCUAGCUCCAGUGACCGUACGAUGUCCAUCCAACGGCCGUAGUGCUUCUUCAACCUCUGGUCUUCUUGCUCCAGCCGCCCAAACCAGCACCGAUCGUGCCUCGUGCUCCUGCCUCCCGUGGCCGGCUGCGAUGCGGCGGAGGACUCACUGCCCCUACUACUCCCACCGCUGGCCAGGCCAUCCCUCUACUCACCCACACCCCCUAUUAUUCUGUGGCGACGUCAGCCUCACCCUUGUACUCCUCUUCGCAUGGGCAUCCACUGCUGCGUCUUCCCCGGCUCCGUGUCGUCCCCUUCCUAGGCCUCGCCGUCGUCCAGCGCCAUGGUGCUCUCGGUGCGGCGUGGUCAAUGUGGUCAAUGACUGACUUCCAUUGGAAGAGUACUGUGCGUGGAGAGGCUGACAGCUGGGUCCACGGCGGCCGCAAGGAAGUGCCUCCUUAUUACGCGCAAAAUAAUUAUUCCUCCACCUGACAGCAGGGACCCACCGGAUGGGCCACCAGUAUUUCGCAAAAAAAAACGUUUUCCCCCUGACUGCUGGGACCCACCAGCUACAUCUUCGCACGCAAGGAAGUGCGUCUGGGCAAAAAAAAACCUAAAACGAUUCGCCCCCUGACUGCUGGGACCCACCAGCUACAUCUUCGCAGGCAAGGAAGUGCCUGACAGUCGGGACCCACCUGGUCGAAGCGUACGUAGCGUUGUCAUUCUGGUUGCGAAAGUGUAUGUACAUUCUGGUCGAUGUAGAGGCACGCAGGUGUCGUAGUAGAGGCGCACACGUGUCUAUGUAGAGGUGCGCACGUAGCAUGUACACAUACGUACAACGGUGAGGGUGCAAGAAAGAAAAUACGGCCACGUACGUACAUACGGGCAGGGUCUCGAACGCCUACUCGCGCAUACGUACAUGGCUGGGUCGAAAUGAAAAAACAGCGUCGUCGUCGUGUUCAUGGGGAGCCAACGGAAUGCGCCGUGUUCAUGGGGAGGCAACGGAAUGCGUCGUGUUCAUCGGGAGGCAACGGAACGCGUGGGAGCCAACCGGCUUGGACGGAACAGGCGAUGGAAACAAGGCCUGGCUUACCGCACAACGGAGGAAAUGGCCUUGUGUUCGACCGGCCACGUUCGGAACGAGGUCCUGUUGAUCGGGAGGGGUGUGGCGUACCGCAAAACGGAGGAAACGGACCUCCUACGGUCGAAAUGGGGGUCCUGUUAAUCGAGAGGGGUGUGGCGUACCGCAAAACGGGCGAAACGGACCUCCUACGGUCGAAACGGGGGUCCUGUUGAUCNNNNNNNNNNNNNNNNNNNNNNNNNNNNNNNNNNNNNNNNNNNNNNNNNNNNNNNNNNNNNNNNNNNNNNNNNNNNNNNNNNNNNNNNNNNNNNNNNNNNNNNNNNNNNNNNNNNNNNNNNNNNNNNNNNNNNNNNNNNNNNNNNNNNNNNNNNNNNNNNNNNNNNNNNNNNNNNNNNNNNNNNNNNNNNNNNNNNNNNNNNNNNNNNNNNNNNNNNNNNNNNNNNNNNNNNNNNNNNNNNNNNNNNNNNNNNNNNNNNNNNNNNNNNNNNNNNNNNNNNNNNNNNNNNNNNNNNNNNNNNNNNNNNNNNNNNNNNNNNNNNNNNNNNNNNNNNNNNNNNNNNNNNNNNNNNNNNNNNNNNNNNNNNNNNNNNNNNNNNNNNNNNNNNNNNNNNNNNNNNNNNNNNNNNNNNNNNNNNNNNNNNNNNNNNNNNNNNNNNNNNNNNNNNNNNNNNNNNNNNNNNNNNNNNNNNNNNNNNNNNNNNNNNNNNNNNNNNNNNNNNNNNNNNNNNNNNNNNNNNNNNNCAAUCGAUCGGCUUCAGUUAGCAGCAGUAGCGAAGGAAUCGCUCCAUUGGGUUCAGUUAACAGCCAUCGAUCGAUCACUCGGGUUCAGUAACGCGUAGCCUGUAGUGCAAUCGCUCGGGUUCAGUUAGAGCCCAACGCCUCGCUCGGGUUCAGUUAGAGCCAACGCCUUGCACGUGUACGAGAGAAACGCGCAUCGCUCGGCCCCCGACCUCCCAUUGUAACCGGCAACUCCCUGAAAUUUUCCUCCCCCUCGCUUCUACCACGGUUUUUUCCGUCAUGGAUGGCCCAAAGAAUGUCAUGCAGCUGCGUCUCCGGCCCGCCCAGGACGAAAAGCCCAUUUUUUGUCAUGAUUUUUUGUCAUAGAAGUUGGAGCCCACCACAUCUAUGAUGAUACCAGGUUUUGUCACAAUUAUCGUCAUAGAAGUGUCAUAUGUAUGACAGGAAAAAAAUUCAUUCGGCCCAAAAUGUCACGGAUGUGUCUUUUUUUUGUAGUGCGACCGCUAUCCAGCAUGCAGCUAGAGUAAGUUCAUAAAGAACGGAGUAAUGCAUUAAGUAAGACGACAUGAUGUAGAGGAAUUAACUCAAGCAAUAUGAUGAAAACCCCAUAUUUUUAUCCUCGAUGGCUACAAUACAAUACGUGCCUUGCUGCCCCUACUGUCACUGGGAAAGGACACCGCAAGACUGAACCCCAAGCUAAGCACCUCUCCCAUUGCAAGAAAUACCAAUCUAGUUGGCCAAACCAAACUGAUAAUUCGAAGAGAAAUACAAAGAUAUCAAAUCAUGCAUAUAAGAAUUUAGAGGAGAUUCGAAUAAUAUUCAUAGAUAAUCUGAUCACAAAUCCACAAUUCAUCGGAUCUCGGCAAACACACCGCGAAAAGUUACUGCAUCAAAUAGAUCUCCAAGAACAACGACGAGAACAUGGUAUUGAGAAUCAAAGAGAGAGAAGAAGCCAUCUAGCUACUAGCUAUGGACCCGUAGGUCUGAAGUAAACUACUCACACUUCAUCAGAAGGGCAAUGGUGUUGAUGUAGAAGCCUUCCAUGAUUGAAACGCCCUCUUGCAAGACGCCGGAAAAGGCCCCUACAUGGGAUCUCACGGGUACAGAAGGUUUCAGUGGUGUAAAAGUGUUUUCGUGGAUGCCUCUGGUGGUUUUGAGGUAUAAGAGUAUAUAUGGGCGAAAAAAUUAGGUCAGGAGACCCAUGAAGGGCUCACAAGACAGGGGGCACGCCCUACCCCCAGGGCGCGCCCUCCACCCUUGUGGCCGCCUCGAGGCUCCUCCGACUUCAUCUCCAAGUCUCCUAUUUUGCUUCUGGUCCAAGAAAGAUUAUCGCGAGAUUUUUAUUUCGUUUGGUAUUCCUUUUCUACGAAACUCUAAAACAGGUAAAAAAACAGGAACUUGCAUUGGGCUCUAGGUUAACAGGUUAGUCCCAAAAAUAAUAUAAAAUAGCACAAUUGCAUAUAAAAACAUGCAAAACAGAUAAUAUAAUAGCAUGGAAUGAUCAAAAAUUAUAGAUACGUUGGAGACGUAUCAAGCAUCCCCAAGCUUAAUUCAUGCUCGUCCUCGAGUAGGUAAAUGAUAAAAACAGAUUUUUGAUGUGGAAUGCUACCUAACAUAUUUAUCCAUGUAAUUUCCUUUAUUGUGGCAUGAAUGUUUAGAUCCGAAAGAUUCAAAACAAAAGUUUAAUAUUGACAUAAAAAUGAUAAUACUUCAAACAUACUAAUAAAGCAAAUAUGUCUUCUCAAAAUAACAUGGCCAAAGAAAGCUAUCCCUACAAAAUCAUAUAGUCUGGCUAUGCUCCAUCUUCAUCACACAAAAUAUUUAAAUCAUGCACAAACCUGAUGACAAGCCAAAUAAUUGUUUCAUACUUUCGAUGUUCUCAAACUUUUUCAACUUUCACGCGAUAUAGCACUAUGGGUGGAAUAGAAUAUGGUGGUUGUGGAGAAGACAAAAAGAGGGAGAUAGUCUCACAUCAACUAGGCAUAUCAACGGGCUAUGGAGAUGCCCAUCAAUAGAUAUCAAUGUGAGUGAGUAGGGAUUGCCAUGCAACGGAUGCACUAGAGCUAUAAGUUUAUGAAAGCUCAAAAAGGAACUAAGUGGGUGUGCAUCCAACUCGCUUUGCUCACGAAGACCUAGGGAAAUUUGAGGAAGCCCAUCAUUGGAAUAUACAAGCCAAGUUCUAUAAUGAAAAAAUCCCACUAGUAUAUGAAAACUGACAACAUAGGAGACUCUCUAUCAUGAAGAUCAUGGUGCUACUUUGAAGCACAAGUGUGGUAAAAGGAUGUUAGCAUUGCCCCUUCUCUCUUUUUCUCUCAUUUUUUUAUUUGGGCCUUUCUCAUUUUUUUGGCCUCUUGUUUUUCGUAUGGAGUCUUAUCCCUACUUGUGGGGGAAUCAUUCCAUCAUCAUUUCCUCACUGGGACAAUGCUCUAAUAUGAAGAUCAUCACACUUUUAUUUACUUAGAACUCAAGAAUUACAAGUCGAUACUUAGAACAAAAUAUGACUCUAUAUGAAUGCCUCUGGCGGUGUACCGGGAUGUGCAAUGACUCAAGAGUGACAUGUAUGAAAGAAUUAUGAAAGGUUGCUUUGCCACAAAUACGAUGUCAACUACAUGAUCAUGCAAAGCAAUAUGACAAUGAUGAAGCGUGUCAUAAUAAACAGAACGGUGGAAAGUUGCAUGGCAAUAUAUCUCGGAAUGGCUAUGGAAAUGCCAUAAUAGGUAGGUAUGGUGGUUGUUUUGAUGAAGGUAUAUUUUGGGUGUAUGGUACCGGCGAGAGUUGCACGGCACAGGAGAGGCUAGCAAUGGUGGAAGGGUGAGAGUGCGUAUAAUCCAUGGACUCAACAUUAGUCAUAAAGAACUCACAUACUUAUUGCAAAAAUCUAUUGGUUAUCAAAAUGAAGUACUGCGUGCAUGCUCCUAGGGGGAUAGAUUGAUAGGAAAAAGACCAUCGCUCGUCCCCGACCACCACUCAUAAGGAGGGCAAUCAAAAAAUAAAGCAUGCUCCGACUUCAUCACAUAACGGUUCACCAUACGUGCAUGCUACGGGAAUCACAAAAUUUAACACAAGUAUCUCUCAAAUUCACAACUACUCACUAGCAUGAAUCUAAUAUCACCAUCUUCAUAUCUCAAAACAAUCAUAAAGAAUCAAACUUCUCAUCAUAUUCAAUGCACUUUAUUUGAAAGUUUUUAUUAUAUCCAUCUUGGAUGCCUAUCAUAUUAGGACUAAAUUUAUAGCCAAAGCAAAUUACCAUUCUGUUUACGGACUCUCAAAAUAAUAUAAGUGAAGCAUGAGAGUUCAUCAAUUUCUAUAAAAUAAAACCACCGCCGUGCACUAAAAAUAUAUAAGUGAAGCACUAGAGCAAUAUUGCCUAGCUCAAAAGAUAUAAGUGAAGCACAUCGAGUAUUCUAAUAAAUCACGAUUCAUGUGUGUAUCUCUCAAAAGGUGUGUACAUUAAGGAUGAUUGUGGCAAACUAAAAAACAAAUACUCAAAUGAUACAAGACGCUCCAAGCAAAACACAUAUCAUGUGGUGAAAAAAAUAUAGCCUCAAGUAAAGUUACCGAUAGACAAGAAUAAAGUGGGGAUGCCUUCCGGGGCAUCCCCAAGCUUAGGCUUUUGGUUGUCCUUUAAUAUGACCUUGGGGUGCAUUAGGCAUCCCCAAACUUAGGCUCUUGCCACUCCUUAUUCCAUAGUCCAUCAAAUCGUUACCCAAAACUUCAAAACUUCACAACACAAAACUCAACAGAAAAUCUCAUAAGCUCCGUUAGUAUAAGAAAAUAAUCAUUACUUUAUGGUAUUGUUGCAAACUCAUUCUUUAUUUANNNNNNNNNNNNNNNNNNNNNNNNNNNNNNNNNNNNNNNNNNNNNNNNNNNNNNNNNNNNNNNNNNNNNNNNNNNNNNNNNNNNNNNNNNNNNNNNNNNNNNNNNNNNNNNNNNNNNNNNNNNNNNNNNNNNNNNNNNNNNNNNNNNNNNNNNNNNNNNNNNNNNNNNNNNNNNNNNNNNNNNNNNNNNNNNNNNNNNNNNNNNNNNNNNNNNNNNNNNNNNNNNNNNNNNNNNNNNNNNNNNNNNNNNNNNNNNNNNNNNNNNNNNNNNNNNNNNNNNNNNNNNNNNNNNNNNNNNNNNNNNNNNNNNNNNCAUAGAUUCAUCAAAAUAAGCAAACAACACAAAGAAAACAGAGUCUGUCAAAACAGAAUAGUCUGUAGCAAUAUGUAACUCUUGAAUACUUCUGUAACUCCAAAAAUUAUGAAAAAUUAGGACAACCUGAGAAAUUUGUGCACCAAUCCAGAAUCAGAUCAAAAGCACGUUUCAAUAAAAUCCUAGAAAUUAUUUACUGGGCACAAAAGUUUCUGUUUUUCAGCAGGAUCAACACAACUAUUAUCGUAGGCUAUCCCAAAGAUUUUACUUGGCACAAACACUAACUAAAACACAAAACCACAUCUAACCAUAAGCAAAACAUGAACAAAAAGCAAAAAACAAAAAUAAAAUGGGUUGCCUCCCAACAAGCGCUAUUGUUUAAUGCCCUUAGCAAGGCAUAAAAGCACGAAUAGAUCUAGGUAUUGUCAUAUUUGGUAUGCAAUCCAUAAGUAGCUCUCAUGAUACAUUCAUAUGGUAAUUUAAUUUUCUUUCUAGGAAAGUGUUCCAUGCCCUUCCUUAAUGGAAAUUGAAAUCUAAUGUUUCCUUCCUUCAUAUCAAUAAUUGCACCAAUCGUUCUAAGAAAAGGUCUACCAAGAAUAAUAGGACAUGUAGGAUUGCAAUCUAUAUAAAGAACAAUGAAAUAUAUGGGCACAUAAUUCCUAUUUGCAACAAUAAGAACAUCAUUAAUCCUUCCCAUGGGUUUCUUAAUAAUGGAAUCCGCAAGAUGCAAAUUUAAAGAACAAUCAUCAAAUUCACGGAAACCUAAUUAACACAUCACAUGAAGUUUUUGGAAUUGUGGAAACGCUAGCACAAAAACCACACAAAGCAUGGCACUCAUAAUCUUUAAUUUUAAUCUUAAUAGUAGGUUCCCACUCAUCAUAAAGUUUUCUAGGGAUAGAAACUUCCAAUUCAAGCUUUUCUUCAAAAGAUUGCAGCAUAGCAUCAACGAUAUGUUUAGUAAAAGCUUUGUUUUGAUUAUAAGCAUGAGGAGAAUUCAACAUGGAUUGCAACAAGGAAAUACAAUAUACUAAAGAACAAUUAUCAUAAUUAAAUUGCUUGAAAUCCAGAAGGGUUGGUUCAUCACUACUUAAAGUCUUGACCUCUCCAAUCCCACUUUUAUCAAUUUUUGCAACUUGAUCUAAAAACUCUGAAUCAUUGGGACACCUUUUAGCUAAAGUUGACUCAUCUCCAGUCCCAUAUUUAUCAAGAUUUAUAUUAUAAAACAAAGAUUCAAUAGGAGUCACAUCAAUCACUUUAACAUCUUCAUCAUUAUUUUCACGAAAACUAGAAGAACAGCCUUUUUCAAACAAAUCUCGUUUAGCACGCAUCUUAGUGGUUCUUUCUUUACACUCAUCAAUGGAAAUUCUCAUGGCUUUGAGAGACUCAUUAAUAUCAUGCUUGGGUGGAAUAGAUCUAAGUUUCAAAGAAUCAACGUCAAGAGAAAUUCUAUCCAUGUUCCUUGCCAUAUCAUCAAUCUUGAGAAAUUUCUUCAAUCAAAGCAUUGAAAUUCUUUUGUGAACUCAUAAAUUAUUUGACACUAAUCUCAAAAUUAGAGGGCAUCUUAUUAAAAUUCCAUAAGAAUUUUUGUAGGAAUUACCAUAAUUAUUAGAGGAAUUACUAGGGAACAGCCUAGGGUUAAAAAUACCUUUAUAUGCGUUAUUACCAAAAAAAUCCUAUCAACAAAAUUCACAUCCAUAGAUUCAUUAUUAUUCUCAAUCAAAGUGGACAAAGGCAUAUCAUUAGGAUCAAUAGAAGCACUCUUAGUAGCAAAUAAUUUCAUAAGUUCAUCCAUCUUUCCACUCAAAACAUUAAUAUUUUCAAUUGCAUGCACUUUUUUACUAGUGGAAAAUCUUUCGGUAUGCCAUUGAGCAUAAUUAACCAUAAUAUUAUCUAGGAGAUUAGUAGCCUCUCCUAAAGUAAUUUCCAUAAAAGUGCCUCCCAUAGCCGAAUCUAAAAGAUUUCUAGAAGCAAAAUUCAAUCCGGCAUAAAUUUUUUGUAUAAUCAUCCACAAAUUCAAACCAUGUGUAGGGCAAUUUCGUAUCAUCAAUUUCAUACUCUCCCAAGAUUGUGCAACAUGUUCGUGAUCAAGUUGCUUAAAAUUCAUAAUAUCGUUCCUAAGGGAGAUGAUCUUAGCAGGAGGAAAAUACUUAGAGAUGAAAGCAUCUUUACACUUGUUCCACGAAUCAAUACUGUUUUUAGGCAAAGAUGAAAACCAAGUUUUAGCACGAUCUAUAAGCGAAAACGGGAAUAGCUUCAAUUUAACAAUAUCAUUAUCCACAUCCUUUUCCUUUUGCAUAUCACACAAAUCAACGAAAUCGUUUAGAUGAGAUGUGGCAUCUUCACUAGGAAGGCUAGAAAAUUGAUCUUUUGUAACAAGAUUCAGCAAAGCGGCAUUAAUUUCACAAGAUCCCGCAUUAGUAGUGGGAGCAAUCGGGGUGCUAAUAAAAUCAUUAUUAUUGGUGUUGGAAAAAUCACAUAAUUUGGUAUUCUCUUGAGCCAUCGCGACAAAGCAAGCAAUCCAACACACGAGCACACAAAAAGCAAAUGAGAAAGACGAAUGGAAGAGGGGCGAAGAAAAGGCAAAUAUUUUUGAAAAUCGUUUUAGAGGUGGGGGAGAGGAAAAUGAGAGUCGAAUGGUGAAUAAUGUAAUGCAAGAGAUGAGAUUUUAUGAUGGGUACUUGGUAUGUCUUGACUUGGCGUAGAUCUCCCCGGCAACGGUGCCAGAAAUUCUUCCUGCUACUUCUUGAGCUUGCGCUGGUUUUUCCCUUGAAGAGAAAAGGGUGAUGCAGCAAAGUAGAGUAAGCAUUUCCCUCAGUUUGAGAACUAAGGUAUCAAUCCAGUUGGAGACAACACACAAAUCACUGAAUACCUGCACAAACAAUCAAACAAACUUGCACCCAACGCGAUAAAGGGGUUGUCAAUCCCUCCACGGAUACUUGCAAAAGUGAGAUCUAAUAGAGAUAGAUAAACGAUAGAGUAAAUAUUUUUGAUAUUUUUGUUUAUAGAUCAGAAAAUAAAAGAUUGCAAGGAUAGUACAUCGGAAACUUGUAUGAUGGAAAAGCGACUUUAUAUGAUGGCAAAUUGACCCGGGGGCUGAUGACCCACAAGUAUAGGGGAUCUAUCGUAGUCCUUUCUAUAAGUAAGAGUGUCGAACCCAACGAGGAGCAGAAGGAAAUGAUAAGCGGUUUUCAGUAAGGUUUUCUCUGCAAGCACUGAAAUAGUAGGUGAUAGAUAGUUUUGUGAUAAGAUAAAUAGUAACGAGCAAAAAGUAAAUAAAGUAAAUAAAGUGCAGCAAGGCGGCCCAAUCCUUUAUGUAGCAAAGGAUAAGCCUGGAAAAAUUCUAAUAAUGAAGAAGGAGCUCCCGAGGACACAUUGGGAAUUAUCGUCAAGCUAGUUUUCAUCACGUUCAUAAGAUUCGCGUUCGGUACUUUGAUAAUUUGAUAUGUGGGUGGACCGGUACUUGGGUACUGCCCUAACAUGGACAAGCAUCCCACUUAUGAUUAACCCCUAUUGCAAGCAUCCGCAACUACAAAAAGGAGUAUUAAGGUAAACCUAACCACAGCAUUAAACAUAUGGGUCCAUAUCAACCCCUAACGAAGCAACGCAUAAACUAGGGUUUAAGCUUCUGUCACUCUAGCAACCCAUCAUCUACUUAUUACUUCCCUAUGCCUUCCUCUAGGCCCAAAUAAUGGUGAAGUGUCAUGUAGUCGAUGUUCACAUAACACCACUAGAGGAGAGACAGCAUACAUCUCAUCAAAAAAUUGAAUGAAUACCAAAUUCACAUGACUACUAAUAGCAAGACUUCACCCAUGUCCUCAGGAACAAACGUAACUACUCACAAAGCAUAUUCAUGUUCAUAAUCAGAGGAGUAAUAAUAUGCAUAAAGGAUCUGAACAUAUGAUCUUCCACCAAGUAAACCAAAUAGCAUCAACUACAAGGAGUAAUCAACACUACUAGCAACCCACAGGUACCAAUUUGUGGUUUUGAUACAAGAUUGGAUACAAGAGAUGAACUAGGGUUUUGAGAGGAGAUGGUGCUGGUAAAGAUGUUGAUGGAGAUUGACCCCCUCCCGAUGAGAGGAUCAUUGGUGAUGACGUUGGUGAUGAUUUCCCCCUCUCGUAGGGAAGUGUCCCUGGCAGAACAGCUCCGCCAGAGCCCUAGAUUGAUUCCGCCAAGGUUCCGCCUCGUGGCGGCGGAGUUUAGUCCCGUAAGCUUGCCCACGAUUUUUUCCAGGGGAAAACCCUUCAUAUAGCAGAAGAUGGACGUCGGAGGCCCACCAAGGAGCCCAGGAGAUAGGGGGGCGCGCCCCCCUGUCUCCUGGACAGGGUGUGGGCCCCUGGCCUAUUUCUUUUGCCCAAAAAUUCUUAUUAAAUCUGAAAAGUUGUUUCGUGGAGUCUCGGGUCUUUUGGAGUUGUGCAGAAUAGGUUUCCAAUGUUUGCUCCUUUUUCAGCCAGAAUUCCAGCUGCCGGCAUCCCCACUCUUCAUGGUAAACCUUGUAAAAUAAGAGAGAAUAGCCAUAAGUAUUGAGAUAUAAUGUGUAAUAACACCCCAUAAUGCAAUAAAUAUUUAUAUAAAAGCAUGAUGCAAAAUGGACGUAUCAACUCCCCCAAGCUUAGACCUCGCUUGUCCUCAAGCGGAAGCCGAAAUCGAAAAAUAUGUCCACAUGUUUAGAGAUAGAGGUGUCGAUAAAAAUAAAAUACAGACAUGAGGGCAUCAUGAUCAUUCUAAUAACAGCAACAUAUAUGGAUUUUGUCAUAUGAUGUCCUAUGUUCAAGUAAUAAGCAAUUCACAAUGUCAAGUAUGGUUCAAAAACUUCAUUGGGAACUAACAAACUAUAAUCUCAGUCAUUGAAGCAAUUGCAAUUUAUCGUAACAUCAGAAAGAGUCAAUGAUAGAGCUUUUCAGCAAGCUCACAUACUCAACUAUCUCGUAGUCCCCUAUAAUUGUUAACACUCACGCAAUACUUGUGGUUAUAGAGUUUCAGCCGGACAUUGAGAAAGAUAGGGGCUUAUUGUGUUGCCUCCCAACAUAUUCACCUUUAGGUGAUGUCAACAAUAAUAGCCUAUGCCAACUUACAUCCAAUUGGAUAUAUGUAUCAUGAUCUUUCAAACACGAGGAGCUUGCCAAAGGAUAAAAAUAAAAAGGGAAAGGUGAGAAUCACCUUGACUCAAGCAUAAAGUAAAAACAUAAAGUAAAAGAUAGGCCCUUCGCAGAGGGAAGCAGAGGUUGUCAUGUGCGUUUAGGGUUGAUGCACGAAAUCUUAAUGCAAAAGAAUGUCACUUUAUAUUGCCCCUUGUAUGUGGACCUUCAUUAUGCAAUCCGUUGAUUUUAUUGCUUCCACAACAAGUUCGUACAAAGCUUAUUUUCUCUGCACUAAUAAGCCAUACAUAUUUAGAGAGAAAUUUUUUAUUGCUUGCACCGAUGACAAACUUACUUGAAGGAUCUUACUCAAUCCAUGGGUAGGUAUGGUGGACUCUCAUGGCAAAACUGGGUUUAAGGAUAUUUGGAAGCACAAGUAGUAUCUCUACUUGGUGCAAGGGAUUUGGCUAGCAUGAGGGGGAAAGGCAAGCUCAACAUGUUUGGAAGGUCAAUGACAAUAUACUUUAACUGAGAUGUCGGAAAACAUAAACCAUUACGUUGUCUUCCUUGUCCAACGUCAACUCUUUUAGCAUGUCAUACUUAAUGAGUGCUUCACAAUCAUAAAAGAUGUCCAAGAUAAUAUAUUUAUAUAUGAACCCCUCUUUCCUUAUCACUUCCUAUUAAUUGCAACAAUGACCAAGGCUACGUUCAUCAACUCUCAACAUUGUUUAUGCCUCAUACUUUCUAUGUGUGAAGUUAUCACUAUCCAUAAGAUCAAUAUGAACUCUUUUGUUCUUUCUACUUUUUCAAGAUCAUAGCAACAUAGCAAAGCCCUUGACUCAACACUAAUCUUUAUUAUAGAUAGAACACGGACUCGAUUACAAAAAGAGAUCACAACGAAAAACUCAAAACUACUUGAUAUCAAAACUUCAACUACUGAUAGAUCAAGAUACUACUAAAAGGAUCAAACUAAAUAAAGCGGUAAAGAUAGGAGUGUGAUGGUGAUACGAUACUGGGGCACCUCCCCCAAGCUUGCCAGUUGCCAAGGGGAGUGCCCAUACCAAUGUGAUUAUUUCCUCGAAGGUGAUGGAGGUGGUGAUGAUGACGGUGGAUAAUCGCACAUCGAGCGUAAAAGCUCCUCCAACUUGCGGAUAAUGCCCUUGAGCCCAGCAAUAUGAUCUUUCAACAAAAUAUUCUCCUCUGUGAGGUACUUGUUCUGUAUGCGGGCUAACUCAAUCAUCUUGAAAGCUUCAAUUUCUGUUGGAGUGAAAAGGUUAGGUAAAGGUUGAGGGAUGUCUUCUUCUUUUACCACCGAAGCUUGAGCCUCCAUGGCCUUCUUGAUCCCUUCAUCCUUGUUGAUCUCCUCUGGUUCCUCUCUUUUCAACUCUAUCUUCAAUAGCCAAGCAUCCUUGUCUUCGUUGUUGGAAGAGGGAGAAGCCAUGGUGCUCUAAAUCUGCAACGGAAAUAGCUCGAAACGAAAACAGAGGAUAUUUGCGUGAUACGGUGGUCAAAACCUUCGGGAGUAUAUAUAAUGAAUUUUUACUGACCAAAAUACAUAACAUACAAGAAAAAGGAGUCCGGGAGGCACACGAGGUGACCACAAGACAGGGGGGCGCGCCCUAUAGGGGGGGCGCGCCCUCCUCUCUCGUGGGAGCUUAGUGUCCCUUUCGGACUACUUCUUUCUUCCUAAAAUCCUUAAAUAAUCCAAAACUGAUAAAAAUUGCCAUUAGAGUUGUUUUGGAGUCGGUUUACUUACCGUACCACAUACCUAUGCCUUUUUGGAGUCUGGAACAUUCUGGAAAGUGUCUCUUAUGUAUUCCUCAGGGGUUAUGGUUUCAAUAAUAUUAGUUUCAACAUUGAUAGGAUUACCUGAAAUGUAAUGUUCAAUUCUUUGACCAUUUACCACCCUCGGGUUUGUGCCUUCGAAGUUGUUGAUUUUUAUAGCACCAGAACGAUAGACCUCCUCGAUAAUGUAGGGACCUUCCCAUUUUGAUAGAAGUUUUCCUGCAAAAAACCUUAAAUGAGAGUUGAACAAUAACACAUAAUCUCCUACGUUAAACUCACGCUUCUGUAUCCUCUUAUCAUGCCAACGUUUGAUUUUUUCUUUGAAAAACUUGGCGUUCUCAUAUGCUUGGGUUCUCCAUUCAUCAAGUGAGCUAAUAUCAAAUAACCUUUUCUCAUCGGCAAGUUUGAAGUCGUAAUUGAGCUCUUUAAUAGCCCAAUAUGCUUUAUGUUCAAGUUCAAGAGGUAAAUGACAUGCUUUUCCAUAAACCAUCUUAUAUGGAGACAUACCCAUAGGACUUUUGUAUGCAGUUCUAUAGGCCCAUAAUGCAUCAUCAAGUUUUUUGGACCAAUUCUUUCUAGAUCUAUUCACAGUCUUUUGCAAAAUUAAUUUGAGCUCUCUAUUGCUCAACUCUACUUGACCACUAGACUGUGGGUGAUAAGGAGAUGCGAUUCUAUGAUUGACAUCAUACUUAGCAAGCAUCUUACGGAAAGCACCAUGAAUAAAGUGUGAACCACCAUCAGUCAUAAGAUAUCUAGGGACUCCAAACCUCGGGAAAAUAACUUCUUUAAGCAUUUUAAUAGAAGUGUUAUGAUCAGCACUACUAGUUGGAAUAGCUUCUACCCACUUAAUAACGUAAUCAACAGCAACUAAAAUAUGUGUAUAACCAUUGGAGGCAGGAAAAGGUCCCAUAUAAUCAAAGCCCCAAACAUCAAACGGUUCAAUAACAAGAGAAUAAUUCAUAGGCAUUUCUUGACGUCUACUAAUGUUACCUAUUCUUUGACAUUCAUCACAAGAUACGACAAACUUACAAGCAUCUUUGAAAAGAGUAGGCCAAUAAAAACCAGAUUGUAGUACCUUGUGUGCAGUUCUAUCUCCAGCGUGGUGUCCUCCAUAGGAUUCAGAGUGACACUUGCGUAGGAUUUGCUCCUGUUCAUGCUCAGGCACACAACGUCUAAUAAUACCAUCUACUCCUUCUUUAUAAAGGUGUGGAUCAUCCCAGAAGUAAUGUCUUAAAUCAUAAAAGAACUUUUUCUUUUGCUGGUAUGUGAAACUAGGAGGUAUAUAUUUGGCAACAAUGUAAUUAGCAUAAUCAGCAUACCAAGGAGCAGUACGAGAAGCAUUGACAACCGCUAAUUGUUCAUCAGGAAAGCUAUCAUUAAUCGGCAGUGGGUCAUCAAGAACAUUCUCUAGCCUAGACAAGUUGUCUGCAACGGGGUUCUCAGCUCCCUUUCUAUCAAUAAUAUGCAAGUCAAAUUCUUGGAGCAAGAGAACCCAUCUAAUGAGUCUAGGCUUAGCAUCUUUCUUUUCCAUAAGAUAUUUAAUAGCAGCAUGAUCGGUGUGAAUAGUAACUUUGGAAUCAACAAUAUAAGGUCUAAACUUAUCACAUGCAAACACAACUGCUAAGAAUUCUUUUUUAGUGGUAGCAUAAUAUCUCUGGGCAGUAUCAAGAGUCUUACUAGCAUACUGGAUAACAUUCAAUUUCUUAUCGACUCUUUGCCCUAAAACAGCCCCUACAACAUAAUCACUAGCAUCGCACAUAAUUUCAAAAGGUAAAUUUCAAUCAGGUGGCUGAAUAAUAGGUGCAGUGAUCAAAGCCUUCUUAAGUGUUUCAAAUGCUUCUACACAAUCAUCAUCAAAGACAAAAGGAAUAUCUUUUUGCAAUAAAUUAGUCAAAGGCCUAGAGAUUUUAGAAAAGUCCUUAAUGAACCUCCUAUAAAAAUCGGCAUGACCAAGGAAACUUCUUAUACCUUUUAUGUCCUUGGGACAUGGCAUCUUUUCAAUAGCAUCAACUUUGGCUUUAUCAACUUCAAUACCUCUCUCGGAGAGCUUGUGCCCUUCAUUAACCAUAAAGUGACACUUUUCCCAAUUCAGGACGAGACUAGUGUCUUCGCAUCUCUGUAGAACUCGAUCAAGGUUGCUCAAACAAUCAUCAAAAGAGGAUCCAUAGACGGAGAAGUCAUCCAUGAAUACCUCACAAAUCUUUUCACAAAAAUCAGAAAAUAUAGCCAUCAUGCAUCUUUUAAAGGUAGCAGGUGCAUUACAUAAACCAAAAGGCAUACGUCUAUAAGCAAAGGUACCAAAAGGGCAAGUAAAAGUAGUUUUAGAUUGAUCCCCCGCUGAAACAGGUAUCUGAGAGAAGCCAGAAUAGCCACCUAGAAAGCAAAAAUGUGUGUGUUUGGAUAGCCUUUCUAGCAUUUGAUCAAUAAAAGGUAAAGGGUAAUGAUCUUUCUUAGUGGCUUUAUUUAACUUACGGAAAUCAAUUACCAUCCUAUAACCUGUAAUAAUUUUUUGCGGGAUCAAUUCAUAUUUAUCAUUAGGAACAAUGGUAAUACCUCCCUUUUUAGGGACACAAUGGACAGGGCUUACCCAUUCACUAUCAGCAACGGGAUAAAUAAUACCUGCCUCAAGGAGUUUUAGUAUCUCCUUUCUUACCACUUCCUUCAUUUUGGGAUUUAAUCGUCUUUGAGGAUCUCUAACUGGUUUGGCAUCCUUUUCCACUGAGAUUUUGUGUUGACAUAAUGUGAGACUAAUGCCCUUAAGAUCAUCGAGAGUAUAUCCAAUAGCAGCUCGGUGCUUCUUCAGAGUUUUCAAUAAUCUUUCUUCUUCUUUCUCUGAAAGGUUAGCACUAAUAAUAACAGGAUAUAUUUCUUUUUCAUCAAGAUAAGAAUACUUAAGAUUAUCAGGUAAUGGUUUGAGUUCAAACACGGGAUCACCCUUGGGUGGAGGGGGAUCCCCAAGAAUUUCAACGGGAAGGUUAUGUUUCAGCAUAGGUUCUUGUUUAAGGAACACUUCACCUAUUUCUUCCCUUUCCUUCAUAAACAUAUCAUUUUCAUGGUCUAGCAAAUAUUGUUCUAACGAAUCAGUUAGAGGAACACCAAUGGAAGCAAGACCAAUAAUUUCAUCCUUACUAGAUGGUUCCUCUUCACGAUGUUGUCUACGAAAUUUAGAAAAGUUGAACUCAUGAGACAUAUCACCUAGACCAAUAGUAACUACAUCCUUUUCGCAAUCUAUCCUUGCAUUAACGGUGUUCAAGAAGGGUCUACCAAAUAUAAUGGGACAAAAGCUAUCUUGUGGGGAGCCAAGAACAAGAAAAUCAGCAGGAUAUUUGGUUUUCCCACACAAGACUUCAACAUCUCUAACAAUUCCCAUUGGUGAAAUAGUUUCUCCAUUGGCAAGUUUAAUGGUGACAUCAAUAUCUUUUAACUCAACAGGUGCAAUAUCGUGCUUAAUUUCUUUGUAUAAGUCAAUAGGUAUUGCACUAGCACUAGCACCCAUAUCACAUAAGCCAUGAUAAUAAUGAUCUCCUAUUUUAAUAGAAAUAACAGGCAUGCCUACCACAGGUCUAUGUUUAUCUUUAGCACAAGGUUUGGCAAUUCUAGCAGUUUCAUCACAGAAAUAAAUAACAUGCCCAUCAAUAUUAUCAGACAAGAGAUCUUUAACAAUAGUAACAUUAGGUUAACCUUGAUUUGCUCAGGAGGUGUAUAAGUUCUAACAUUGCUCUUACGAAUAAUAGUCGAAGCUUUAGCAUGAUCUUUUAUCCUAACAGGAAAAGGAGGUUUUUCAACAUAAGCAGUAGGAAUAAUAGGAUCACUAUAUGUAAUAGUCUUCUCUUCGACUGUAAUAGGUGCAACUACUUUCACUUCAACGGGAGGAUUAUAUUUAAACCACUUCUCUUUAGGGAGAUCAACGUGAGUAGCAAAAGUUUCACAAAAAGUAGCUACUAUCUCAGAGUCAAGUCCAUACUUAGAGAUAAAUCCACGGAAAGCAUCGGUAUCCAUAAAAGAUUUAACACAAUCAAACUUAGGUGUCAUACCUGACUCCUUACCAUCGUCGGAACCCCAAUCUUCAGAGUUGCAUUUAAUUCUUUCCAAUAAGUCCCAUUUGAAAUCAAUAGUCUUCAGCAUAUAAGAACCAGCACAGGAAGUAUCAAGCAGGUUGCGAUUAUCAAGAGAAAGUCGAGCAUAAAAAUUCUGAAUAAUCAUUUCCCGAGAGAGCUCAUGAUUGGGGCAUGAAUACAACAUUGACUUAAGCCUCCCCCAAGCUUAAGCGAUGCUUUCUCCUUCGCGAGGCCAGAAAUUAUAUAUGUAAUUACGAUCACGAUGAACAAGAUGCAUAGGAUAGAACUUCUGGUGAAAUUCCAACUUCAAUCGCUUAUAAUUCCAAUAUCUCAUAUCAUCACAUAGUCUAUACCAUGUUAUUGCAUCUCCCUUCAAAGAUAAAGGGAAGACCUUCCUUUUGACAACAUCGUCAGGAAUACCUGCAAACUUAAAUAAUCCACAAACUUCAUCCACAAAGAUGAGGUGUAAGUUGGGAUGCAAUGUUUCGUCUCCUGCAAAAGGAUUAGCUAGCAGUUUUUCUAUCAUACCCGAAGGAAUCUCAAAGUGAAUAUUUUCAUAAGGUUCAGUAGGUUGAGGAGCAUCUCUUUGCUCUUCUGGUUGGGGUGAAGAUACACCAAACAAGCCCUUCAAAGGAUUAGUUUCCAUAGUGACAAGUAACGGAAAAUUUCAGCACACUAUAUAAAUGUUUCCUUACCAAGUUCCACUCACCAAGAGCGCUACGCUCCCCGGCAACGGCGCCAUAAAAGAGUCUUGAUGACCCACAAGUAUAGUGGAUCUAUCAUAGUCCUUUCGAUAAGUAAGAGUGUCGAACUCAACGAGGAGCAGAAGGAAAUGAUAAGCGGUUUUCAGUAAGGUUUUCUCUGCAAGCACUGAAAUAGUAGGUGAUAGAUAGUUUUGUGAUAAGAUAAAUAGUAAUGAGCAAAAAGUAAAUAAAGUAAAUAAAGUGCAGCAAGGUGGCCCAAUCCUUUAUGUAGCAAAGGAUAGGCCUGGACAAAUUCUAAUAAUGAAGAAGGAGCUCCCGAGGACACAUUGGGAAUUAUCGUCAAGCUAGUUUUCAUCACGUUCAUAAGAUUCACGUUCGGUACUUUGAUAAUUUGAUAUGUGGGUGGGCCGAUACUUGGGUACUGCCCUAACAUGGACAAGCAUCCCACUUAUGAUUAACCCCUAUUGCAAGCAUCCGCAACUACAAAAAGGAGUAUUAAGGUAAACCUAACCACAGCAUUAAACAUAUGGGUCCAUAUCAACCCCUAACGAAGCAACGCAUAAACUAGGGUUUAAGCUUCUGUCACUCUAGCAACCCAUCAUCUACUUAUUACUUCCCUAUGCCUUCCUCUAGGCCCAAAUAAUGGUGAAGUGUCAUGUAGUCGAUGUUCACAUAACACCACUAGAGGAGAGACAACAUACAUCUCAUCAAAAUAUCGAACGAAUACCAAAUUCACAUGACUACUAAUAGCAAGACUUCACCCAUGUCCUCAGGAACAAACGUAACUACUCACAAAGCAUAUUCAUGUUCACAAUCAGAGGAGUAAUAAUAUGCAUAAAGGAUCUGAACAUAUGAUCUUCCACCAAGUAAACCAAAUAGCAUCAACUACAAGGAGUAAUCAACACUACUAGCAACCCACAGGUACCAAUUUGUGGUUUUGAUACAAGAUUGGAUACAAGAGAUGAACUAGGGUUUUGAGAGGAGAUGGUGCUGGUAAAGAUGUUGAUGGAGAUUGACCCCCUCCCGGUGAGAGGAUCGUUGGUGAUGACGUUGGUGAUGAUUUCCCCCUCCCGGAGGGAAGUGUCCCUGGCAGAACAGCUCCGCCAGAGCCCUAGAUUGAUUCCGCCAAGGUUCCACCUCGUGGCGGCGGAGUUUCGUCCCGUAAGCUUGCCCACGAUUUUUUCAGGGGAAAACCCUUCAUAUAGCAGAAGAUGGACGUCGGAGGCCCACCAGGGAGCCCAGGAGAUAGGGGGGCGCGCCCUAGGGGGGACGCGCCCCCCUGUCUCCUGGACAGGGUGUGGGCCCCCUGGCCUAUUUCUUUUGCCCAAAAAUUCUUAUUAAAUCUGAAAAGUUGUUUCGUGGAGUCUCUGGUCUUUUGGAGUUGUGCAGAAUAGGUUUCCAACGUUUGCUCCUUUUUCAGCCAGAAUUCCAGCUGCCGGCAUCCCCACUCUUCAUGGUAAACCUUGUAAAAUAAGAGAGAAUAGCCAUAAGUAUUGAGAUAUAAUGUGUAAUAACAACCCAUAAUGCAAUAAAUAUUUAUAUAAAAGCAUGAUGCAAAAUGGACGUAUCAGGGGCCAUAGGUUUCACUAGAGGCUUCUCUCAAGACAGAAAAUAAUAUGGUGGGUGAACAAAUUACUCCCGAGCAAUUUAUAGAAAAGCGCAAAGUUAUGACGAUAUCUAAGGCAUUGAUCAUGAACAUAGGCAUCACGUCCGUGUCAAGUAGACCGAAACGAUUCUCCAUCUACUACUAUUACUCCACACAUCAACCGCUAGCCAGCAUGCAUCUAGAGUAUUAAGUUCAUAAAGAACAGAGUAAUGCAUUAAGUAAGAUGACAUGAUGUAGAGGAAUUAACUCAAGAAAUAUGAUGAAAACCCCAUCUUUUUAUCCUCGAUGGCAACAAUACAAUAUGUGCCUUGCUGCUCCUACUGUCACUGGGAAAGGACACCACAAGAUUGAACCCAAAGCUAAGCACUUCUCCCAUUGCAAGAAGAACCAAUCUAGUUGUCCGAACCAAACCGAUAAUUUGAAGAGACUUGCAAAGAUAUCAAAUCAUGCAUAUAAGAAUUCAGAGGAGAUUAAAAUAAUAUUCAUAGAUAAUCUGUUCAUAAAUCAACAAUUCAUCAUAUCUCAGCAAACACACCGCAAAAAGUUAUUACAUUGAAUAGGUCUCCAAGAACAACGAGGAGAACAUGGUAUUGAGAAUCAAAGAGAGAGAAGAAGCCAUCUAGCUACUAGCUAUGGACCUGUAGGUCUGAAGUAAACUACUCACGCUUCAUCGGAAGGGCAAUGGUGUUGAUGUAGAAGCCCUCCGUGAUUGAAUCCCCCUCCAGUAGGACACCAGAAAAGGCCCCUAGAUGGGAUCUCACAGGUACAGAAGGUUGCGGCGGUGGAAAAGUGUUUUCGUGGACGCCUCUGAUGGUUUGGGGGUAUAAGAGUAUAUAUGGGCAAAAGAAUUGGGUCAGGAGACCCACGAGUGGCCCACAAGAGAGGGGGCGCACCCUACCCAGCCAGGGCGCGCCGUCCACCCUUGUGGGCGCCUCGAGGAUCCUCCGACUUCAUGUCCAAGUUUGUUGGUUUGCUUCUGCUCCAAGAAAGAUCAUCGUGAAAGUUGUAUUCCGUUUGGACUCUGUUUGGUAUUCUUUUUCUGCGGAACUCUAAAACAGGAACUGGCAGUGGGCUCUAGGUUAAUAGAUUAGUCCCAAAAAUAAUAUAAAAUAGCAUAAUAAUGCAUAUAAAACAUCCAAAAUAAAUAAUAUAAUAGCAUGGAACAAUAAAAAAUUAUAGAUACAUUGGAGACGUAUCAGACCCCACUUGACAGUUCGGUGGUUCCUAUGACUCAAGAAAGAAGAAAAUGAAACUACAAAACAACUAUGUCUUCGCAGUCCAUUGUCUUGAAGCAAAUGUCUUCACACGUCAUUAUCUUCGACGCGAAUGUCUUUGCGAACCACCAUUGCCUUCAAUGUCUUCAUACAUUUUUAGGGGUCAUCUUCGAUGGGUAAACUGAAUCAAUAGGGACUUUUGCCUAUGUUCUCAUGUGAAUCUCACAAUACUCCAAAACCAACUAGGGGUGGCACACUACUAGGGAAAAGCUGAAUCAAUAGGGACGCUGCUACUAAGUACUUUAGCAGUAGCGCGUCCAGGAAAGGGUGCUACUACUAUAUCUAGCUUGGAGGCAACGCCGCGGCAAUUAUAGUAGUAGCGCUUGUUUCACCUAGAGCGCUACUGCUACCGCGUUAUUAGUAGCGAGCUUUAUACACUCGCUACUUCUAGUUAGCAGUAGCGUUUGUUUUUAAAUCACGCUGCUGCUAAGAUUCUGUGUAUAAGGUUUUCCUUAGUAGUGGCACUAGAUGCACUUACAUUUUUGUCAAGAUCCGUUGUAGCAAGCCGGAAGUAUCACGGGUGGCCUGACUCGCCCCUUGUUCUUGCAUAGGUUAGGCAUUGGUUUUCUUGGCCUCUUCCCGGGCAAAUUUCAUCUGCUAAUUGCUGGCAUCGAUCUGGCCUGCAAUUUGGUGAUGCACUUCUUGGCUGCUGCAGACAAUUUUGAAGUUAUCAGCACAAGAUAUAUAUAUAUAUAUAUAUAUAUAUAUAUAUAUAUAUAUAUAUAUAUAUAUAUAUAUAUAUAUAUAUAUAGGCUUGCUAAACUGUGCCUGCGCGCAUGGUGUUCUAUCCUACGCUCCGGCCACUUCAAACCUACCAGCCAGUAUGCAUUAAGUAGCCCUAGUUAACCAGGCGGAAGGGCGCGCACAAUGUGGGGAAAAUCGAACGUAACGUCUUACGACCGAAACUACUCCACGUUGCUAACUUCCUUCGUGAAAAAAGAAUAGUAGUAACAGGUUACCAUGCGCUAAUUAACAGAGCCAUCCCUCGCAUGCCUACAUUUCACUUCAUCGUGAUUGUCCAAACAUCGUAAAAAGGCCUAGCCCAACUGUUAAUUCCUACCAUCAGUAAUCAGGCAUAUAGGAUCUAGUAAAGAUGUUACUAUCAGUAUUAUGGCACUAGUAAAUGGCCCUUAUUAAGUUGUAACAGAUUACCAUCAUGGUUACAUUUUGUACCCACGUCCCCAUGAUUGUAGUAAUACAUUACUACAUAUAUCAGCCUGGAUCAAAGCAUCUUUGACUUUUUUGUUCAUUUUUUUUUUUUGCAUUAUCAUCCACAAUGAGCAUCUAGUAAUGUGUUACUGCACGUCUCAAGAAGGUUUUACUACGAUUAGGGAUGAAACCAUAGAUAUCUCCCAUCCCGGUAAAAAACUAGGUCCAUUACCAUCUAUAGUUAAUCUAUUACUAGCAAUGAAUAGUUACCCAAAUUCAGAACGUGGCGGAGUAACACAUGGUAACAGAAUUAAAUGUGUUACUUUCUUUUGCACAUACCGUUACCCUCAAACAUUCUUGCUAUGGAGACGCGACCCGCACGCCUGAUUAGGAGCGGCCGGAGCGCAGGCUAAGCAACAAUGCGCGCACGCUCACAAUAGCGCAGCCGGCUGCGCUAAACUGAGCGAGAGCGUAAAAUUCCUUAUCCUGCGCGCUGGUCCUAAUUAGGCGCGGUCGCUCCGCAUGAGUAGGCCUCCUUGCCCGUUAAUGAAUGAGGGUAAAACCAACUGCAGUAAUAGUAAUGCAAUUUAUUUCGUUACCGUCCCACAGGUUCACCUACGUCUCGCAACUACCCUCCCUAAUUGUUGGUAGUAAAACGUGCCAAGGAUGUGGUAAUAGAAUAAUGUACGUUACCAACUAGGCUUUAGUAGUAAUACGGGUUGAGGAUAUGGUAAUAGAAUAGUUUGUGUUACCAACUACGCUCCCUAAAUAUUGGUAGUAAAACUGGUCGGGAUAUGGUAAUAAAAUUACUUGUGUUACCAAGUAAAGCAUCAUGUUCACGUACAUGUAGAACUCCAUGAUAGUAAUGCAUCAUGUUUGAAUUACUAUAACUAGACCUAAUAUUACCAUUGAUUUUUACAUGGAGGGGGAGACCUAAUGCUAGUAAUGAAUUACUAUAAAUGGACCUAAUAUUACCAUUGAUUUUUACAUGGAGGAGAGAGACCUAAUGCUAGUAAUGAAUUACUAUGACUGGACCAAAUAUUACCAUUAAUUUCUACCUGGAGAGGAGAGACCACGUGCUAGUAAUGCAUCAUGUAUAUAUAUUACUAUAAAUAGAUCCAACAUUACUAUCUAGUAAUGCAUCAGGCGUGUAUUACUACAAGUAGACCCAUUAUUACCAUCAGUUUUGGCAUAGUGGAGAAACUGGCGCAAGCACCUGGUGGCUGGUCGGUUACUUACAACAGGAGCGCACUCGUAUGAGUGGGCAGCGCGCAGAAUAAAAUUUAUACGCUCAGGCUCACUUUAGCAGUCCUAUAUAUAUAUAUAUGUAUAUAUAUAUAUAUAUAUAUUAUGUGCAACCCGAAAAGGCAGAAGUGAUGACUUACCAACGAGAUCGACAACAUAUUUCUCAAGGUUCUGCACCUUGAGCUUGGAGUUAGCCAGCAUCUUCUUCAACUUCUCCACCUUUUUCGAGAGGCGGGUAUUCUCCAGGGUUGUGUUCUAUACAUGGCAUGUUUGAAAACAUUAAAGACAGCCAGACAAGCUUUCGAUGGAGAUUUGAUCCUGAUGUCAGCACUUCAAAUCGACGUCAAUCCCGGGGGCUACUUGAUACGUCUCAAAUGUAUCUAUAAUUUUUUAUUAUUUCAUGCCAUAUAUAUCAUUUUUUCGUAGUUUUGGCACCAUUUUUCAUCAUUUUUUUAGACUAACCUAUUAACCUAGUGUCCAGCGCUAGUUGUUAUUUUGUGCAUGUUUUCAGACUUCUAGGGAAGUCAAUUUUACGGAGCUCCCUUUCUCAUGUGAAAACAAACUUUUUAUAACAUAAAUUGUUUGUCAAAUAGUUUUGUUUCACCUUUUACCUUAGUACAUCUACCAUGAUUGAAAAUCUAUACAUGUCUUUUUGCAUGAUUCCACCUAAUUCUUCAAACAAUGAUAUUUCGUGUUCUUCCACCGUUUCAAUUAGAUAAGCUCAUAAGAAAUUCAUAGAUGCAAUGGCAACAACGAAGAAUACAAAAGAACCACUAUUUUUCUCAACAAAAAAUUAACCGGUGUUUUUUUACAUUCAAACGCGAGUUUGCGGCUCAACUCACCGUUGGAUACAUUGUUGAGGACGAAAGGAAAUGGGACACUAUAUAUAUGAAGGUCGCACUAACCAAAGAACACCCAAAAACAAAAUCAAAUAGAUCCUCUACUAAGAAUAUGGCUCAUGCUACAAACUGCUAUAAUUUCAUCAUACAAUGUUAUUUAUACCAUCAAUAAAUUUGACUCACGAUGUAUGAAAUAUAUCAUAUUGUUGAUUAUUAUCAGUUCUAUAUGAAAUCUACCAUAUUAUUGAUUCAAAUGUUAUAAUCUUUGCAAUGUGGAUAUUAUCUAGUUUCCAUGAAAAUCCUUACUUAAAGGACAUGUCUUGUAAAAAAAAGUGGAUCAGCAGCACAUGAUGAUAUAUAUGUAUGACUUGGAAGAUUGCUAUAAGUUUUGAUGUUAUGACUGGGGUGGAUUAAGCUAACAUCAAAUUGUUUUUUUAGGGGAGCAUCAAAUUGGUUUCGUGGUGUAGUUUUGAUGUUAUGACAGCUACUUCUCUGUCGUCAGGCUUGGCUGGUCUAUCAAAUCAGCUAUUGGAGAGUGUCGUUAAUGGAUGAUAAGACACAAGUUUUUAGCUGUUCAAACAAAUACGUCACCGAAGGUUUCGUGGUGUAGUUGGUUAUCACGUCAGUCUAACACACUGAAGGUCUCCGGUUCGAACACGGGCGAAGCCACUUUAUUUUAUUUAUGUUUUUUUCGCGUUUCUUCUUUAUUCUAUCUAUUUUUUCAUUGUGUAAAAAAAAGUAAAAAAUAGGUUAAUGGCCCAUACAGGUCUCGAACCUGUGACCUUCGCGUUAUUAGCACGACGCUCUAACCAGCUGAGCUAAUAGGCCUUUUGUUCCAUUUUACUUUAUCAACUUAUAUAUUCCCUCUUUUCACUUUUAUAAAGCUUUGUAGAUGUUUCAGACAAUGUUUCACUUUUACUUCUCUGAAACGACUUAUAAAAGUGAGCGGAGUGAGUAGUUCAUAAUAUAGAACAGGGAACAGUAAGAAGAUCACAUGAGAGCCUGUUUUGGUCCUUAUGCUGAUCUUACUUAUGAUUCACAAGAAAGGCCGCCUGUGCUCGUUGGAGCGAUCUCCAAAACACAGCAACAAACCUUGGUCCUUGCAAUAUAGAUUCACAUUCACUGUCCACGUUUCAAAUAUUUGCCGCUGUUGGGGCCUUCUUGUCAUUGUUUCUCUGAUUUGUUGGACACGCAAGCCAUUUGUGCAAGUGAGCAAGUAAUAUCCACCAAAGAAGCCAGACCCGUAAUGUCGAUAGUGCAUCGGUCUAAGCACUACAAGAGAAAAAGAAUCACUCUCGACUUAUGCGUCCAAAGAUGGACACGACCAAAUUUGGUUCUCAGUUAUGAGCGAGGACAUUGUCUCGUGGAAGAAGAACUAUGUUUUCACGGUAUCCCUCCCUUCUCUAUACCUAGAUCGGAAUACAGUGUCUAGCGUUCAUGACGACAUAUGAAAUACCGGUCACCAUCGGAUUACACAAUCACCUCACUUAGUCGAUCAUCAUAGCAUCGAUCUUUGGUCUGCGACAUUUAUAUCAAUGUACAUAUACACAAGGGUGCACUUGAUCGAGAGCUCGACGUCAGUAUGUUGGCUACGGCGAGUCGGGUGCUCGAAGCGGUUUGGUGUGGAGGCGGACGGGUUGUGCAGACAUGGACGACUAGUGCUUCAAUGGCAGAGGCCAAAUCUGCGGCAUGAGUCUAGCUACUCUUCAAUGGUCAUGGCAGUGAUAGGCUGGAAGACAUCCCACUCUUGCCACUGGCAGCGGGGGUGAGCCGGUGAGACACUCCUCGGGAGGCGGUCCGCUAGGUAGCUCCACCGGGCAUGUGCUUCUUUGGUUCAUGGUAAUGUGGAGUGCCAGGAGAGGCGUGUGACCUCCAUCGGUGGACACCAUGGCGGUUCCAGCAGAGUACAGGGGUGCAACUUCUGGAAGAUCCCUCUGCAAAGAUACUGAUUGGAACAACGCUUCAUGUUCGGGGUGAAAUUUUUUGUUCUGGCCUUUAUUGGAUGGACUCAACAACAACAAAAUUGUGUCAUUACACUGUUGAAGGUCUUGUCUCUACGCUGAUAUUUGUGCCUUGAUUGGUUUGUCUUGGUAUCUAGGAUAUGAAAAUCCUUGUCCUGGAUGGACGCGAUGAUGGUUGUGCAAGAGUGUUAUUCCUUUUUGAAGGUGUUGCUGCGGAAGAAGUGAGACUUAAUCAUAUGUGUUAUCUUCAUAUCUUGUUAUGGUUCGGCAAAGUUGCAUAUGUCUUGUACUUUGCUUGUUGAUGACUUUGGUCUUGUUUUGCAUCAACUUUAAUAAGAUAUGGUUGUGUGCAUCCGAGGAUGAAGAGGCCAAGUGGUUUAACCUUCCUUUUUGAAAAAGAAAGAAAGAAAAAAAACAUAAGCAUAGAGAUAAAAAACGCAUAUUGAUCGUAUGAUGAGAAGAAAAUAUCAAGAAGAUGAUGAACAUGAAGUAGAACAUAAUAAGGGGCAAGGAUGAAAAAUCAUUUUUGAUCGUAGGAGUCACAAGCAAAAUGCAGCAAUAAAAAUAUUAGUCCUCGCCUAGUAUCUCAUUACACAUUCCAUGCUUGUGAGUACUUCUACAAGCGUACAUAAUACUCAAUCAAGUAUAUUAGGAUUUGUUUUGAGUCUUUCAAACCAUGACAAAUAAAGGAAAAAAAACUCCAGUGAGGCCAAUGAGCCUAAGGUCGGCUGGAAUCCUAUAUACCUAAAUAGUUCAUCCCCACUAUCUCAAUUCUCUUAACAUGCACACAUGCCACAAAAUCAUCCCACUAAUUAUUUCUGUUAACAUCCAUGAGAAAUGCUAUUAUAUUAUCUCUCAACAUGCACACAUCUCAACUCUCCACACAUGCCACCUCAUCAAUCACUAAUUAUAUUUCUCUCAACACGCAUGGGAAAUACUACUUAUACUCUAUAUAUAUUCACAACUAUAUAAUAAUCAAAUAAAAUAUAUCAUAUCUAUUUUAGAUUUCAUCAAAAAUAUUGCAAGAAAUCUCCGCAGCAAUGCGUGGGGAAUCAUCUAGUUUAUCAGUACCAAUGGCUUAAAUAAUCUAUCUAGGGAAAACAGUGUCCGGACUUCCAAACAAUCAUGUCGUCUUUGGUUCAAAGGAAUCAUACAGAACUGUUGUAGGGUUCUGUUGUUAGAAAUUUUUCCUAUGUGACUUGUUUGACCCUGGAAAUCAUAAAAAGUUUCCUAUGGCCUACUUUGCAUGACUGGAAAGAAAAUUCCACUGCAUCAAACAUUGUGGUUGAUUUGUUCAAUUACAAGUUUGUGCUUACACCCGAUGCUUAAGAAAAUUCUUGUAUUUUUCUCGUGGUGCAACAAAGCAACAUCUAUAUAUUACAUGUUCCUAUAUUUUCCGGUUCUCAUAGGAUUCAACACACCAUGACAUCAAAUUCCUACGCUAUUUUUUCCCGUUUCUUUGUCUUUGAAACCUGGCAAUCGAAAGAGGCGCAAGUUAUUCAAAUAUAGUGGAAGUGUGACGGUUAUUGAAAUACCUAUAGAAUAUAGAUGAAGAUGUUUAUAAAUUCAGCAUGUAACACUUAAACAACAAAAGAGUCAGUGUGAGAGGAAGACACUUUGUGCUUCCCAAAUAUCGAAAAGGCCAAGGGUUAACGGCCUAUGUUUAGAAUAGAGUUAUUAAAUAUUUGGUAAGGUUUAGUAAUUUAAUAUUUCAAAAUUAACUUUAUGCAUAUUCAAAAUUUUACCAAUUAAUACCAUUAUUCAACAAGCCCACAAAUCCUUAAGCAUAAUAAAUCACAGAGAUCCUUACAUGUAUUGUAAUUACAGUGUAUAAACCAACUCUAACAACAGAUCAAUAUUGGCUCUAGCUCCUUAUAAUAAGAAAGAAGCUAGCUAGAGAGAAAGCGAAUCAAAUGAUGUGAAGAGGUGGUUCUAUCCUUAUUCCUCUUCCCUAAACGGCAAUCCCUAGGUCACUCGCGUCCAUCCUUUUGCCAAAUUUGUGUGUGUGUGUGUGCGCGCGCGCGCGCGCACGCGCGCAACAUCUGUCAUCUCAUCUCUCCUUCAUCCUCCCCGCUUGCCUAGAAAUAUUGUGUGAUGUGACCGGUACCGCUGACAUGGAGCUCCGGAUGCCCUACACGAAAUAUCGGUGAUUUUUAAAAUAUCAGGACAUAAGAAACAAGUCAAGAAGUGCAUAUCCGUAGAUGGAGCUUUCUACAAGCAGGGUGAGACGGAUAUAUUGGCAACACCCACUCGGUCCCCUCUUGCCUGUAUGGGAUUUUCUUAUUUAUGAAAAUUAACUGCUGAUGAAUAAGUUAUAUACAUCUAGCGGAUGGGAUUGCAUGGAUGGAUAUGUUCACUUUUUAUAUUCUUUUUUGAAAGAUUCAAAAAUGGCAAUUCUCUUAGCUCCAAGAAAAGCAACACAAAAUCCUUCUUCUCCGAGGGCGACACCCAGUGCACCCGCAAGGGAACUAGCACACAGAGCGGCAACCAGUUUAGGGAGCCGCCCUUGGAUCCGGAGUCACACACCGGGUGUCGGACUUCUUCCCCAUCACGGGGUCAAAGGUGUGUUAGUGCGCGGAGGUAAUGGAUGUGUGGGAGAGGAUGAGGAUUGUACGGAGGAGCCGAAUCGGCUUUCGAGCCGGAGUAGGCUUCUCGGUCACCGCACCGCUAUGAAUGCGAGUAGGCGGGAUGCCGGCCUGGCGGAGUGAAUGCGGUCAAGCCGGGGCGGAUGCGGCAGAAGAAUGUUAUGGGUGGGUCCGGGGCGUUAGAGUUUGAUGUGGCGAACAUCCAUUCUUCCCCCAACCUCCCCCAGCUCGGUGCCAGUUUGCAGGAUUUUGAACGUCCGGACUGGUUGGACAAAUUUUGUGACAGCCGUUGGAUGGCCAAAAUUGUCCGGACAUUUGCGGUGAACUUUGGUGCUCCACAUUGGAGUUCGCCUUAGCGUGGCCAUGCUAGAUUCGGGGGUUCCUAAAGCAUCAUGUAUUCAGUUGGACACAAGUGUGUUUGGGUGUCCUUUCCAUGUGCUUUCAUUGGCACUGAUCUAUUAUUUAUUUUGGUUUUAUCUCCAUAAAUCUUAUGGAAUAUAAUGGUGUGACCUAUCGUCUUGUAAAAAUAGUGGAUCAGCAGCACAUGAUGGUAUGUAGCAUGACUUGGAAGAUUGCUGAACAAAUACCUUUUCUUAUAAAUUAGAGGCAUAGAGGUUUCGUGGUGUAGUUGGUGAUCACGUCAGUCUAACACACUGAAGGUCUCCGGUUUGAACCCGGGCGAAGCCAUUUAUAUUUAUUUAUUUUUGUCCAUUGUGUAGAAAAAACAAAAAAGAAAAGAAAAAAAAAGAAUAAAUGGCCCAUACAGGUCUCGAACCUGUGACCUUCGCGUUAUUAGCACGACGCUCUAACCAGCUGAGCUAAUAGGCCUUUUGCGUAAUUUCUUUAUUGUAAGGCAAACUGUUUGUCGAAACUGAAUGUCAAUUGUUUUUGAUGCUAUAUACUAUGAAAAUAAAAGGGAAACCCUCCCUGCAUCGCGCUAAUUUAUACGGUGAGCUUGAGCAGGAAGAGACGGCGGUGGGCACCAAGCCACCAACGUUCGGGAUGCCAAAGUAUUGGCUCGUCUCCAAGGUAGCAGGGAUGAACUAUUUCAUAACUAUUUUGUCCCAAAUCACAAAAUUGUUCUAUCAUUCCAGGCAUGAUAUGAUAUCUGCUCCAAGUGGAAAUGCAGCGUACGAACAAUAAAAUGAGAAACAGUAAAAAGAAAAUCAAAACAAUCUUUUUUUUUGUAACAAACAUUUUUUGGGUGGACGCAACCAAGAUUUUUUAUUGUCUGACAUACGUGCAAAGUGUCAUGAAGAAAAAAAAUUCGUGAUUCUCUAGGCAAAACAAAAUUCGAAGCUUCAAAAAGGCUGUUUUCCAAAGCAUUUUUGGAGCCCUGGUUUUGUUAUUUUCGUCCAGGCCAACACCUAUGCCAUUAACUUUGCAUGUGGGUAGACCACUAAGCAAUAUUUGUUGACAAAAAUUAUAUCCGAUUUUAUUGACUUUUUUGUUCAUUUUUACAGUUCACAGCAAGGGCAUAUGAGCUCGGGUGUAGGCUGAUAAUUUCUUUCCUGUGGGGAUUACUAGAUAGAACGGUAUUCAAGUUUAUGAAACAAGACAUUUCAAAACUACUCCCUACGUUCCAAAACAUUUUCAAGUUAUAGGUUAAUAAUAAUGUACCAUCUCCGACACCAAAUUAGUUUCACUAUAUUCAUCAUAAAGUAUAUUUUCGUACUAGUACAUAUAUAUCAUGAAUAUUAAUAUAUUUUUUAUAAACUUGGUCAAACUUAGGAAGUUUGACUUGCGACAAACCUAGAACUACAAAUAUUUUGAAAUGGUGGAAGUAUAAAAUACUCCCUCCGUAUCGAAAUAUAAGCCAUAUUUUGACACUAUCAUAGUGUCAAAAAACCGUCUUAUAUUUUGAUAGAGGGGGCAAAUUAAAAGUUCAUGAAGAUGUUGCGGAAAGGUAUAUUCAAAUCAGCACAAACAAAACUGAUUUUGUUCACCCUACACAUGUACACUUAGCCCAGGGCACAAAGAAACCUAAGGAUCAGGCAAGUUCACUGUAAAGUUUACUUCAAGAUAGCAAUUACACUAGCAACACAAACAUCUAUCCCUCUGUUACUUACGACGGGAAAGGCGAGCACAGAUCAAAAAACCACACAUACAAACUACCAUUAUUGAACCGAGCAUUCUCGCAAAAAAAAGUUGCGCCGGCCGGCUCAAUCUCAACGCUGCAUCAGAAAAUUGCAGCUGUCAUGCUUAUCAACACCAUCUCAUCCUAACUCAGGUCCAUCUCGUCUUGCGAAUGACGGUGACCCAACCCCCAGAUGGAAUAUUGAUUCAGAUCUAAUAAAGAAUAAAGAAAUUCACAAGCACGGCAGAAGCGGGUAAUUUACAUGGUCCACUCAAACAUCUGCAAAAUUGACAAAAUCCGUUAGCGGCCUCCAAGUAGUGAAAAAGAGAACAGGGUGCGGGGCGGGCGAGUGGAGAUAGGGGAUAUGAUUGAAAUUCAACAGCACACACCUUUUCACAGUUUGGAGCAGAGGAAUUCAGAUAUGGAUUCUUCUGCAACAAAAAUGAUCGAUUGCGCCAGUUCCCGUUGAAAACUUUGUACAUUGAAAUGUCAAACCAUAGAUUAUUGAACCCCUAGAUCAUUUGACAACUGCAAUAUUCCGCGCAUUUGAAGGUAUGGGUUCUCCAGAAGUUUUUCAUUGUUACACUGGAAACGGCGUAAAUAAAUGUCAGUGCCAACUUAAUCUAGAGACCAGAUGCAUGUGCGGAACUAAAUUUAUUGUGAGACUUGUACUGCCUGAAUGUGUCAGCAGGAACUAAUCUAGAUACCAGUUGCAUCCGAACAAUAUUCCUCUGGUAUUUGAAAUUUUUACUGACAAGAUGAGAUAGGAAAAGAGCAUCAACCUGUUGAGCUUUUGAAAUGAGGCUUUGGAGCAUCCUUUGGUAGACAUCUGGUUCCUCUGUCAUCAUCCGCUGUACAACCAAAAACUUUAUUAGGGCCAAGUGCAACAGGAAUGUCAGUAAGCAGUCAACAACUGCUGACAAGCAUACCUUCAAGAGAAAGGCAGCAGAAUAAUAUGCCACCCUUGAGUCUGUAUCAUCUAGAAGCCCCCUGUUGGUGUCGAGUGGAGAAGGGACAAACAUCAAGUAUUAGCUAUAUAAAUCAACUUCAAACGAAGAAGAUAUGCAGCUUACAAAAGAUUACCUGAAGAACUCAUUGCCUUCUACUUCCGAAAGUGCUUCUGGAUCAGCUGUGCAUUUACCAAUCAAAAGCAAAAGAAGCGCUGCUCUAAUAUCUGAUGUAGCACCAGGGAUAUUGCCUCUUCCUGUGCUACCAACAGCAAUACCCAAUGCAAUAUCAUCGCUGGCAGCGCCUUCAAGUUGCAUCAAUGGCCAGAAAAAUAAUGAAGUUGGCACACGGGCUACAAGCUGCAUCGGAGCUAUCGCAAGACCUUUCAGAAGUAGUGCUGACAUUGAUGUUUCGCAGAGCAGAGCGGAUUGAGUAGAUUGAUUCAUGCCUGUAUCUUGCAAUGUCUCAUUCCUGGAAAGGCUCUUCGUUCCUAUGGUUUUGUGUGAUGCAAGGGUUUCCAAUGUGCACUCCAUGUUCUUAGUUGUGCAACCAAAAAGUUGACCAAGGGAUUGAAGGCCGCCCAGUUGCAUCACAUUUGUGGACGGAAGCCUCAAACAUAAUUGUGAGAACAACAUGUCACACAUCUAUAUGAGGAAACUUUGAAUUAGAGGAUAGAUCAUAUAACUUAAGAAUACUAAUGGUUGAUUUAGACCAGUAUUAAACAGGAGAUCUAAGAGGUUAUCAAUUAUGUUUAGAAAUAAAAUUGGCUACAGAUCAACUAACUAUUAGCAGUUAACUGGGUGUACAGAGCGCUAUAAUCUGCAUUUAGAAACUACCUAUUACCUUUGAGAAAUUACAUUUUGUAAGUAGUUCAUUGUCAGUAUUAACUUUUCAGAAAGCAACUUUAAUAUUCAAAGAUAGUGCUAGCUUGCAGUGCAAAGGCGAAAUGCCUGCAUUUUGGGUGAAAGAAAAUCACCUUUAAGAUGUUGAUAUGGUCUGUCUCAUUACUUUGAAACACGAGUAGCAAAGCAGUACUCAUAACAUCUAUAACCGCAAAAGCUUUGUCCAGACGGUUUUUGCUAUGAUAAGCAACUGAAUGCUCCUGCAUGUCACUGUCAUCCAAUAAUAAUUUGCACCGCAUCAGAAAUUUCUCUAGAACAUAUAGAAAUCCCCAUCUGAUGUAGUUGUGUUUUGAUUUCAGAAGCCCACACAGCAGACAAACGGGCAGUGAAACUUCUGGACACGAGGUGUCGUGGCUUCCAGCAUCUUUAAUUUCCUCCUGAAGGUUUUGGAUUUUAGACCAAACAGAGCCAUCUGUUUCUUCACUUACUUCCGAGAGGAGCAAUUCAACUAACCAAAUAUAUCCAUGGUGCCUGUAUGAUGAAAUUUGUGAGUGAAGAAGUGAGUGCAAAGUAGCCCAGCAAAGCCUUGCCCUAGAUGCAAUGUCACCAUCUUCAGAUCCAUCUUGAAUGCUGCUGAAACACUUGAAGGAUUUUGUUACUUGGAUCAUAUAAGCAAACUCAUUGUCAAUCCUUGAAAAUGUGCUCACAGUUCCAUCAAGUUUCCUGAUAACCUUGUCCAGAAGCUACAAAUAUUGAAAUUUUGAUCAGGACCAGUACAGUAAAUGGUAUUUCAAAAAUAAAAUUCCGAAUUAUGUACUCCCUCGGAUCCAAAUUAAUUGACGCACUUAAUUUGGAUCAGAGGGAGCACUUUUUUAUAAGGGAGAAUCUUGACAUAUAUUCAUGGUGUUUUACCAUGAAACAAAGUCAGACAAAUAAAUGUGUAGGACCAUGUUGCAGGACCUAACGGUUAAUUGAGAAAAGAAUGUGGAUUCUUGGUCAUGACUACUGCCUAUUUAUGUGAACAUGUGCAGACCAUCACAUAACAUACACACUAGAGUUGAUUGUAGGGGCCCUCAAUGUUGUGGAUACUACUUACUUUGCGCAACUUCGAACAUGAUGUUUUACGUGUGUAGAGCAAUUUAACAAAGGUUCAACAGCUGUACUAAACACUAACUACUAGCUUAGUCUCUAACACUGUCUACUCUCAUGUAAAAAACACUGUCGACUCUUAUAGCAUUGUAAGAAAAGAUAGUGGUCCUUGUUGGGAAAGACUAGGGGGAAGGAGACUUUACCGCGUUUAAUUGCUCGUAUUCUGCUGACUGUGAUAAUGCCGCAGAUAUAGCUUUUGUCAGCAUAUCCCCAACACCUUCGACACCAUGCUUCACAGAUAUAUAGAAGGCCUCCGGAGCAUCAGCAGAUGCAAGAAGGGAAGCAAGGGGUUGAGCAUCAUCAUAAGUAUAUGUUGAAAGACCAGCAGCCAAGCAUGUUUCGUUUAUUUGAUGCACUACAUAGUCAAAAAGAACAAAAAACAAAUCCCGCUUCUCUUCCUUCGAGUUGGCUCGUGAAUACUGUAAAUGAAAAGGUAACACAGAUUAACAAAGAAAAAUUACCAUCAUGAAUAGUACAAACAGAGACUGAAAUGGAUUAGCAUUGCAUGAUAAUAAUUCUGAUUUUAACGACCAUCAGUUAUCUCAUGGAAUUUGUUGGUUUGAGAUAGUAUAGUAGUGACCAUUGGCGCAGAUUUUAUGGAUCUAUGAUUGACCGAACUUUUCUCUCAAGUAAAGAAUACAGCACCUCACCAGUUUUUCUGGGAUACCCAUCUUGCCAACCACACGUGGGACACUAGGUGCAGUAAAAAUUGUUUUAAGCAUAAGAAGUCCUAUUUACGUUCAGACAUAUUCCUGGGGUUCAGUGUGAACCUACGAGGAAAGAAAAUUCCGCAUAUGAUUGCAGUUGCCAUUCGCCACUCAGUACCAACUAGCCGAUCCCCUUCAUUCCAGACAAUAUUGACCAGUAUUUUGAGACAAAGUUAUUGAAUGGAAUGGGAUAUUCCAGCUAGUACCAGAAUGGGAUAGCUAAGAUUAACUGCAGAUGGAAAGAACCAACAUAACUACUCCCUCCGUUCGGAAUUACUUGUCACAACAAUGGAUGUAUCUACAACUAAAAUACAUCUAGAUACAUUCAUUUCUUGGACGAGUAAUUCCGAACGGAGGGAGUACAUGGCAGUGAAGCACUGGUGGGUUUACUUGCCUAUAGAGCAGGUCUUUCAUUGGACUAUCUUCUGGCGUAUUAUUGUUUACUUGUACUUUGUGCAGAACUGAGAUAAUAAGAUAAUAAUGUAUUGCAGUCAAAUAGACAUACAGCUCAGUUGUAAACAGACAUCAAUAGCAUGCAUGAAACAGCAUAGUUCUAUCUAAAGAUAAAGAGUAACACUAACCUCAAGACAGAUAUAAUCAACUCCACCAAGAAGAUCUAUCCGUUCGGGAACAAAAUGUGUAUCAAGUGCACCACUCUGAGUCCCAUCUGGUACUUGGUACAGCAUAUUUGUCAGCAUGCAAAUGAGCUUGCUGUGCACUACUUUUGCCCAUGAGUGUUCCACACUAAUCUCAAGAAGAGUCUUAACAACCUGUUCAGGAUUUAAAAAAUGCACACGUGGUUCUCAAACCCUUCUUUGACAGCAAGGAAUAGCACAAUUUACAGAAAUUGCUGUAAACUACUGCCUCCAUUUCAAAAUAUAAGACGUUUUGGCAGUUUCAAUUGAACUGCCAAAACGUCUUAUAUUUAGGAACAGAGGGUGUAGUAAACAGACUAUAUGCUAUUCCCUCCAAUCCAAAAUAAGUGUCGUGGUUUUAGUUCGGAGUGACACAUUUUUAGAAACCUAUGCCAGAUGAAGGUCAAACAGGCUCAUGCGCCAAAUAUAUGAGAAAAAUGCAUGACCACAUACAUAAAAGAAGAAGUCCAAGUGCAUUUCACAGCCUGCUAUCAAAGAAAAAUCUUGUGCUGGAAUAGCAUUCUACACCCAACCCAUACAUUCGGAACAUAUCAACACCAGUAAUAAUAUACUCAAACCUGUAGAUUCAAUUAUUUUCAGUACCGCUGCUAUUGGUUAUUUUUAUUUUCCAUCUUUCAAUUGUGAAUAUAAAAUGACAAUAAAAAUAUGCACAUCUUGCCAUGUAAGCAGAAAUCCAUACUACAUGCUCAACUGAUAUAUGUUUAGCAUUAAUGGGACAUAAAGGUAUAGUUUCAACUACAACUCCAAUUUUCUAUAUAUAAAUGGCUAGCCCUCAAUUACCUAUUUCUAUCAACAUGCAAGCAUGUCACCUCAGCAUGCACCAUGCAUUGGAAAAGACCCGCCACAAGAUGCAAUCAUGCAUAGAAAAAAGCCCACCUCAACAUGCAAAUAUGCAUGCGAAUGUUCAUUCUAUUAGGCUAUUUAUAUUUUACAAAUAUACAACAAUCAAACACAAUAAGUCAUAUGUAUUUACAGUUUUAGUUCUCAUAUUAUUACUCCAAAUAUUCAUGUUCCGUAUAAUCAAAUACCACUGAAAUUAUUUCCCACAACAAAGUGUUGGGUAUCAUCUAGAAGUGAAGUGUUGAACACUGUUAGUCCAAAGGCACGCGAAUAACAAGACUAACAAAAUGUUACAAAUAGGGUCCAAGCACACGACUCAAAGAAUGAAUACAUGAAAAAAACCUUAGUUUCCUUACCCUUAUGUCCAAACCUCCAAGUCUGCUCCUGAUGAUUUUCCCUCCAUCACAAACAAAGUAAAUUAGACAACUUAAAGCUGAUGCCCACACGAUCUCCUGCCGCUCCUCCAUCUACAAAACCAGAAGUAACAAAUAAAGGUAUUGUACGUACCAGCCUAGCAUAAAAUGGAGCAAUCUACAUGUUGUGAUGUAAACAUGCUUGCACGUGUACAUAGAUGAAUAUAAUACACAUUCCCUUGUGCUUAAGAGGAGGGCCAAUAUGACUACCAAAAUGCAUACAAGUUCAAUAUUCUAAAAGUAACAAUCACCUGAACCAAGAGAAGGAGAACUUCAAAUAGUAUUUUGAGAAGCCAUGACUCAAACUGAUCAAUAGCAGGACUAAUCAUUUGCUCUUCUUCAGGUUCCGCUUCCCUCUGUUCAUCCAUAUUGGGUCCGUACUCAUUGUUCAGAUAAGAGUUGCUUGUAGUAUCACCUUUUUCAAUAAGUGGUGCAUCUUCAACUAUCAUAGGCUCCAGAAGGUGUGCAUGAAUCCCAAGGUUCAGAAUCAGAUCGAAAGCCUUUGUUCUGGCAGGUGAUUUCUGAGAGCUUAACAUGCCCUGAAACAUAAAAAAAUGUUAGAAAUAUUUCACAUGAUCUGUUUUGGGAUACAGCUGUGCAGAGUAUAACACCUCAAGCAUAUAAAGUGUCAGAGGAGCAGCAGCCUCAGAGUCCAUCAUAUACCUGAACCAAGGAAGAGAAACAAAUAUUAUCAAAACCCUAAAUAAGUGUAGUUCUAUGGUUGCAAAGGUUGCUUUAACACCAAGCCUAAAUAAGUGCAGUUCUAUGACAUUUUGAGAUAAAUAUUUGCUCACAUUUUGCAACGGUUGUUCUUUGAUGCAUGCAUUCAUUACUCAAACUACUAUUUGAUAACAGAAAUAUGGCAAACAUGGAAAUCUUUAGUACGCGUGCAGAGUGCAUCAGCCUUACAUUUCAUAGAAGCAAAGCGUACAGCCUGCUGACAACCCAAGUAAAACAGAGACAUGAUUAUACAAGAAAAAAGUAGCAGAACAAUAGGCAGUUCAGAUCAAUGAUGACAAUGUCGCAGGUCAGAUCACAUAGAUAUUCAUGUAAUAAAAAUACUUUGCAUUAAUUAGAGCAUAUGUUUUGCAAUUGAAAUGCAUUCAUAGUAAAGAAAAUAUACUGUCAGUUAACAAUAAGUUGUUCAGGUCUGAUAUCAGCAGUAAUAUUAGAUAUAAAAGUACAAGAAUCAUGCUGUCACCAUAAUACCAAUAAUGGAGACAGCAGUAGAAAAAACUAGAUAUGCAAAUACGAUGUGCGAACUGGAGGUAAAAAGAAUGAAAAGAUAAGGGUGUAAGGUCAUAUACAUGUCAAUAACAAGUUUAAUGAGGACACUAAAUGCCACAUCCGCUGAAGGUUGCCGACUCUGGGUGGUCAAUCUUGAUGGAGCAUUAAAUUGAUUUGCAUUUGAAGUUGUUUCUGAACAAACUUCAGCAAUGACUUCAGAAAUUUCAGCAGGGUUCAAUCGCAAGGGUUGCUGCUCACUGUUGAAAGAGGGUGCCACAAAGAGCAACAGAUGCAUGUGAGCACAUUUUUAGGCAUGAUGCAACACAUUGAAAACAAAUGUGGAAUUCAAACUGAAACACAGUAUUAUUUAGCUAUAUGGUUUACACAGGAGUAUUAUAGCUAUGAUAUACUAUAAAUAAGCAAAUGUUUAAUAUAGAGGUAAAUGAGAGUUAUCUGACAAAAUACAACUCGGAAUCUCUCCAUGGCUUUGUUAAUUAAGUAAAGAUUUUACUCAGAAUCCCAAAAUUGCAUGUCUCACUAUUUCCAUCUUGUUUUUUUUACAGCAUGCAUAUGCAUAUAUGGUGGUAGAAAAAAUUCAGACUUAAUCAACUUAGGGUAUUUCAGUUCCAUUGAUGCAAUACUGACCUUAUAAAAGUACGCAUACACUUCAACAUAUACAUUCCUAUACAAAAUACUAUGCUAAAUCAUAUGCAGAAGGGAAUACCUGUAGUGCCUAUACUGAAAAAGGGGACGUGCUCGAGGCUGGAAUGUGUUUGCAGGUACAUUCACCCUGCAGAAAAAGUAAGUGUUGCCACACUUAAUACCAUUUUGACUAAUUAUUGAUAUCAAUAAUUUAAACAAAAAAAUCUACAAGUUAAUAUGCGCUGGCCUUGAGAUAAUGAUUUGGUUCGUAAUGAAGUAUGAUAUGUCAGCACAGAUACAGAAAGCUGUUUCUCAAAAUACCCAUCUCAGCAAAACUGGAAAGGAAAUGGGGCAGGUGAGAGGAGAAUGUGUUCUACAUGAAAUACUAAAAUAAUGCAUGAAAGGAAAUAUAUAUAUGGUUUCACCACAAUGUAGCACUAAUAUACAAGAUAACCUAAAGAAGAAUAAAAAGCCUACCAAACUUGACUCGGGCCCGAUUUCAUGCGUUUUGAGGCAGUUAUUGCUUUCAGAUGACCCUGCGAUGACGCAAAAGUGCUAGCUGUCGAAGUUGAAGGUUGCAAUAAAUCAAUAUCAGGAAAUUCCUGGAUAACAGAAUAUUUCCAUUGUUGAUCAUUAAUCUUUGCCUCCAUAUCCCCUACUAGAAGAGCUGCAGCACCAACUUCAAGAAAACCCUGUGUAUGAAAAUCUUGAAGGCCUGCAAGAUCAUUGCUGGUGAUAAAUGAAACAAACAAUGCAGUUAGUGUUUGCACAACUAUCAGCAUUAUACUUUUAAAUUCCAUUCAUUACGGCUAGAAUGACUGGGAUGCUCCAACUUGACAAAAACAGGUACAGAACACAUUGCAUCUUGUACUGACAAGACAUUCUGGUCUACCAAAACGAACUGACAGUGAAAAAUAAGCACAAGAGAAAUACCUUUCCUUGGCAGAACUUGAUGUUUGACGUUCACCGUAUACAUGCCAUCGCCAAUUUAGAAUGUCGAAGGAUAUAUACUUGAUAUCAUAUCCAUGCUCUCCACCAUCGACCUUUUCACUUGCUGACGAUGUUAAAUCGGGUGCAGUUUGCAAUUCCUUCUUUGAUUCAAGAUGUUCUCUGUUGGUAACAGCUUCUGGAUUCAAUUGUAAGGACCUAUUCAAAAAUGAUGAAAGUGAAGGAAGCGACUGUUUUGUAGAGGUUGAUGCCAGAGACGGAGGAAUUGGCUGGAAUGAUAACUUUGGAAUAUGCCUGGCAACUAAUGAGCGGACAUAGUUUAAAGAUUUCACAAGAGAUGCUGAAGCAAAGUUCGAUAUUGGUGGGGCAACAAGAGAGGAAUUUGGCAAAGCUGCAGAUGAUCCAAUGUUCUGGCCAAAUGAUGAUGCUCUGUGACCUGCCACUGGGUCAUACUUUGCCAUGGUAUUUGCACAAAAGAUGUCGAUUUGACGUAGCGUUUGCACCCUUGGAAUAUACCUUACCACGCAAAGUUGUACAGUGUAUUAGUGUAAGUGCAAGCAAUUUUCAAGAAUAAGCAUGAGACGCUGACAAUUGACACUCAGCUUACCGGAUAAGAUAUCUCUUUAACAAUGCCACGCAUCUUGGGACAACUGCUGGGCUGGUUGAAAAGAUUGUCCACGUUAGGAAAUAUAAUAUUCACUUUUUGGGGGCAUUAUAUUCUUAUAGAUACAGCGGCUCAAAAAGUCUAAAUGCGGCAAGGAAAUUGUGAAUAAUUUCAAGUAUUCCAGACCCUUAUCGUUACUUGAUUAAUUAUUGUAUGCCGUACAGAAAGAAGCUAAGGAGUUGUAGCUUAUGACACAGGAGCUAGAUAAGUUUGUCAAGAAAAACACGAGAUACAUGAGCACAUUAUGCUGAAUCUUUACCCCUUGUAAUGUGGAAUGGGGAAAGAGCUAGAAAAGGCGAAAUGAAAGCGAAAAGCAUACCUCCGAUCUCUUUCUGCAAGAGCAUGGUCAAUCAGGACAUUAUAAGCCAUAUCGAUGGUUGACAGGUUAGCUAUAUAAUCCUGCCAGCAUAAGAUCACUCAUCAGGAAAUGGCAUAUAUGUGCACAAGUUGAGGAGAGAUGAUAACAGAGUUAAAAGAAUCUUGCUGCAUUACAAAACUUUGUUUGCCAUCAAUAGCCCAAAAUACCAACAGCGGUAAGCCGGUAACAGAGAAAGCAGAUAACGAAAAUAUGCUGGCCAGGUGAUGAACUAUGAUGGAUGUACCAAAUAAUUUAACAAAAAAAGCAAUUAACCAAACGGUCAAAAGGAUUCAACAAUUUUAUAUACUUUUACCUUCCAAAAAAAUUCACAUUAGACGAUGUGCAUGCAAUUAUAUAUAGCAACUGACAGAUAACGUGUCCAAAUAUAACAUUCAUGUAUCUUGCAAGUCAUAAUGUGAAAAAGAACAGUAGUCAGGUUUUGUUUCUUUGGCAAACACCUUGAAUGUAUGUCAUAUAGGGGAGCUUGUAAACAGACCAAGCCAGUGUGUUUAUGUUUCAUGUGCAAAAGGCAACACCAGCGGGCUUUCAUUUCCAACGGUGGUCGGUGGUCUUAGGCGACACGCUUUCCAUUCAUUAAUCAUGAAACAAUACAAAACCAGAGUAUGAUGAAAUAAACCAUUAGAAACUACGCGGUCAUGUCAUUCGUGGGCAUGAAUCGUUUCUCGGCGUCAUUGGAAAUAAGUGGGCGGCACAUUCCAAUUCCAAUCAACACUACAGGCACCAAUUUUGUAUGUAAUUCAGUGCAUUGCGCCGUGCAGUAUUAUCUGACAUACAAGGCGACAAGCAAACCAAAUAUAAGCUGCUGGUUUCUCUCCAACUGCGUCUUAGAACAGCAGGUAGUGCCAAAUGAGUCAUUACCGAAUCCCAUUCGCAAGAGAGAAAGCAGAGAAGCUAAAUAUGCUGGGCAGUGAUGAAUCACAACGGGUAUACGAAACAAUUAACAAAUCGAGCAACCAAACAGCGAAUGCAACCGAUAGUCAAAAGGAGAAAGAACUUCACAUUAGAUGAUGUGCUUUUAAUUAUAUAUACGAACUGACAGAUAACAUGUCUGAAUAUAAUACUAUUCACAUACUCCCUCCGUUCCCAAAUAUAAGUCUUUUUAGACAUUUCAAAUGGGCUACAACAUACGGAUGUAUGUAGACAUAUUUUAAAGUGUAGAUUCACUCAUUUUGCUCCGUAUGUAGUCACUUGUUGGAAUCUCUAGAAAGACUUAUAUUUAGGAACGGAGGGAGUAGAUUGCAAGUCAUAAUUUGCCAAAACAGUAAUUAGGUAUUGCUUCUUUGGCAAACACCUUGAAUGUGUGUCAUAUAGGGGGGCCUGUAAACAGACAUAGUCAACGUGUUUGUGCUUUAUGUGCAAAAGGCGAGGCGGAAGCGCCCUUUGAUUCCGAACGGCGGUCGGUGGCCUUAAGCGACACAUGUUCUACUCAUUAAUCGCGAAACAACAGAUACCAGGAUAUGAUCAAAUAAUAUCAUGACAAACUACGCAGUGACGUCACUCGUGGACAUGAACCGUUUCUCAAUGGCGCUGGAAAUAAUUGGGUGGCGCGUUCCAAUUAAUACUAUAAGCACCAAUUUAUGCAUCAUUCAAUGCAUUGCCCAACACCAGUGCCGCCGUGACGUACGAGACGACAAUGGAGAAGCUGCCGGUAACUCCGCAACCUGGGGUUCAGAAAAGCAGCCAGCGCCGAGCGAGCGCGCCAUUGCCAAACCUAGCCAUUCACGAGCCGCUUAGCGCGAGGGGCACAUCAAUGUGGUUCCCAGCUAGACUCAAGUCAUCCAUUCCUCGGCGUCAACAUAAUAAGUGGGUGGCGCGUUCCAAUUGAUACUAUAUAUAGGCACCAAUUAUGUGCAUCAUUCAAUGCGUUGCGCAACCCUAGUCGUAUCAUGGCAUACAAGGCGACAACCGAACCAAAUGCAAGCUGAUGGUUACUCUGCAGCUUGACCGGGGGUUCGGAGCAGCAGCUAGCGGCGUAUGAGCGCGCCAUUGCUAAAUCUAGCCAUUCGCAAGUCGCUUGGGCGGCAAAUUGACGAGAUUCCUGGCUAGCUAUAAGCAAGCACGCGAAGGACUGACUAGUGCACAUGUAUGGCAACCAACCAAGGAGGGGCCGAGAUUUACGAAAGGGAGAUGGGUGGAGAACUGACCCGGAGGGUGCGGGAGGCCUCGGCGGCGGCGGAGGCGGCGGCGGCGGCGGGGCCGUGGGUGUGCGGGGCCGGCGGGGAGAGGCAGUCGGCGACGGCGCGGCGGAGCGGCUCGGGCGGCUUCCGCGCGGACGCGGACGAGGCGGCGGCGGCGGCGGCGGCGGCGGAGAAGGAGGGCGCGGCGGACAUGGCCCGCGGCGGGGGCAUCCCCACGGCCGCCACGCGCCCGCUCCCGCCCGCCCGCUUGGACGGCGCGUCGUGGGGCCGCAUCCCGGCGGGCGCGAGAUCCCCCCGAUGCGCNNNNNNNNNNNNNNNNNNNNNNNNNNNNNNNNNNNNNNNNNNNNNNNNNNNNNNNNNNNNNNNNNNNNNNNNNNNNNNNNNNNNNNNNNNNNNNNNNNNNNNNNNNNNNNNNNNNNNNNNNNNNNNNNNNNNNNNNNNNNNNNNNNNNNNNNNNNNNNNNNNNNNNNNNNNNNNNNNNNNNNNNNNNNNNNNNNNNNNNNNNNNNNNNNNNNNNNNNNNNNNNNNNNNNNNNNNNNNNNNNNNNNNNNNNNNNNNNNNNNNNNNNNNNNNNNNNNNNNNNNNNNNNNNNNNNNNAUCGCGAGGGAGGUCUGGUUGGGGGGUUGGGUCGGGGUUGGUUCAGUCUCGACUCGAGUCUGGAGUCUGGCCCGCCGUGUGGUCUGAGGAGGAGGAAGAGAGAAGGAGACGACGACGACCCCUGGCUAGGCUUAGCUGGCUCCAACACAACACUCCGCUUGUAGUACUGUACCAUCAAUGAAUGAAGGAAAUGCUAAUACCAUCUAUUUUUCCCAUUUUCAUCGUCCCGUUAAUUCAGUUUCGGCCGGUCGUGUCCCAGCCGUCGGAUGUGAGCCUCGUGGCCAUUGGAUCCACGCAAAAAAAAAUGCAGUUUCGCCGCUGCCCGUCGGCGCUGAUGCUCGCUGCACGGAAUUGCAUCGACGACGGCCGCCGGUUAGUCAAUGCCAUUGAAUGGACGUUUGCAGCCCCGUGGUCACCUUCGGUCACCGCCGUCAGGCCCACCCGACCGCCAUGGUUGCAGCACGUGGUCGCCGCCAUGGGAGCACCCGGCCAAUGUGCGAGGGAGCUCGCGGUGGCUCGGUCGCAAAGCUGGGGAAGAAGAAGGGAUGUGGUGCGUGGAGAAAUACGACUGAAGGUAGCCAGGUAGGGAUGGAGGCGCGUCGGGGAAGGAGGCAGUCGCGUGGGCGCACUGCGUCCGCAUGUCUUGCGCGUUGGAGCCAGUGUGACAUGUGAGCCGGCCGCCGCCGAACGCAAGUGUUUCCGCUUUUUAAUCCAAUAGAUGAAUGAAACAACAAUUUUUUGGCAUGUAUGAGAAAAAUCUGGAUAUCAUCUUCUAUGUUCUUAUUCGUGUUCGCGUGCGUUUCCAGCUGAUUUUCACUGGGGCUUUGGGAGGAAGGAAAAAACCUUUGUUGUCGUGCGGCGACGGAGCCACGUACUGACCCUCCACCGUCCAGCCUAUGUCAAGGAACCACCGUAUCAUUGAAUCUUUUUAGCGAGACUCGGCGUUUUUAUCUCUAGCUCUUACGAGCAAGAAGCUCGCGAAGGUCGAUGCCUUUGUGCGCAAGACAUGGCCCGCUGAAAUCACUGUCGUUUUGCCCCGGUCAACAAUGUUAUCUACUGAAGUUUUCAUGUGUGAUUAGGUCUAGAGUGCCAACAUACUAUUCUUCACAAAACCAGAAACAACCUAAUUUAGCUUCUGUUGAUCUUGAUCCACCAAAUAGCGCAAGGGUUGUGAAAAGAUCGAAAUAACAUAUGAGUUGGUAAAUCAUCGUCAGAGAUUAGAGGAAAUUAAUUAUAGUUAUAUUUUUCGUGAAUAUGAAAAGCUUGCGUAUCGUUCCAUUGAUAUAAGAAGUUUGAACAAGUACAAAAGGGUGGUACAAUGCGUGAUACGUGCACUAGAAGGCCUAAACACGGGGACCAAAGCAGAAGGCUAGAGGAGAUGCUCAGCCCCAACUCCCCAAGAGAUAGAGGUAUAUGUCUCAGGCAAUAGAUAGAGCAUUUGUUUGGCUCUGCUUUGGCCUACAAAGCACUUCGUCUUGGAUUUCCUGCAGCAACCACGAGAUGGAUGGUUGCUUACCAUCGAAAAAUAGAAGUGUUGUGGUGGCACCAGAUGGACCAUUGUAGGACCUUGAGAAGAGGUGUCUAGAGGGGGGUGAUUAGACACUAAGUACCAAAGUUGCAGUUUUUAACUUCUUUAAGUUUAAGUGGAGUUUAGGCACAAGUUUAACAUUCACAACAUAUAGCAAACAAGCAUGCAAAGAGUAUAUGAGCAGCGGAAAGUAAAGCAUGCAACUUGCAAGAAUGUAAAGGGAAGGGUUUUGAAGAAUUCAAACGCAAUUGGAGACACGGAUGUUUUUGGCGUGGUUCCGAUAGGUGGUGCUAUCGUACAUCCACGUUGGUGGAGACUUCAACCCACGAAGGGUAACGGUUGCGCGAGUCCACAGAGGGCUCCACCCACGAAGGGUCCACAAAGAAGCAACCUUGUCUAUCCCAUCAUGGUCGUCGCCCACGAAGGACUUGCCUCACUAGCGGUAGAUCUUCACGAAGUAGGCGAUCUCCUUGCCCUUGCAAACUCCUUGGUUCAACUACACAAUCUUGUCGGAGGCUCCCAAGUGACACCUAGCCAAUCUAGGAGACACCACUCUCCAAGAAGUAACAAAUGGUGCGUUGAUGAUGAACUCCUUGCUCUUGUGCUUCAAAUGAUAGUCUCCCCAACACUCAACUCUCUCUCUCAUAGGAUUUGGAUCUGGAGGAAAGAAGAUUUGAGUGGAAAGCAACUUGGGGAAGGCUAGAGAUCAAGAUUCAUAUGGUAGGAAUGGAAUAUCUUGGCCUCAACACAUGAGUAGGUAGUUCUCUCUCAAAAAUAGGAUGCUGGAAGUGUAGGUUCGUUCUGAUGGCUCUCUCCACGAAUGAAGAGGAGGUGGAGGGGUAUAUAUAGCCUCCACAAAAAAUCUAACCGUUACACACAAUUUACCAAACUCGGUGGGACCGAAUCAACAAACUCGGUCGGACCGAUUUAGUAAACCUAGUGACCGUUAGGGUUUUCGGUGGGACCGAUAUGCAACUCGGUAGGACCGAUAUGGUUAGGGUUAGGGCAUAACGUAAUCUCGGUGAGACCGAUUACACAAACUCGGUGAGACCGAUUUUGGUAAUUAGCUAACCAGAGAGUUGGUCAGGCAAACUCGGUGGGACCGAUUACUCAAACUCGGUGGGACCGAUUUUGGUAAUUAGCUAACCAGAGAGUUGGUCAGGCAACGGUGGGACGGAUUACUCAAACUCGGUGGGACCGAUUUUGGUAAUAAGUUGACCAGAGAGUUUGCAUUGUAAUCUCGGUAGUACCGAUUGCUCAAACUCGGUGAGACCGAUUUUGGUAAUGGACAUACACAGAGAGAUUACAAUCCCAUCUCAGUGAGACUGAGAUCCCUAUUGGUGAGACCGAUUUAUCUAGGGUUUGUGGCAGUGGCUAUGACAUCUAAACUCGGUGGCGCCGGAUAGAAAUAAUCGGUGGGGCCGAGUUUGACUUUAGGUUUAGGACAUAUGUGUGGAAGUGGGAAAGUAGUUGAGGGUCUUGGAGCAUAUCACUAAGCACUGUGGAGCAAGAAACUCAUUAAGCAACACCUCAUCCCUUCUUGAUAGUAUUGGCUUUUCCUAUAUACUCAAUGUGAUCUUGGAUCACUAAAAUGUAAAAUGAAGAGUCUUGAGCUUGAAGCUUGAGCCAAUCCUUUGUCCUUAGCAGCUUGAAGGAGUUCCCACAUCUUUUAGUCCAUGCCACUCCAUUGUUGAACUUAUCUGAAACAUACUAGAUAAAAGUGUUAGUCCAACAAGAGAUAUGUUGACAUCAAUUAUCAAAACCACCUAGGGAGCACUCGUGCUUUCAAUCUCCCCCUUUUUGGAAAUUGAUGACAACAUACAUCAAAGCUUUAGAUAAAGAUAUAAAGAGUAGCAAGUAAAGCUUUGGAAAGACAUGUAACAAGCAUAGGCUCCCCCUACAUGUAUGCAAUCAUGUGAAUAUGGAAUAUAGAAGCAUGUGAGAGCAUAACCAUGACAGAGUAAGUAAUGUAUUACAUGUAUCUUGGCCAUAUGCAUCAGAGAAAAGAAUAUUAAAGAUAAUACCUUCAUGCUCAUGAGUCCUUCUUGCAAACAGUAUGUACAUCAGCAAGAAUUCCUCAUACACAUGAUUGUGAUGCAUAUACUUACCUUGUAGUCUUGAGUUGGCUUAGGAUGGAAUGAACCUGCGUAAACAAGGUUAGAUAACACAGAUACAUCUACUAGCCAGAGCAAACAGAAGAAACCACAAGAAUACCAAGACUGGGAUGACAUGUAGAGAGUGAGUACUAAGUACCACAUUGGAUUAGACAUGUCCCCAAGAGUAAAGAUAUGCAAUGAAUUUAAAUGUUUUCUUUCCCUUAUAUGUCUUGCUCCCCCUGAAUCUAGCAUGGGAUACUGGGAGAAGAUAGGGAACAGAAAAUAAGAGCUAAAAGAUAUAAAUGAACAGAGCUAAUGCAAACUAAUGCAAAUAAGCAUAUAUGAACAUGUCUUUUCCCCUCAAUAAGACAUGUGGCAUCUCUCCUCUUGAACACCAAGCAUCUGGGAUCCUUGAGAAAUACUUUCUACUUGAGUAUUCUCUCCCCCUGGAGAUCUCUUUCUCCCCCCGAGGAGGUGAUACUAUCCCUCUCUGAUGUGAUCUCUCUAAGUGAUAAGCUUUGAUGUGAUCUCUCUCUCCCCCUUUGACAUCAAUUUCCAAGAAGUGUUUGAUCCUUGAGUCACAGCACAAAGCAUUUAUAUAAAUGUGAUGCUUGUAGAGGACAAGAUUCAUUGAGUGGAGCUGGAUCAAAAGAAACACAGAAUAAGUGGCAAAUUGUUUUCCCAUUGUGAAAUCGGUGGCACCGAGUAGUAUGCUUCGGUUGUACCGGAAGGGUUCGGUUGGACCGAAAACAACAAGUCGGUGAAACCGAGUUCAUCGCAGAGAAAACACUUGCCACUUCAGCUCACUAGACUAGUAGGAUCUCACAAAGGUUUGCAAAGAAUUUACUGAAUGAUAUGCAAUGAAUUGGAUGCAGAAAAUGCAGAGCAAACAGAAAGAAAUCUAGAUGAAGUUUUUUUUAAAAGGGGAAACAAAUAUGCAUGAGACAAAUGCAAAAACACAGAAAAGGACACAAGAGAACUUCAUCUAAAGAUGGUCGGCGACAAAGUCACCUAUGUUAGAGUAUAUUGACUUAGGAGUCAAGUGAGAUCACUUGAUCAUAGGUCAUACUCAUCGUUUAAGCUCAAAAUGGGGUUGCCAUUUUUCGUUUAAGCAUCUUGAUGUAUUCACAUCUUGUCGAGUUGCUUUAGCUCAUGACUCGGAGUAAAGCUUCUCUAAGAUGGAAUAACAUACCUUGGUUGGUGGUGUUGACCAUGUAGUUGAACUUGUGUGGGUUGCUCAAGGUUGAUGUAGCUCAUCAAGAGUUGGGAGCACCACUUGGAAUUUGAGUCCAUCUACCUACAUGGGUUAGUUCUUGCAAGGAAGAGCACUUGUGUAUCCAAAAAUGACAAUCAUGAAGCUCAACAUAGAAUUUGUCAAAGGAUAUGUUUGAAUGGUUUCGUGCUUCCUUGUCUUCAAUCACCAUUGUGUAGAGACUUGGUUAUGUAGAGAUUGCUCAAGAUAUGAGUAGGUUACAAUCUCACGGAAUUUGAUUCAACCAAGUACCUACAUGGGUUAGAUAACAUGCAAGAUACAAAUAUAUCCAAGACAUAAGAUUUUCAUCAUAAGAGAAAAAAAUCAAGGAUUAGUCAUAAGCUCAUGUCUUGCAUGUAUACAAUGGAGUUUCUACUCCAAGUUUGAAGCAUCAAUGAUGUUCAAUUCUCCUCUCAACCCGCAAAACACUUUCUCAUCAAGAGGUUUAGUGAAUAUAUCCGCUAAUUGCUUUUCGGUGCGAACAUGCUUAAGAUUAAUGUCACCCUUAGCAACAUGAUCUCGAAUGAAAUGAUGAUGAACUUCAAUAUGCUUAGUUCGAGAAUGUUGUACGGGAUUAUGACCAAUUUUAAUAGCACUUCCAUUGUCACAAAGCAAUGGAACAUGUUUCACAUAUAUCCCAUAAUCUUUAAGAGUUUGGGUCAUCCAAAGUAAUUGAGCACAACAUGAACCAGCGGCAAUGUAUUCCGCUUCGGCGGUGGAUAAGGAUACUGAGUUUUGUUUCUUGGAGGACCAAGACACAAGAGAUCUACCAAGAAAUUGACAAGUACCCGAAGUGGACUUUCUAUCAACCUUGUCUCUGGCAUAGUCCGAGUCGAAGUAGCCAACAAGACCGAACGAGGCCCUCUUAGGAUACCAAAUGCCAAAAUUUGGUGUAUGGAUUAAGUAUCUUACUAUCUUUUUCACGGCCUUAAGAUGACUUUCUUUAGGAGCAGCUUGAUAUAUUGCACACAUGCACACACUUAGCAUGAUAUCGGGACAUGAAGCACAUAGAUAUAACAAUGAACCAAUCAUAGAGCGAUAAACCUUUUGAUCAACCGGUUCACCAUCUUUGGUCAAGUCAAGAUGUCCACUAGUAGGCAUGGGUGUAGACAUACCUUUGCAUUCUUGCAUAUUGAACUUCUUGAAUAAGUCCUUGGUGUACUUCGUUUGAGAAACAAAAGUACCUUCCUUAGUUUGCUUGAUUUGCAACCCAAGAAAGAAUUUGAGUUCACUCAUCAUAGACAUCUCAAACUUCUCCGACAUUAGCUUCCCAAACUUUUCACUAAAAUGAGGGUUAGUUGAACCAAAUAUAAUAUCAUCAACAUAGAUUUGGCACACAAAUAGUUCUCCAUUAACCCUUUUAGUAAAAAGUGUUGAAUCAAAUUUCCCAAUUUCAAAGCCUUUUUCAAUAAGGAACUUGGUCAAGCAUUUAUACCACGCUCUAGGAGCUUGUUUAAGACCAUAAAGGGCUUUGUGAAGUUUGUAAACAUGAUUGGAUUUCUUAGGAUUGACAAAGCCGGGAGGUUACUUAACAUAAACUUCCUCCUCUAUUUCACCAUUUAGAAAAGCACUUUUAAUGUCCAUUUGGUACAAGGUGAUAUCAUGAUGAUUAGCAUAGGCAAGUAAGAUGCGAAUGGACUCAAGUCUAGCAACGGGGGCAUAAGUCUCACCAUAGUCCAUACCUUCGACUUGUGUGUAGCCUUGGGCGACGAGACAUGCUUUGUUGCGAACUACUUGUCCAUCUUCAUCUUGCUUGUUGCGAAACACCCAUUUGGUACCGAUGAUGUUGUGGUUGUUGUCGGGCUUCUCAACCAAUGUCCAAACUUGGUUCCUCUCAAAGUUGUGUAGCUCUUCAUGCAUAGCAUUUAUCCAAUCCGGAUCUUCCAAUGCUUCUUCAACCUUCAUAGGUUCAAUGCUAGAGAUGAAAGAAUAGUUUUCACAAAAAUUAGCUAGACGAGUUUUAGAGCGAUUGAUUCUCCCGGUUUGAAUAUCAUUGUAGAUUUGCUCGACGGGAUGGUCUUUAGCAAUUCUUGCUCGAACUCGUGAAAGCUUUUGCUUGGUUCUUGGUUGAACUUCUUCUUCAUCUUGUUCUUCUUCUUGGCCUUCUUCAUUGUUGGCGUUGUCGUUCUUUUGUCGUGGUGGAGAAGGAGGUUGUUGACGUUCAUCUUGAUGCACUUCCUCGUUUUCUUCAUCUUGGUGUGUCCCACUUGUGGAUGCUUCCGUAUCAACUCUUGGUUCACCUUGUCGUGAAGUAGAAGCUUCCACUUGGACGGACGAGGUACUCUCCUUCACCUCCGUUGGACGAACCUUGCCAAUAGACAAGUCUUGGAUUGCUUCCGAAGGAUCUUUGUCUCCUACAUCAAUUGGCAAUUGCUCUACUUGCGAGCCGUUAGAUUCAUCAAACUUCACAUCUACCGUCUCUUCAACCUUUCCGGUGAAAUUGUUGUAGACACGGUAAGUGUGAGAGUUUGAGCCAUAACCUAGUAGGAAACCUUCAUGAGACUUAGGAGCAAAUUUAGAAUGACGAUGCUUAUCAAGAAUGUAGCACUUUGAGCCGAAUACUCGAAAGUAUCCAACUUGGGGUUUGUUACCGGUGAGGAGCUCGUAUGCCGUCUUGCCGAGUAGCUUGUGAAGAUACAAGCGAUUUGUUGCAUGACAAGCUGUCUCAACCGCUUCGGCCCAAAAGUGCUUCGGUGUCUUGUACUCAUCAAGCAUCGUUCUCGCAAUUUCGAUGAGCGUCCGGUUCUUCCUCUCAAUAACUCCAUUUUGUUGAGGUGUGUACGUAGCCGAGAACUCGUGUGAAAUCCCUUCUUCGUCAAGGAAGGUGUCCACAUUUGCAUUCUUGAACUCCGUUCCGUUGUCGCUGCGAACCUUCUUGAUCUUCAUUUCAAAUUGAUUUUGGGCCUUUCUAGCGAAGUUUUUGAAGAUCUUUUGGACCUGCGAUUUAUCACCGAGAAAGAACACCCACGUAAAUCUUGAAAAAUCAUCAACUAUAACUAGACCAAAGGAAUUUCCACCGAGACUCUUGUAAGAGUUGGGACCAAAGAGAUCCAUGUGAAGUAGCUCGAGUGGCCUCCUUGUGGUCAUGAUGUUCUUCAUGGGAUGCCUUCCUCCAACCUGUUUACCUGCUUGACAAGCACUGCAAAGUCUAUCCUUAUCAAGUAUGACAUCGUUAACUCCAAGGAUAUGAUUCCCUUUAAUAAGCUUGUCAAGGUUUCGCAUACCAACAUGACCUAGUCGUCUAUGCCAUAACCAACCUUUUGAGGAUUUAGCAAUGAAGCAAGUUUUAGGUUGAGCCUUUUUAGUGAAAUCAACAAUGUAUAGAUCACCUCUACGUAUACCGGCAAAGACCAUUUUAUGAUUGUCUUGACGAAACACUUGGCAAUCUACUUCAGUACAUAGGACAUUGAAACCGAAAUCAGCAAGUCUAGAUACUGAAAGUAAGUUGUAGCCAAGAGAUUCAACGAGCAUAACAUUCUAAAUGGAGCUAUCAUGUGAGAUGGCCACCUUACCGAGGCCACCACCUUACCCUUUGAGUUGUCACCGAAAGUGACAUACUUUCAAGGACUAUCAUUUUCAGCAAGCUCACAAAACAUGUCUUUAUCUCCGGUCAUGUGAUCGGUACAUCCACUAUCAAGAACCCAUUUCUUUCCUCCUAACAUAUAUCCCCGAAGAUUUGCCAUAAGACCAAAGUGUCUCAUUGCAUCAUCAAGAUCGAAAUCACUAUCAUCAUCCUCAUCAUAGUAUCCAUGUUCAACAUCGUCAUGUGGUAGAUCAAGUCCUAGAGAGGGUAAUUCGUUAAAGUGAGCUUGACAAUGAUCUUGCUUAUGAAUUCUUAUAGCUUCGGAAAUAAUAUCACCAAUAAUUCCAACAUCUCCCUUGGCACGCAUAAGGUUUGUAAGUUCAAAUAGACGAUCACCAAACAUACACUAGUAGAAAAAGGGUCAAACGUGAAGCAGAUUAGUGCCGGUUUGAUUUUGGCCCGGUACUAAUGGUACCAUUAGUGCCAGUUCGAACGGAUUUGCAUUAAUGCCGGUUCGUGUUGAACCUUUAGUACCGGUUCGUGGCAAAAACCGGUACUAAAGGAGUGGUGGCAGGCUGGCGUCAGGCUGGGGCCCCACGAUCACCUUUAGUACCGGUUCGUGGUACGAACCGGUACUAAAGGUCUAACCUUUAGUACCGGUUCGUGCCAUGAACCGGUACUAAAGGGGUCUGACCUAUAGUACCGGUUUGUGACACNNNNNNNNNNNNNNNNNNNNNNNNNNNNNNNNNNNNNNNNNNNNNNNNNNNNNNNNNNNNNNNNNNNNNNNNNNNNNNNNNNNNNNNNNNNNNNNNNNNNNNNNNNNNNNNNNNNNNNNNNNNNNNNNNNNNNNNNNNNNNNNNNNNNNNNNNNNNNNNNNNNNNNNNNNNNNNNNNNNNNNNNNNNNNNNNNNNNNNNNNNNNNNNNNNNNNNNNNNNNNNNNNNNNNNNNNNNNNNNNNNNNNNNNNNNNNNNNNNNNNNNNNNNNNNNNNNNNNNNNNNNNNNNNNNNNNNNNNNNNNNNNNNNNNNNNNNNNNNNNNNNNNNNNNNNNNNNNNNNNNNNNNNNNNNNNNNNNNNNNNNNNNNNNNNNNNNNNNNNNNNNNNNNNNNNNNNNNNNNNNNNNNNNNNNNNNNNNNNNNNNNNNNNNNNNNNNNNNNNNNNNNNNNNNNNNNNNNNNNNNNNNNNNNNNNNNNNNNNNNNNNNNNNNNNNNNNNNNNNNNNNNNNNNNNNNNNNNNNNNNNNNNNNNNNNNNNNNNNNNNNNNNNNNNNNNNNNNNNNNNNNNNNNNNNNNNNNNNNNNNNNNNNNNNNNNNNNNNNNNNNNNNNNNNNNNNNNNNNNNNNNNNNNNNNNNNNNNNNNNNNNNNNNNNNNNNNNNNNNNNNNNNNNNNNNNNNNNNNNNNNNNNNNNNNNNNNNNNNNNNNNNNNNNNNNNNNNNNNNNNNNNNNNNNNNNNNNNNNNNNNNNNNNNNNNNNNNNNNNNNNNNNNNNNNNNNNNNNNNNNNNNNNNNNNNNNNNNNNNNNNNNNNNNAAAAAAAAAAUCAAUUUUUUUUCCAAAAUUUUCAAAAAAAAAAUUCAAAAAGAAAAAACCUUUAGUACCGGUUGGUAACACCAACCGGUACUAAAGGUCCCCCAUACCAGGGCGCGAGCUCACGCCACGUGGUGGCACUUUAGCGCCGGUUCGUGCCGAACCGGUACUAAAGGGGGGGCCUUUAGUGCCCACACUUUAGUGCCGUUAUGGAACCGGCACUAAAGGCCCUUACGAACCGGCGCUAAAGCUCCGUUUUCUACUAGUGAUAGGAUCACUAGUAUUCAUCUUACUCAAGGCAAUAGACUUAUGGAGAAUUUCAUCUAGAUUUUUUAAGGAAUAAUUUGGAAAGCGUUCCUCAAGAAAUUUCCAUAUAGUGUAGGCACACUCAAGAGUAGGCAAGUUUAUAAUCAAGUUUCUAGGCAAGCCUCUAGUGAUAAGAUUAACAGUUCUAACAUUUCUAAUCAUGUCAAUAGACUCAUCAAGAGUAGGAUGCAUAGGAUCAACAUGAGGUACACAAGGGCUAGCAAUGUACUUGUUCAAAAGAUAUUGAUUGAAAAUUACAAGCAUCUCAUUUUUCCACUCAUGAAAAUACUCUCCAUCAAGAAUAGGCACUCUAUGUCUAAGACUCCCCAAAGUAGACUCAUCCAUCUUCCUUCAAUGGUGAUUAAACCAAGGCAAUGAAGACCAAUGCUCUGAUACCACUUGUAGGACCUUGAUAAGAGGUGUCUAGAGGGGGGGGGGGCGGUGAUUAGACACUAAGUACCAAAGUUGCAGUUUUUAACUUCUUUAAGUUUAAGUGGAGUUUAGGCACAAGUUUAACAUUCACAACAUAUAGCAAGCAAGCAUGCAAAGAGUAUAUGAGCAGCGGAAAGUAAAGCAUGCAACUUGCAAGAAUGUAAAGGAAAGGGUUUUGGAGGAUUCAAACGCAAUUGGAGACACGGAUGUUUUUGGCGUGGUUGCGAUAGGUGGUGCUAUCGUACAUCCAUGUUGGUGGAGACUUCAACCCACGAAGGGUAACGGUUGCGCGAGUCCACGGAGGGCUCCAACCACGAAGGGUCCACGAAGAAGCAACCUUGUCUAUCCCACCAUGGCCGUCGCCCACGAAGGACUUGCCUCACUAGCGGUAGAUCUUCACGAAGUAGGCGAUCUCCUUGCCCUUACAAACUCCUUGGUUCAACUCCACAAUCUUGUCGUAGGCUCCCAAGUGACACCUAGCCAAUCUAGGAGACACCACUCUCCAAGAAGUAACAAAUGGUGCGUUGAUGAUGAACUCCUUGCUCUUGUGCUUCAAAUGAUAGUCUUCCCAACACUCAACUCUCUCUCAUAGGAUUUGGAUCUGGAGGAAAGAAGAUUUGAGUGGAAAGCAACUUGGGGAAGGCUAGAGAUCAAGAUUCAUAUGGUAGGAAUGGAAUAUCUUGGUCUCAACACAUGAGUAGGUAGUUCUCUCUCAAAAAUAGGAUGCUGGAAGUGUAGGUUCGUUCUGAUGGCUCUCUCCACGAAUGAAGAGGAGGUGGAGGGGUAUAUCUAGCCUCCACACAAAAUCUAACCGUUACACAAAAUUUACCAAACUCGGUGGGACCGAAUCAACAAACUCGGUCGGACCGAUUUAGUAAACCUAGUGACCGUUAGGGUUUUCGGUGGGACCGAUAUGCAACUCGGUAGGACCGAUAUGGUUAGGGUUAGGGCAUAAUGUAAUCUUGGUGAGACCGAUUACACAAACUCGGUGAGACCGAUUUUGGUAAUUAGCUAACCAGAGAGUUGGCCAGGCAAACUCGGUGGGACCGAUUACUCAAACUCGGUGGGACCGAUUUUGGUAAUAAGUUGACCAGAGAGUUUGCAUUGUAAUCUCGGUAGUACCGAUUGCUCAAACUCGGUGAGACCGAUUUUGGUAAUGGACAUACACAGAGAGAUUACAAUCCCAUCUCGGUGAGACCGAGAUCCCUAUCGGUGAGACCGAUUUGUCUAGGGUUUGUGGCAGUGGCUAUGACAUCUGAACUCGGUGGCGUCGGAUAGAAAGAAUCGGUGGGGCCGAGUUUGACUUUAGGUUUAGGACAUAUGUGUGGAAGUGGGAAAGUAGUUGAGGGUCUUGGAGCAUAUCACUAAGCACUAUGGAGGAAGAAACUCAUUAAGCAACACCUCAUCCCUUCUUGAUAGUAUUGGCUUUUCCUAUAGACUCAAUGUGAUCUUGGAUCAUUAAAAUGUAAAAUGAAGAGUCUUGAGCUUGAAGCUUGAGCCAAUCCUUUGUCCUUAGCAUCUUGAAGGAGUUCCCACAUCUUUUAGUCCAUGCCACUCCAUUGUUGAACUUAUCUGAAACAUACUAGAUAAAAGUGUUAGUCCAACAAAAGAUAUGUUGACAUCAAUUACCAAAACCACCUAGGGAGCACUUGUGCUUUCAACCAUGUUGUGAACAUAAAUGAUGGAGGAGAGGGCCUGGCCAUGGAUGUUGGAGGCACCGGAGCACGAAUCUACGCACUAAACGAAGAAGCGCAACACUGAGCCUAGUAACGAUGUCGUGGAUCGACAACAAGAUAGCACCUCAUGUGAAACUUGCUGAGGAUCCCCUCUAGCCUCCCCGCGGCGGGCGGCGGGCUGGGGCAGCGAUGACGGGGCCCCUUUGUCUUCCCGCUCGGGGCGGUGCUGGCGCGGGCUGGCGCCUCGGGCCGGGUCGUGGCGCUGUAGCCGGGCUCCAUGGCGGUGCGGCGGGCUGGAGCGGCGCCCUGACGUCCCUACCUCCCCCUGCAGCGGGCGGCUAGGCGGGUGGCGCGCGUGUGCCCGAGACGGCGACGACUCCAGCGCGCCCAGAUCUGGCUCAUGGCAGCGUGGGCUGCCGGUGGCCACCUCUGUCGUGGCCGCGACAGGUAGUGGUGGCACCGCGGCAGUUGGUGGUGGUGGCGCGGGCCGGAGGUUGGAGACGGCGGCCGUGACGGCUCUCCCAGAUCUGGCCUCUCGGCGGCGCGGGGUGCGGGCGGCGGCCCUGACCGAGCCCCCCACGGUUGGUCGGGGUGGCGGCGCUGUGGCGGUGGCUGCGCGGCUGCAUGCCCGGCGGCUGCUGUGGUGGUGGCAAGUUGAUUGCGGCGGCGGCCAGAUUGUUCUGGCGUCGGCUCGUCUGUAGGCUGCCUGUAUCGGCCUUCGACUCCUCUCCUCGGCGUUCGUUCGCUUCUCUCGCCGGUGGGCUGACAUUCUCCCGGCUGCUGUCCAUCGACCGGCUCGCACCCGGUGCCGUAGGACCGAGCUGGUCUCGCGCCCGGCAGCAGGACUGCGCUCGUCUCGCGCCCGGCAACAGGGCCGGCCCGUCUCGCGCCCGGCGGCAGGACUGCGCUCGUCUCGUGCCCGGUGUUGCAGGACGGAUCGAUAGAGGCUUGUGGCCGGCCUAUUGGGUCUCGGCACUGGGACCGUCCAGGGGUGCGAAAGGCGGAGCCUUUCCGCCCGUCUCUGCGGUUGGGGUAUCGGUGGGGCUCGGAGGACUUGGUGUCAAGGUCUUGGAUUCCGGGGCGGCGGAGCUGGUGGUGGUGGCGCGGUGCUCAUGGGCAGAGCUCGUGCCUCGGUGCUGCCCGGCUACCACGGCCGUGUGGGCGGCGUGGUAGCCGGGGUGUGGCGUUCGGUGGCGGUGUGUGUUGGUCGGGAUGAAAACCUACUCUAUCUUCGGACGGACUGGCGACGGCGAAGAUCGCUCCCUUCUUGAAGGCGUCGUCGCGGCUAUCAUUGCCCAUCGUGUUGCUCCAGGGGAAACUCUGAUCCUCGGAUCGGGCGAUGGCGGCGCUCCGGUGUCGUAUCCUUUCUGAAGGCGCCACCUUGGAGCCUACGGUUCGUCAUAUGCGGCUUCACUUCUUCGCGGUGUUCACGGAUGAAGCUCCCGGCGGCUCGUGUAGUGCUAGGGAGUGUGUUGCUGCGCUCAGCGCCUAUGUAUCCUACCUUGGGUGUGUGUGUGCGUUUGUGAUGGGUGCGUGCGGUUGUACUGGGCACUGAUGGUCUAUGCUUUAUAUAUAAAGCAGGGCGAAAGCCUUUUUCGCUAAACUUGCUGAGGAAAAGAGCAAUCGACAAGUAAGUGUUGCAGAUCUCCGGGAACUUGGUCACACAUAACGCAUCCGGUCGCAAAAAACUUGAUCUAGACGCCAAACUAAUUGUGGUUAUUAGGCCUUGUACAAUGCAAGAUGCUUAGGAAAAUAAAAUCGGUUGUUGUUGAGCAUCGAUACUUAUUUGUAGAGGAUAGACGCUUAAUUAGGCACUGCUCCUAUAGUGAUUAGCACCUGUGCUUAAGAAAAACAUCUUUAGAAAAAAAAGUU
rnacentral:lncRNA from 1 species